UGGUAUAGCCAUGCAAAUGAAUCAUAAACAAAAAAUGGUGUCUUCUUGGUAACUUCAUUGUCAAGUGUGUUGGAGUCAUAUAUCUUCUAACAUGUUCAUGGUAAGCAAUUCCCAAGACAUGCUACAAGUUCUCCAAAAGAAAACCAACAGCAUAUAAAAAGCGGCAACUUCUAUUUCUGCUUCUGCUCAACAACAAAAGCUAUCAACUAUCCUAAAUAGGCACCAAGGAGAUUCGUAGACCUUAGGCCCCUGCCAAACUAGAUUUUUUGUUUGGGAAGUAACUGAGGAAGAUUUUCACUUGUCAUUAACUUAUACCGAGGUUGGUAGCUAACAAACUAUGUAAGGGCAAUGUUCUUGAUUAUACCAUAUGAAAGGACACAGUGAGCUCUGCCUUUGGAAAUGUAGGCAGUGAGGUGGCAUGGUCCAUUAACUUCAUUCUGUGAUUGGCUGCUCAACCAUUCCAAAGCAAGGGAAAAUUAAGCUUACUGAAGUUUUACUAUCUCUGCUCAUUUUGUUUCUUAAGAGUACUGAAAUGAUUGGAGACAAUAAGAUUGAAACCCUAAAAUUUUGUUAAUUACUGUUGAAUAUAAAUAUGUUUUAUAAAAAAUAAUUCUCACUAAUAAACCCCCGUAGAAAAUUAUGCAGAAAUGCGUAAGUUUCAAAUUUUGUGCCUUAAGCUUGAAUAAUGCUGAUAUAAGACUCGAUGGUAGUGAAGUAGUUUUCAAACCGCAAAUGUAGAAACAAAAUUAUCAACCAAACCAAAAUUUUCAAACAAAAUUAUCUCUAUAUACACGAAGUGUACAAGUGGGUAACAUAGAUUUAAAGGUUUCGUAAGACUUCAAGGGAGAUGAGUGGAGAAGGAAAGGUGGUGUCCGUGACCGGAGCUUCUGGGUUUAUUGCUUCAUGGCUGGUGAAGCUCCUGCUCCAACACCGUUACACUCUCAAGCAACCGUUCGAGAUCCAAGUCAGUUCUCUAUCUCAACCUCCGAGGGCAUUUUCACUUAUAUAUGCUUCCAUUUAACUCACUGGUUGUGCUUACAUUUAUAUGUAUAUAUGCCACAGAUGAUCCAAAGAAGACACAGCACUUGCUUUCACUCGAUGGAGCUCAGGAAAGGCUUCAUUUGUUCAAAGCAGACUUAUUGGAAGAAGGGUCUUUUGAUUCUGUAGUUGAUGGAUGUGAUGGUGUUUUUCAUACUGCAUCCCCUGUUGCAUUGGAAGCCAUUAACCCCCAGGUUCAACCUACACCACUUCCAUUUCUAUACUUACAUUGAGCUAACUUCUAUUUCUCUUUUCAUUUUUUCGUGUUCAGACAGAAUUGAUUGACCUUGCAUUGAAGGGAACCAUCAAUGUCCUAAGGUCCUGUUCAAAAGUUCCGUCUGUCAAAAGAGUGGUUGUAACAUCGUCUUUGGCUUCAGUUUUAUUCACUGGAGAACCUCUGACUCCUGAGGUGCUAAUUGAUGAGAGUUGGUUUUCAGAUCCAGUUUUAUGCAAGGAAUCAAAGGUUUGCAUCUGAGCUUAUUUCUUAUCACAUACCAUCUUUUUUGCAUGUUUUAUGAAAUAUUUUACUGGUUUUUGCACUGGUAGUAGUACUAGAAGUAGUAGUACUGAAACCAUUUCUAACCAAAUGUCAUUAUUUGAGUUUUUGAUAGCAAUGGUAUGUGCUUUCAAAGACCUUAGCUGAGGAGGCUGCUUGGAACUUUUCAAAGGAGAAUGGGAUUGACAUGGUCACGAUAAAUCCAGGAUGGGUGAUUGGUCCUCUCUUACAGCCCACUCUUAAUCUAAGUGCAGAGCAAGUUUUGAACCUCAUAAAUGGUACUCUUCAGCAAAAUGUGUUCUAAGUUUUGUUUCUUGUUUCUCUACUUGAAUAUAAGUACAUGUUCUGUUUCUUCUUGCGCUGACUAACAGUACUCCUUGUUUGGACGGGUUUAAACUGCAUAACCAAUGUGAUUAGUUUAAUCACUUGACAAUAUCCAAGAAAAUGAAUGACAAAACAUCAAAAUAUCCACAAGCACAUUGCAGACUUUAUAUCAAGAUACUGAAUUCUUCAAAUGCAAGCAUUUGGAAUUUGUUUGUUGCAGGAGCUCAAACAUUUCCGAAUAUAUCAUCCUGGUGGGUUGAUGUUAGAGAUGUUGCCAAUGCACACAUUCAAGCAUAUGAGAUCCCAGNNNNNNNNNNNNNNNNNNNNNNNNNNNNNNNNNNNNNNNNNNNNNNNNNNNNNNNNNNNNNNNNNNNNNNNNNNNNNNNNNNNNNNNNNNNNNNNNNNNNNNNNNNNNNNNNNNNNNNNNNNNNNNNNNNNNNNNNNNNNNNNNNNNNNNNNNNNNNNNNNNNNNNNNNNNNNNNNNNNNNNNNNNNNNNNNNNNNNNNNNNNNNNNNNNNNNNNNNNNNNNNNNNNNNNNNNNNNNNNNNNNNNNNNNNNNNNNNNNNNNNNNNNNNNNNNNNNNNNNNNNNNNNNNNNNNNNNNNNNNNNNNNNNNNNNNNNNNNNNNNNNNNNNNNNNNNNNNNNNNNNNNNNNNNNNNNNNNNNNNNNNNNNNNNNNNNNNNNNNNNNNNNNNNNNNNNNNNNNNNNNNNNNNNNNNNNNNNNNNNNNNNNNNNNNNNNNNNNNNNNNNNNNNNNNNNNNNNNNNNNNNNNNNNNNNNNNNNNNNNNNNNNNNNNNNNNNNNNNNNNNNNNNNNNNNNNNNNNNNNNNNNNNNNNNNNNNNNNNNNNNNNNNNNNNNNNNNNNNNNNNNNNNNNNNNNNNNNNNNNNNNNNNNNNNNNNNNNAUUCUGAGAUACUGAAGAUUUUGCGCAAGCUCUACCCUGGAUUACCUCUACCUGAAAGGUAAGUUUCUAUUUGUUAUUGCUAGUGCUCGUUAGUGCCAUCAUUAGAAGCAAGUGAGAUCAACACGAUAUUACUUCUUAUUAUUCCAUUGGAUACAUUGAAGAGUACCUGCCAUCUUGUUUCCCCUUAAAUAUUUAUGCCUUGGUAUCAUGCAAAAAAUUCUUAGAUGGGAUCCACAUGUGUUUGUUGCAGAUGCGCAGAUGACAAACCUUAUGCACCAUCCUCCCGGGUAUCCCAAGAGAAAGCAAAGAGUUUAGGCAUUCACUUCACUCGUCUAGAGGUGAGCCUGAAGGAUACAGUUGAAAGCUUGAAGGAGAAGAACUUUGUCAGUUUCUGACUCAUGGUAUUUACUGCUAGACUUGCAAAUAAAUCAUAAACUAUGGUGCUUUCCUGCUAAUUUAUUGUUAUGAACCUCAUUGCACCUAUGAUUUGUUGGGUUUUGGGGCUUUUAUCUUGUAAUAUUUUAUUGUAAGCAUUUCUUAUGCUAGAAAUUGGUAUCUGUAUCAACUAUAAGUUUCCCAGUUCAAAUUUCCUAUUUGUGUUAGAAUAAGGUGAAACUCAAUCACACUUAGGAAGAGGGAAUUAGUCCAAGUGGAUUAUGAGGGUCCAAGAAUGGAAUCAGUUGAUGGAAGUGGUAGAAUACGUUGAACAAAAUUUAUAUACUACUGUAAGACACAAACCGAAAAUUGCUUCAUAUUAAUAAUUAAAAGACACAGGAAACAAAAGGCUUGUGUCCUUGAGCAUCAACCCCAUUAUUCCACUGGACAUGUUGCCACAGAAGUGGGUAUAAGGAAGCAUAUUCCGAUCAUCCAAGGACACUGGGUGUGACUUCACCAACAAAGCUCACAGCUGAUACAAGCAAACUACCUCUCAUAGGAACAACAGUAGAAUGGCAUAAAGAAAACUAGGACUGUUUCACUAAAUCGAAGGAAUAUCUUUGUGGGAAGAGAACAAAGAGGAUGCACAUAUUCAAAAUUUGUGGCUGAGCUAUUUAAACCUUUCAUUGAUACUGGUUGAGCUUCUCUUUGUAUUCGUAGGGUGCGCCCCCUCCUCUUUUGGCACUUUUUAAUGUAUGUUCUUGUUGUCUAUAAAAAAAAAAGGAAAAAAAAAAAAUACUGGUUGAGCUUCUUAAGAUUGACACAACAGUUUUUCUCCAUUCUUAAUUUAUAAUCAAAAGACUGGCUGAGCUAUUUCUUUGUUCUUAUUGAGUUUUGAGAUGAACCCACAUGUGUUUGUCACUCAUGGCAGGUGUGCAGAUGACAAACCUUAUGUGCCAGCCUUCCAGGUGUCCCAGGAGAAAUCCAAAAAGCUUGGGUAUUCACUUCACUCCGCUGGAGGUGCCUAAAGUAUACUGUAGAAAGCUUGAAGGAGAACCAGCUCAUCAGCUUAUGAGUCAAUUAUUUGGCUGUCAUUGAAACAAAUCACUAAUUAUUAGUGUACCCAAAAUACUGUCAUUGUUAUGAAAUAAAUUUUUGGCUAGGAUAGGGCUGAUAGGUGCUAGAAGGAGACUGCUUGGGAAGAAUACCGAUCAGCGUUAUAGUAAGGCAUCUAUUGGAAAAAGACAUGACUUCAAACUCUUUUUUGAAUAAUUUCCAAUAAACAAAGAUGAGUUUUAUGUUUGUAGAAAUAUUCAAACCUCCAAGCUUGUGAUAUAAAAUCCAACACAAAUUCAAAAACUAAUUUGCAUGGGAAUUCAAGUAAUUAGAACAGAGCACCAGCACCAGUUUGACAACAAUUUUGUAGACUCUUUCUAAUGAGAGUUUGUAGGGGACAUGACCAUAUGUUCUUUACAAAAUUUGAUCUUAAUAAUUUUAAUUAUAUUUUCACAUUUUUUUAUAGUAAAAUCAAAUAUGAAAAAAAAAUUUAUUUUCUUUAAUAUUUUUUUUCUUUCUACGUUUUGGUAGCUCCUUAUUAAUAUUCUUAAGCCAAAGGUGGAAUUCCAAUUUUCCCUUGAUCACUGCUAAAAGAGAUAAAUCCUGAGUUUUUGAACUAUCAUUUUGAAGCUAUGAUGUUUUUCAUUUGUAAAAUUGUCUAGAGGGAGAUUGAAUAGGUAGUUUUGUUGUUUAAACCCAAAAAAUAGAUUUUUCAUCAUACUUGAAUUUUUUAGUUAUUCAAAUUAUUUAGAAGUAAGAAUGAUAUACAUAAAAAUCCGGUUUCAUAUGACUACGAAUAUAAGAAAAUUCAAGUCUAACCCAAGCAAAUUUGCUAAUUCUAAAUUAUAAGUACACAAUUUUGGGAAGAUUUAGAUGCUAGUAAUUUCAAAGAAACUUAUUUUGAUUAUUAGUUAGGUUUUGUUAGGUAACUAUUUUCAAAGACAGUUUUGAAAAAUAGCUUUAAAGAAUAAUUUUUUAAAAAUGUUUAUCGAUAUUUUGAAAAAUAAAAGUCUGUUUGAAAAUCUAAAAUAUUUUUAACAUGUUUUUAAUAUUUUAAAAUAUGUUUAAAAAACAAUUUAUGUAUCUAAUAUUUUAUUUUUAAUCAUUAUAUAUGUUUGUAAUUUUUUUUUAAAUUCUUAAAAAAUAAUUAAAAUAUAUUUUAUGAAAAUAUCAUAUUUUUUAUUUUUAAGAGUUGAAAAUAAAAAUAAUUUUUUUUAUUGAAACGUGUUUAUUCUAAAGAAUAGAAAACUGUUAUAGAAAACAAUAGUCAAACAAACCUUUAUAUUUUACUUUUAUAUUUUUGGCACAAACAUAUAUAUAUAUAUAUAUAUAUAUAUAUAUAUAUAUAUAUAUAAUAAAAAUAAAAAUAUCAGGUGAUAUAUUUUUUUUUUCCAAGGAAGGGAAGCAUUUUUCUUGGCAGCAUAUCCUGAUUCACAAAGUAUAAACCCUUGCAAAUUGAAAGAAAGACAAUUUACAUAUCAUUAAAGGGUAAUUUGUAAGCACUCUUAUAGGCCUACAUCUUCUUCAUUUGGAUUUGGAAUUUAACCUCUGAUAAGCGUUUACUCGUUUUUAAUCUGUUUUUUAGGAAGCCAGUUAAUGAGAUUUUGCCAACCAAAAACAGAGGUUUGUUAGCCCUCUUACCCUCAAGCUCUCUUGCAUAUGCUUGAAGAAUAUUGGAAACCAAUAAUUAGUCAUUGCAGUUUCAUAGUCUUACAAGAAAUCUUUUUAUGGUGGCAGGAGAACAGACUGCAACAUAGUCUCAUUCCCCUUCAUGAUUUAGACAUUGUAAAGAUCAAAAACCUGUUCUUGGUAAUAUAAGAAGAAGAGCAGCCAAAGAACAGGAACAAAAUGUAUUGGAACCUUAUGGACUUGAAUAGUUGGUAUUCAUGUGGCAAAAAUACACAAAAAUGCACUAAACAAACUACUAAUCAGUAGGCCAAGAUUCUACUUCCAAGAGAUAGGUUUGUCAUCCAUGUCAAGAAGGCUCGCACUUCAUUUUUGUGGGACUUUGGCAUCACCAAAUUUCUGGAAUUCUUUCAGGUUUCUAAAUGGAAUGGUUCAAGUCAUCAAUACAUUCCCAUAAUUCUUUUGUAAAUGUCAUCAUCCUGGCCAACUUUCUUUAGUGUUGAAAGAGGGGGUGAUACCAUGUUGCUAAAAUUUGCAGUCCAUAUGUACUAGAUGGACAAGAACUACAACACUUGUAUUAGAAACAUCUCUAUUGCCUGGAUUUGCAUUACCUGCCAUAAUUAAGCACAUUUUUAUUAUUGUAGCAGUGUUUCAGAGUCACCCAUACCUCUUCCAUCUUCAUGUCUCUCAAACAACUAGGUCCAUUGGUAGCAGAAGAAGAGCAACUUGAAUAGUUGGUCAUUUCCUUUUAUAAUUUAGGGAUAAAGGUAAAAAACUACAACACUUGAAUAGCUGGUAUUCAGAUGGACAAGAACUACAACACUUCUCUCAUAAACAUGUAUGUUCUUUCUUCAACUCUUACUCUAUUGCCUGGAGUUGCAUUACCUACCAUGAUUAAUCGCCUUCUAUUUAUUCUUGUGGAGAAACAGGUUUUGGUGUAUGCAAAGACUAUACAGUUGUUGCACCUCUUGAUUUUCAAGACCACCCAGCCUCUCCUCAAGCAUCUGGAAUUGUAAAGUUGAUUUAUGGCUAACCUUCCAAGGACCUUAGGGGCUUCAUACAGGGUAGAUCUAGUGCAAGAGAUUCAGAAUUAUCUCUACCUAACCCAUCUCCAUUUCUUUAGAAUAACUAGAUGUUAUGGCCAAAAUCUCACAUUAGGCGUCAGGUUCAUGUUGGGGCUCAUUCACAAGAUUAAGAUGAAUAUAGCAGGGGAUGUUCCUGAUCUACCACCAACCAUGUUGUCAAGUUGUUCAAUGCCCUUGUGUUGACUAUGGCCACAGUUGCAGUUGUGUGUCCUUUCCCGAAAGAAAUGUCAUUUUGAAACUUUUAAUGUCGACAACAAAACUUUCAUGUUUCUACAUUUAGGUACCCACAAAAAAUUAAGUUCAUGUUAGCUUCCAAUGAUGGAAAGUAAUAAUCUGAACAAGGGAACAAGUGCUCUCCUUUCUCUUUUUCAGUAAAACACUAGUUCAUUUCCAAUCAAUUGAGGAGGAAACUAAUUCUAAACAUGGAAGCCAGGUACUUGAUUUCUGUUUGACUGGUGGAACAAUUGAAACGUAUUUACAGAUUUAGCAUUAGAUAAGUUUAACAAAAUCACUAAUUAACCCCCAAACCUCUCCCCCCCACCCACCACAAAGGAAAGAAACAAUGUUUUGGGAUCCUAGUAGCUUUAUGUUACAAGAUUCUGAUCAACAUAUGCUACAGAGUAUUAUGUUGGUCCAGUUCCUCUACUCUGCAUUGCAACAAAGUAUAAGUUGGUUUUCUCUUUUCUUCAUCUUCAAAUGAAACAACCCUUCUCAAUAAAAAAAAAAUACAAGAAAUUGAGAGCUAAGACCAUUUCCUUUCAUUGUACUCUGUUUUGUUUGCUCCUUCCUUUCUUGGUCAAGCCAAACAGUUUGUGGUUUGUCCAUUUUUUCUUCAUCCCACAUCAAAAACCAGUGUGUUAGGUUAUCCCAUCUUUUUAUCCCCUUGUCAAGACACAUAAUUUAAUGCAUUGCUGUCUUAGAUUCCUCCUAGUUAAAAGGAAGCUUGAAAUAUCUCCAUUGCUUUUUUGUUUCAGUUGAAGAAUAUGGUUUCACGGGAAUAAUUUUCUUUCAUUGAGAUUAUUCUUUUAUAGACUUUACAGCAUAUACAAAUCCUUCAAAUUAGGAAACUAAAUCACUGAUUAAAAGGAAAGAAUAACUCCUAACAAUUACUUUCCUAAAAAUAUAAAGAUUGACAACCAAUAAAUAACUCCUAAUAAUUGCUUUCCUAAAAAUACAAAGAUUGACAACUAAUAAAUAAUUUACAGCUUUACAAAGUUAUUUCUUUCCAUAACAGUUUUGGUUUUCCAACACUCCCCCUCAAGCUGGCUUAAAGAUAUCUUCCAUAGCCAGCUUGCCAACUAGAAAAUUGAAUUGCCUCUUGUGUAGUCCUUUGGUGAAGACAUCGGCCACUUGUUCCUCAGUAGGGAUAUAGGUCAUAUAGACCAAUCCGUUAUCUAUCUUCUCUUUAAUGAAAUGCUUGUCCACUUCCACAUGUUUGGUGCUGUCAUGGAGAACCGGAUUAUGAGCUACUGAAAUUGCUGCCUUGUUGUCACAAUAUAACUUCAUAGGAGAUGAACAUGUCAUCUUUAACUCUUCCAGUAAUCUUCUUAUCCACAUAAUCUCACAAAUACCAUGAGCUACAACUCUAAACUCAGCCUCAGCACUACUUCUAGCAACCACGUUCUGUUUUUUACUUCGCCACAUAACCAAGUUGCAACCUACAAAUGAACAAUACCUAGAGGUGGACCUUCGAUCCACUAUGCUUCCAGCCCAGUCUGCAUCAGUGUAGGUUUCAAUUUGUAGGUGUCCUCGUGCUUGAACAGAAGACCUCUACCUGGUGUCCCCUUUAGAUACCUUAGAAUUAUGUAAACAGCUUCAAAAUGCUCUGGUCCAGUCUGGUCCAGGUGCAUGCAUAAAUUGACUAACCAUACUCACUGAGAAUGCUAUGUUAGGGCGUGUAUGGGAUAGGUAAAUCAAUUUCCUAACAAGCCUUUGAUAACGAUCCCAGUCCUUCACAUUCUUGGCUUUUGUAAGUUGCAGUUUUACAUUCAGCUCUAUAGGUGUUUCAGCAAGCUUACAUCUUAACAUACCUGUCUCAUCAAGAAGAUCCAGAACAUACUUUCGUUGAUUUACAAAGAUACCUUCUUUGGACCUAGCAAACUCCAUCCCAAGAAAGUAUUUUAAUGCCCCCAGGUCCUUAAUCUCAAAUUCCUCAACAAGUUUCCCAUUCAGCUUCUUUAGUUCAUUGCAAUCAUCCCCAGUUAACACAAUAUCAUCAACAUACACAAUUAAGAUGGCUACUUUACCUUUAUUUGAAUGUUUGUAGAACAUCGUGUGAUCAGCUUGACUUUGAGUAUAUCCAUAAUGCUUUAUUAAUUUGCCAAAGUGCUCAAACCAAGCUCUAGGCGACUACUUAAGUCCAUAUAAGGACUUCUUCAAUUUGCACACUUUUCCAACUCUAAAACUUUCUUCAAAACCUGGUGGAGGACUCAUGAACACUUCCUCCUCUAGGUCUCCAUUAAGAAAGGCAUUUUUAACAUCCAAUUGGUGUAAGGGCCAAUUGGAAUUUACUGCAAGGGACAACAAAACUCUAAUCGAGUUUAUUUUAGCUAUGGAGGCGAAAGUCUCUUGGUUGUCUAUCCCAUAGGUUUGAGUAAAACCCUUUGCCACAAUUCUGGCUUUGUAUCUCUCAACACUUCCAUAUGCUUUACUCUUUAUUGUAAACACCCAUUUGCACCCUACAACUUUUUUUUCCCUUGGUAAAUCUACAACUUCCCAAGUGCCAAUCUUUUUUAAGGCAUUCAUUUCCUCAAACACUGCCAAUUUCCAACUCGGUUCAUCUAGUGUUUCUUGAAUAUUUCUAGGUACCACAAGUUUUGAAAUAUUUGUAGUGAAUGCUCUAUAGUUGUUAGAAAGGUUAUUAUAGGAGAUAUAUUUGGCAAUGAGAUGUUUAGUGCAGGCUCGGGUUCCCUUUCUAAGAGUAAUAGGGAGAUCAAGGUCAAGGUCCUAUGUAGGAACAAUUAGGACUAAUCCUAAACCGAGUUCGGGUGUAGAUAUUUCUGGACUUGGACCAAAGUGUGAUGGUAAACUUAGAUCAGUAACAAAAGAAGAAGAAGCAUGUAUAUGAGUAAGAAUAAAAGGAAGGUUACCUGAGACAUUCAGAGAGCCAUUGCCUAGGGCUUUUGGUUGACCAUGUGCUGGGAUGAUCGGCUAGUCUUUACUUCUUCUAGAGACUUUUUUCCUUGAAUAAAACAUAGGCUCAAGAUUGUUUCUAUUUUUUUUCAUUCGUAGUAUUUCUUCUUCUGACAGACCAAUUUCAGAUUUGGAUUCAGUAGACUUAGUUUCCUUAUUUUCUUUUUCAAGAAAGAUAUCACGAAUUACACUAGGCAAAGGUUCAACAAUUUCCCAAAAUUUUGGUUCCACUAAUUUCUCCCCCUGAAGUAAAUUUUUGAUAAAAUAUGGGACAUUUUCCAUAAAGGAAAAUCCAUAGUUGUGUAAAAAUGUUUUUUAAGGGGAUUAAAAAAUUUGUAAUCCUUUUUAUUAGGAGUAUAUCCUACAAAAACACAUUUUUCUGCUCUUGGGUCUAACUUAGAUCUUGACCUUUUUGGAAUGUGUACAUAUGCAGUGCAAUCAAAUAUUUUCAAGGGUAAUUCAUAAUUAAUUCGAGAUUCUAGAAAUACCUUUUUCAAGCACUCCAAAUGAGUGGUAUACUACAAAAUUUUUGUAGGCAUCCUGUUGAUUAGAUAUGAAGCAGUUAGUAUGGCAUCCCCCCAUAAGUAUUUUGGAAUAUUCAUGUAAAACUUCAUAGCGUGUGCUACUUCUAACAAGUGUUUAUUUUUACGUUAAGCUAUUCCAUUCUGUUCAGGGGUAUCAGAACACGAGGAUUGAUGUAAAAUUCCUUUCUCGUUUGAAAAGGUUUCCAAAACUUUAUUAAAGUACUCAGUCCCAUUAUCAGAUCUCAAAAUACUGAUUUUUGUUUGAAAUUGGUUUUCAAUCAUUCUGUAAAAUUCUUUAAAAAUCCUUUCAACUUCAUAUUUUUUCCUCAUUAAAUAUACCCAACAAAGAUGUGUAUGGUCGUCUAUAAAGGUCACAAACCAUUUUUUUCCUGAAAUUGUGGUUACUUUUGAAGGUCCCUAAACAUCAUUUGAUGCAUAGUAGGGUUUUGGAAUGUAAGUUUUUUGUUGGCUCUUUGCCAAUAAACAACUUUCACAUUGAAAUGAUAAAGGAUCAAACUUUUGAAAUAACACUGGAAAUAAAUGUUUUAAAUAAGAGAAACUAAGAUGGCCUAAUCUACAAUGCCAAACCAUUAUUUGAUCACAAACAGAAAGAGAACUAAUACUACUUAGUCCUUGAGCAAUUUUAUUACUAGGUAAAUUAUCCUCGAAAUAAUAGAGACCAUCGAUCAUCCUAGCACUGCCAAUCGUCUUCCUCAAGCUCUAGUCUUGAAAAAUACAAUGGGAUUCAUAGAAGAUAACACAACAAUUAGAAUCUCUAGAUAAUUUGCUAACAGACAAGAGAUUACAAGUAAGUUUAGGAACAUGGAGAACAAAUUUAAGAUCUAUUCCCUCAGAGAUUUUUAUUAGACCUUUUCCUGUAAUAGGUGAGAAAUUACCAUCAGCUAUCCAAACCUUUUUAUUUCUAGGACACGGUGAAUAGGAUUCAAACAUGUUUGAGGAAUUGGUCAUGUGGUCGGAUGCUCCAGAAUCGAUUAUCCAUGGAGUAGAUUUAAAACGAAAAGAUAGAGCAUAUAAUUCAUUACCUGUGUGUGCGCCAAAGAAACACUAGAAGUACCAGAUAUCAAGAGGUCUUGCCAGACUCGCUUCAAGGAGUUGAAGUACUUUGUGACGUUAUCCUCUCCUUGUCGUAUCUCACCAAGUUUGAGGGUUAAUUCAAAGAUCUGUGAUUGAUUCCCUAAAUCAGAGUACAUUUGAUUUACAUUCUCCCAAAGCUCUUAUGUUGUUGGAUAGCACAUGUAAUUAGAGCUAAUGUCUUCUUCCAUAGAAUUCACAAGCCAUGUCAUCACCAUGGAAUUUUCAGCAUCCUAUAUAGCAUAGUUCAGAUCAUCUACUACAGGAGCCUUUUUUUCACCUGUCAGGUAGCCCAUCUUUCCACGUCCUCUAAUGUACAUCCGAACUGAUUGAGACCAUCUCAGAAAGUUGUCACCAUUCAAGCGAAUCGUGGUGAUUUGGAUAGAGUGAGAUUCUGAGGUGGUAGGACUGAUUUUUGAAGAAUCAGUGAUGAUGGGAUUGUUCAAAGAAGGUUGAGGAACAAUAGUGAACUCGUUUGAAAUAUCCGACAUGGUUUCAGAGAAUAGAGAUUGAAAGAGAGGAAGAAGGAGGAUUUCGGCAAGCAAAUUGCUAGCUCUGAUACCAAGUUGAAGAAUAGGGUUUCACGGGAAUAAUUUUCUUUCAUUGAGAUUAUUCUUUUAUAGAGUUUACAACAUAUACAAAUCCUUCAAAUUAGGAAACUAAAUCACUGAUUAAAAGGAAAGAAUAACUCCUAACAAUUACUUUCCUAAAAAUACAAAGAUUGACAACUAAUAAAUAACUCCUAAUAAUUACUUUCCUAAAAAUACAAAGAUUGACAACUAAUAAAUAAUUUACAGCUUUACAAAGUUAUUUAUUUCCAUAUCAAUUUUGAUUUUCCAACAGUUUCUUUGAGCCAAAUGACAGAAUACUGUUUUUCUCUGUUUCUUUGAGAUGCAAGAGGUUUGUAUAGAACUUAGGUGAGGUAACUAUUAGUCAAGGAGGUAGGCAGAUGUGAAUUCCCGUUAGUCAUAUAAAGUAUUUCACAAUCACAAAUAUGGAGGUAUUUAAUUAUGGGAGGUAAUAUACCCCUCAGAAAUUGAUGUGGAAGGUGGAGACUAACAACAACAUAGAUGUAUAUAAGGGAUUUACACUUAGUCUUGUGCAUCAAACAACCCUCAUUUAGUAUAAACCACAAAUUUUGGCAACUAGUGAUCCACAAUUUAGAGCAUGGGAGGAAGCAGACCUAUUGGAAAGACAAGAGGAGACAGAUAAAAACAUGCAAGAAUUCGAUAGAUGAGUUGCUGUUAUGAAUUAUUCAGAAUCCAUGAGAAAAUUUAAAGCCCAUUAAUUUUGAAUGAAGCAUCUACUUAGCAAGUCUAUUUUGUAGAAAGAAACCAAGUCUUGAGGACCAAUUCAAUUACCAAAUCUUUGGGAAACAUUGAGGCUUUUUUAGUAGCUUCCCAAUUAGUGCAUAAGAUGGCAAUGCUAAUUGCUUUUGUGGAAGCUCUUCUUCUUCUAGUAUUGAGGAAAAUCCUAUAAUCCUAAUCUCCAUUCUCUAUGUAUAGAUGUCUUCUUUGAUGCAUGCUGUUAGAGAAGAUGAGGAAGCUUCAAAAUGUUAGUUGACAAAUCAAUUAGAGCAAUGGAAUCGGACCAGGACACAAACUUCAAAACAUUAAAAAUCAGUAAUGCAGAUAAGGGCAUUUAUAUGUACACAUAUUGAUAAGAAAAUAAACUCCAUCCUAUAGCAACCUAAAAACUUACAAGAAAGAAGUAUAAUUUUAAAUAUGCAAUAUUUUGAUCUAUUAAAGCCCAAAGCAUUUUAUGUUCAUACAAAUGAGAAGACAUAAUGGCAGCUGACUUUGAGGAUUGAAAGAAAAAUGAAUUGAUGCUACUUUUCAAUACUAAUGCCAUUAAUUUGUUGUUGCUUUUUGUGGCCAUGUCGAGCCUGUCCAUCAGAUAAGGUUUGAAUCGCUUCUAUUAUUCUUGUUUAAGAUAAUCCUUUUUUUUUUUCCUUUUUUUUUUCUUUACAUAGUCAAUCAUCUUGUUUCAUGUUUGCCUUAUAGUUGGUCUGCUGAUGGUAGGCUUCUUUUGAGUGGAAGCAAGGACUCUGUACUGAAGGUAAAUUGUGGGAACUAUGUCUUUUUGUGGUAUAGAUGGGAUUAUCAUAUAGUUGAAUGAUUCUAUUGCUUCGUUAUAGCUUUUCAAGGCACUAAAAAGUAAAAAAACAAAGGUCGAACUAGGAAAAAUAUUUCGUCCUGAUUUCAGGUAUACUAUUUCCUUAUGAAGUCUUAUUUUGGUAAAUUAUAGAUAGAUAUAAUCACAUAGACAUUUUUCCUUCCAAGUUUAAACAGUAAUUCGGGAGAGUGUAUUAUGAAAAUAUACUAAAAUGAAAAAUCCUAUGAAUGCAUUCUACUUUGGAUAUUUCUUAUGAAUCUUCCCUUGCACUCCUGACCACCACAGACACUCCCAUCACACCAAGCCUUGUAGUUGUUCUACAUUGUUGCAAAUAUGUUAGAAACCAAUUACUAAUAUUAAGAACGGUCAUGUCUACUGAUUUCGAGCUAGAAUUUUUAGAGUAGGUGGGAAAUUAUGGUUGCAGUAUGGAAUGUGAGUGCUUUUGUUUUGCCAAGGUGGCUUUCCUUAUUCAUGCUAACAUCAACAACAUAGCAAUGAACUCGAUUUAAUAUUGUUUAUCGUAUAGGCUUGAGAUAUCCGGACACAAAAGUUAAAACAAGAUCUUCGAGGCUAUGAAGAUGAGGUAUUUUCCUCCUCUUAAGUACUAGUUAAUAUUCUUCUUUUGACAUUGUACUUGUUUUAAUUAAUGUUUUCCUUCUUUUCGUAUUCUGGAAAGGUUUUUGCUGUUGAUUAGAGUCCAGAUGGUGAGAAGGUAGCCUUCGGUGGUAGGGACAGAGUACUCAAUUUAUGGAUGGGUUGAUGGCUAAAGGAGGAGGAGAUGUAUGAAAUGAAGAUUGACAUGAUUCUUCCACAACAUGAUGGACUUGGCAGACACUCAGCUUUUGCCUAUAGUUGAUAGUCUACCAUGUGUAACUUAUGGGCAUAUCAUGUGAACCUUAUUUAAUGUGGCAUUGACAGUUAGUUGAUAUUUACAUGGGUGUAAUGUUGCACCAAUAUCCUCUAAUGAACCUUGGAUUCUUUUUUCCCCAUUUCUUCCUCUCUUGGUCAAGCUAAACAAUUUAUCUUCAUGACUUCCUCCUAUUACCAAAAAGCAGCAUCUUGUGUUCUCCAUCUCUUCAUCCCCUUGUCAAAACACAACAAUUUGAUGCAUCUUUGCAUUGGGUUGUUUCCUCUCCUUCUCCUUUCCUUCCUCCUCAUCUCAUUGCUUAGUUUUGGAUACUUUGUUUCUUUUUAUCAUUAUGGUAGAGCAUCCUUGCAAGAUGUAUAAGAAAUAUGUUGUGGUGCAUUAUCCCCUUCUCUACCACCCGAAAUUUGUUUUCCAUGAUCAUUAAUACCAAGAUAUUUAAGCAUCAAGUAAGGCAUCUCUUGACAAUUAUGCGAGAAAUAAGAGACAAGAAACAUACCGGUAUUCAAGAGAAGUGAUGUUCUACAUUUGCAUUUGACAACAUGCAUUUAGUCUGAACUCCAAAUUUGGGCAACUCAGAAUCUCCACCUUCAUUAGGAUUGUAGAAAGUUGGCUUCUUGGAAAAAUGUGGAAAUGGGGCAUUUAGAAAUCUAAAAGAAUCACAGUGACCUGUUGUUACUUUUGAAUCAUUCCAAUCAAUAACAACUCCAAAGAUAUAUAUACAAAUUUGUCCCUAGGAAAGAGAUCGAUGUUUCUUGGGCAUGCAACCAUCUCUCUUAAUAGACUUAGGGUUCUACACCCUCCUAGUGGUUUCUUAUAUAUUGCACCAUAUGAUUUGUAGAUAUCCAAUUGCCAAUUUCACUACACCUGAUGAACUAGAAGCUAUGCUAAAAGUGAAGUUAAACAACCCAUUGUAGAAAGAAUCCUGUAGGAAUACACCAAAAAGAAAAUCUUAUUAACAUAAAUGAACUCAUUUAGUGAAAGGAUAAAGUUGUGUGAAAAAUUGAAUUGGGAGAGAUACAAAUAUUGAUGCUUACGUGGGACUGUGGAAAGGAUCAACAAGAGGAACAAACACUAAAUAGUAAAUGUAAAGUCGUAAAGCUUGUAACAGCUGUGAAAUGCUAGUCUGUAGUGAAGUUUUUUAACAAUAAAGGUAACUGCAAAAUUCACCAAAUAACUCCACUUGAAGAAAAUUUCAAUGGUAUGAAACUAGGAUAUGGUGAACUCUCUUUGCUUUUGCUAUUAUUAUGAGCCAUUAUAGAUCAAAGAUGAAUCUCGCCAUCUGUUUUCACAUAGGAGAUGUGGGCUAUUUGUGGGUCAUCUCUCAUCAUUUGAUUUAGGAGGUAUGUCUCUCAUAUGUAGUUUCACUUGCCAACUACAAAUGGAGCUUAGCAAAUGUCUCCAUGAUGUGGAGACCGAGCAACAUACAUGAUUCAAGGGAUGUGUAGUUGUUCUUGUGAAUCACCCAAUCUUCAUCUAAUAUAUAUAGAAGCACAAAUUUUAGCAACUUGUAAUCUCCACAUUUUAGAGCACUUGAGGAAGCUAGCCUAUUCAACAAACAUAACACAAUUAGAAAAAUGCAAGAAUUCCAGAUACAUGUUGUGCUAUCAUGCAUUCCAAUCAGUAAGGAAUCAAAGAGCUAUAAUUUUAAACUAUGCAAUAACAUACCUAUCUUGGGGAAGUAAACUGUCUUGAGCACCAACUCAAUUGCAAGUUCUUUGGGAGACUUGGACACCAACUCAAUCAAAGCUGCUAGUUGUUUCUGUGGAAGCUUGUCUUCAUCCACUGAUAUUAGAGAAAAUGCUUUUGAAAACCCUUAAUCUUCAAAUCACAAAGGGAAAUUAGAUUAUGUUGGUAUUGAUCUCCAUUCUCCUUGACACAAACGGAUGAUUUCCUGGUAACAAACAAUGGCUAAUUCUAUCACUUGUACUCUAGCUUGUGAUUUGGGAGGAGAAUUAAGCUUUGGAAGAUUGCCAAUAAACAAGGAAUUGAGAAAGACCAAGUGGGCAGCUACCACAACUAGUUCACAAACAAAUGGAAGCAUUGGGAGUGGAACAUGACACAAAAACAAAACAUGUUUGCCAUAUUCAUAAAUACCAAGGUGUUUAAGCAUCAGGUAAGGCAUCUCUUGACAAUAAUAUGAAAGAUAGAGAUGAGUAGCAUACCGUUAUUCAAGAGAAGUGGUAUUCUUCGUUUGCAUUUAACAACAUUCAUCCACUUUACACCCCAAUUUUGGUAACUUAGGAUCUCCACCUUCAUUAGGAAUAUUACAGGAAGUUGGCCUCUUGGAAAUACAUGAGAGGACAUUUAGAAAUCUAAAAGAAUUCUAGAGACUUGCUAUUGCUUGAAUUGUGAAUCAUUCCAAUUAGUAACAACCGUAGAGCCUCUAUGCACAAUUUUGAAUUAUCAACCUUCUUACAUUGGAUGAAAAAUCUAUCCCUAGAAAAGAGGCGUGUCUCGGGCCAUGCAACCUAUCAAUUAUUAGCUCUCUAAGAGGCUUGAAUUUGUGCACCCUCUUGGUAGCUUAUCAUUCAUUACAACAUAUAAAUUCUAGAUAUCCAAUUGGCAUGUCACUAUAAUUGAACAUAGUAGGAAACAUAGUGAAUAGGAAGUUAGACAACCUGUCACAAAAAGGAUCCUACAAUAAUACACCAAUUAGAACAUCUUGCUAAUUCAGUUAAACAAUUGUGUGAAAAUCUAAAUUGGGAGAGAGAAAAACAUUGAUGCUUACAUGGGACUGUGGGAGGGGCCAACAAGGGAAACAAACUUCAAAUAGAAAAUGUGAAGCCUUAAAGCUUGUAAUUGUUGUUAGAAGUUGCCCCCUAAUCAAGUUUUCAACAAAAAUGUUCAAUUUAGGGAUUCUCUAGUAGCUCAACUUGUAGAAAAUUUCAACAAUAUGACAAUUUAUACUCAUAAAAAGAAGAUAAAAUGUAAGAAUUAUGUGUUGGGAAUAGAUGAAACUUACUGAAUAUAUGGAUAGAAUAGGGUGAACUCCACCAGCUUCCAUUUUUGGAAUCUAAACUAUUAUGGAUCAAAGAUGAAUCUCUCCAUCUAUUUAUAAAUAAGACCUAUGGGAAAUCUUGAAUUGAUGUCUCAUCAUUGGAUUUAGAACUGAUGUAUUGCUCUGAAACCAUGGCAGAGUUCUCCUUCAGUUGACAAAUACCACUGGAGCCUAGGUGAGGCCUUGGUGAUGUGGAGAAGUCAUGGAUUCUGGAAUCUUUACAUGAAAAUAUACAUGAGAUAUAUUGGAAGAAAGGAUAGGCCAUUGGAGAAGAAACACAUCUUAAAGUAUACCAUCAAUCAUGAGUUGUUUGAGAGUGAGGAGUCUUUGAAGGCCUCACUUAGAUAAGGGAUGUCUUUGACAUUUCUCACUCUUCAAUCUCAGGAAGGUACAUCAUUAACUAAAACCUUAGGAAUAUGAGUCAUCAUGGGACAACUUGUUUAUGUUCUUUAUUCUUUUCUCACUAGAGGGGAUUGAAAGAUAUGUAGUUUCAAGGGUAAAAGAUGUAGCCAAUAAUGAGAGCAUCAAACAAUCCUUCUCUAAUGCAAACCACAAACUUUAGUAACUCGUGAUCUCCAAAAUUUAGAGCAUAAGGAAGCUGGUCUGUUGGAAAGAUGUGACAUGACAUUUAGAAAUAGGCAAGAAUUCUAGAGAUCAUUCCAAUCAUUAAGGAAUCCAAAGCCUUAUAAUUUGAAUAGGGCAUCUACUUGGCAUGGAUAACGCACCUAUCUUGGGACAAAGACCACAUGUUGAGCACCAAUUCAAUUAUCAACUCUCUAUGAAACUGGAGAUACAAGGUACUAAUGUUAGUACAAAUUACCUGGUAGUUCUUCUUCUUUUACUGUAUUGGGGGUAAAGCCUUGCGAAAACCCUCAAUCUACAAAUUACCAAGGACAUAAGAUCAUGUUGUAAUCUUAUCUCCAAUCUCCAGCUGCAAAUAGAUUAUUUCUUUCAAUUAACAAUCUUUAAUGCUUUCACUUCUAUCAUAGGAUAUGCAAUUUGGGAAAACAAGUAAGAUUUAUAAUAUCAAGAAUAUGCAAGGAAUUGAUGAAGGUCAUGAAUCUACUUGAAAUCAAAAAAUAAAAAAUAAAAAAAAUAUUUUUUCACCCAUGAAUACCGUAACCAACUUCCAAAAAGCAUUAGGUAUUGCAAUAACCAAAUGUUCCUUAGGUAUUAAAGUUAAAGUUCAAAGUUACCAAGAGUGCAUUUUUUGACCCAUGCAUAAAAUAAAAAGAAAAUAAGAACGCAUACCAUAUAACUCACAAUUGUGUCAAGUAUGAGUUCAGUUUAUGUUCAUGCACAAUUGCAUUAAGUAUUUGAAAGCUAAAUAAGGUUAUGUGCAAUUCAAAGAAUACCAUACAAUGCUCACAACUUAUCAUAGAAUGAGAACUCAAUUGUCUUUCUUCCAGUCAUAAGAGUUUGUGCUCUUUGAGCCUCUAACUUGCACAACUCAAGAUAGCAGGACAUGCCAAAAAGUCUCCUUCACCUUAAACAUUAUUAAAAUCUGCAAUAUAAUCUUGAUAAGAAAAUUUUCUACAAAUAUAACAUGUUGCAAACAAAUAACAAUAUGUUAGUUUAAAAUUGAAGAGCAUUUCAAACCAAAAAAAUGAGAGAUGAACACUUCUUUGUUUUCAAGGAUUCAAGGACGCAUGAGUUGCUACUGUCGUUACUAUUUCGCAUCAUCCCAUCAUGUAGACACUCUAGACCUUCACAAUUUCCAAGAGUAAGAUGUCUCAGCUUUGAUGGGAAACCUACCUCUGGAAAUGACACUAGUUUUGGACAAUUCUUGAUUUCCAACUCUUCGAGGCAUGUUAGUUGCAUCCUAAGGAUACAAGUUGAUGGCAAUCAUAUAUAUAUAUAUAUAUAUAUAUUAUUUGUGUACUUUAAAUAUAAUAAUUUUUUUUAAUGUACCUAUAUAUAUAUCCCUCUUUUAUUAUUAUUUUUAUUUGCAUGAUAUUUCUUUCAUACCAAUCAAAACUAUGGGGAAAUUUUUAUUAAAAUUCAUAAAAUAUAUUGUUUUUGUUGCAUCAAUAUGUUUCAUUUCAUUUUAAGAAAGCUAAAUAAAAUGUGAUAUUUUCUAAUUUAUGAUUUGUAACAUUUUUUUUUCUUAUUUAUUCUAAUCUUAUAUGCAUAUUACACUAUUAGGCAAAGUUGUCAAUGACAAUGAUUGUUAUUUAUAAUAGCUUGAACUUAAAAGCAUCCUAGCUUAUGAUACUCAAUUAGUUUCACCUCUACAACUUAGUUUCAAAAUAGAUGAAUAUAUAUAUAUAAUGUUGGAAUGUAUACCAAAUUCCUAAUUAAUAAAGGUUUUUUUUUUUUUUUUGUAAAAAAUGUUAUGUUGAUCACAGAAGGAGACCCCUAGAGUUCCAUAUAGGAGAUCACGUGUUUUUAUGUGUAACACCUCGGAGACGCAUAUUUCGAUUUGGUAAAAGGGGAAAGCUUGCUCCAAGAUAUAUUGGGCCCUUUGAAAUCCUUCAAAAUGUUGGAGAGGUAGCAUACAAAUUAGCCUUACCACCACAACUAUCAAGUAUACAUGAUAUGUUUCAUGUCUCCAUGUUGCGAAAGUAUGAGCUUGAUACCACACAUUUACUAGAUUAACACGAUUUGAAUUUGCAAGAAGAUGUAACCUAUGAGGAAGGGCCGAAAGAGAUUUUAGAUAAGAAAUAGUAGGUACUACAAACCAAAACCAUACCUAUAGUGAAAGUGUUAUGGGAUCAUCAUGGAAUGGAAUGAGCUACAUGGGAGUUGGAAUCAGAUAUGAGAAACAAGUACCUAAAACUCUUUACAGGUUUGCUUCUUUAAAUUUCGAGGACAAAAUUUUUGUUAGGGGGAGAGGAUGUAAUACCUAGUACUAAUGAAUUAAAUAGGCAAUAAUGAUUAUCUUAGUACUUAACUUUAAACGUGCUUAAUUAGAUGUUAAAACUAGUUUAAUGCUAAUCUUAUUUAAUUAUGAAUUAAACUUUGAUUAAGGUUAAGUGGGAUUAAUUAAUGACUUAAGCAUUCUUAUUAGGUUCUUAGGGGCUGAUUAGAGUUAUGAAAACCUAAAGGACUAAUGGGCAAUUGUAGGUUUAAUAUUGGUUAAUUUGGAGGACUGAAGUGCAAAAUUGGAAAGUUGGGGUUGAUGGCAGCCAUGUGGCUUGCCACCUCCUACUUGGUUGCAUGGAGACCCUUUUAUAAGGGCCUGCAACUUGUUUUGCAGUAUUUCACCUAUAGCAGCUUGGGUUAGAGAGAGGAUCUAGAGAGAGAAAGUGAAGAUUUGAGGUAAGGAAAUGGUUUAAUUUAGUAAUUUUGGUUUAUUUUGGUUCCUAAUAGUAUGGUGAAACAAAUUAACAGUAAAAUUUGUGUAAAAGUUGAGUGUAAUUAUCUAUAAACAUGUUUUAGUUAAAAAUCACAAUUAAUUAAGGAUUAAAGUGUUUUACCUUAAGUAUUUUAUUAAUGGAGAGAUCAACAUAAAUCUAAGUUUAGUUUGGUUUGAUUGAAAAAUAGAUUAGUAAACAUGUUAUUAAUUAGGUUAUUUGGACACUGGGGCUUGUUAAUGGGUUAGACUUUAGGAAAAAAAUCAAAACAAUUAGUGUUUGGUAAUUAAUUGGAGAAUAUGAGGAUUAAAAAUUAACAACAGUAAGUUGUUAAAAAUUAGUAAGAAAGGAAAAUUGCAUUAGUUUUAAUUGAAUAAAUUUUCAUGGUUAAGAAACGUAAAUUAUGUUGUUUUAUUUUAGUUCCUUGUAAUAGGUAAAGAUCGCCUACAUAGAAGAAUCAUAAAGGGAAAGUCAGUGUAAGGUAAGUAAUUUUAUGUUGUUCCAUGGUGUAUCUGAUUUCUUUCCUUGAAACAUUUAUUGGAAUUUCAUGUCAUUUUUAUGAUUUCAUAAAAUGUUUUAAUGUGUCAUUGCAUCUCGGUUUAUUGUAUUGAAAUGUUACAACAAUAUUGGAACGUAUAUUGGUAUGAAGAUUCAUGGUUCUGUGUUGUGGAAAUGGUUCAUAGUGUGGUUGCAUUGCAAGAAGGAUAUAGAAUAAUCACAGAUGAUAUUCAGAGAAUUGAUUGGUGGGAAGUGUUUAUGUGAUGCUACAGACAUUAUCCUUUGAUAUAUUGUUUAUGUGAGACCAUGGGUCCUUAGGUGAACAUCCCUAAAGCCCUUGAGGAAGACACUUUGAUGUGGGUGUAUGGGGUUGGUCCUGCCACUAGGUUUUAGUCCCUAAAGACAUGGGGUUGGUCUUGCCCCUUUGUUUUAGUCCUUAAAGACAUGGGGUUGAUCCUGCCCUUGGGCAUGAGUCUCAGAAAACACGAGUUAUGACUUACCUUUGGGUGAUAUCUUAAAAUAGUCAUUGUUAUAUUGAUUGAGUAUUUUAUGGAGCAUUGAUAUCUGAUGUGUAGAUUGAUGGGGGUUAACAAUUUAUCAAUUGUGAAAGGAUGGAUAAGGAAAAACAAAGAUGAAACCAACAAACACAUGCAUACAUGUUUGACAUGAUUACAUAUUUGUUAAUGGUUAUAAAAUGUUUAUCAUGCAUGUUAUUAUACGUUUAAUUCAAGGUUUUUAAGGGUAUGCUUAGGAUGGUUAUAAACUUUCCUACUGAGUUGUGAAAUCAUCCUAUCCCUUCCAUCUUUAGAUGCAAGUUAGAAGACCUAUGCUAGAAACAAUGUUUGAGCAUUGCUUUUAUGUUGAUUGGAUGUUGUUUGCUUGCAUUGAAAGUGUUUUGAGGCUUUGCCUUUGUAUUAAAGACUAAAUCUUUUUGAAGUAAUGAUGUAAUGUAUAUUUGUUAUGUACACUUGUAGUAUGGGCUACCCAUAGUGAACCAUGGGGUUUUGGUAUAUGUAAAUUAACAUAGUAUAAGUUUCUUUUGUGAAACAAAUCAUAUUUUGUUAACUACUAGUUACAAAGUUUAAUACAAGAUGUACUUUUUAUAACAGGUUUUGCAUAUUCUCUUUUUGUGCAAAAUCAAGCUGGAACUCAGCAUUUAAAUUUUUCUAUCCCCAUAUUUUGUUUAAGAGCACUUAUGUUGUGAUUGAGUAUCAAUUGUUAUGUUUGAAAAAAAAAAAAAAAAAAAAAACAGGGGUGUGACAUUUAUUAACUUAGGUUUAAUAAAUUAAAAGUAGGUUGAUCUCCUACCAAUCCUUUUUAAAUUAAUCUUAAGAUCAAUAAGAAUCAUACAGACCAUAAUCAUAAGAAGUGCCAAAACAAAAGUCGGUUUGAUGUUUAAUUAGUUAAUUUUAUUAACUAUAUAAGAUAUAAAAUUUGUUAGGAGGUGUCUUAAAUUCCAAAUUAGAAUAUACUUUUUUCUUCUGUGAAAAGAAUAUUACAUAGAAUAUUUCCAAAGUUUAUAUGUGAUUGUAAUUAAAUUGAAGCUGGUAUAAAUAUAUUUAUAAAUAUUUUAAGACAUGAAGAGAAAAAGUUACGAAAGAUAUGAAAAAGAGAUGUGAUCAAGAGCGAGAGACAAUGAUAGAAUAAGAGGGUUCACUGGGGAAGGGUGUAGAUGUGAAGAAGAAUGAGAAACACUUAGUGGAGCAAAAUGAUUCAUGGUUAAUGAUAGAGAUACAAAGAGCAUGAAAAGUGGGAUAUUUGGGCCUUUGUAGUUGUCUAACCUUUGUAUGUGGUUUGCUUUAUUAAUGCGUUCUUCCUUUAAUAUGUUUAAAUUAAGGUUUUUGUUUUCCUUUUGGUCCUAAGAUGGAUUUUGUCAUGUAAUCAAUUAUGCCCAUUUCCAAUUUCAUUAGAAACUUGUGUUCUACGAUUUGGCAAAUGAAAAUAAUUAUUUUUCUAUAAUUUUUUUAUUUUGUUAGUUAAUAAAAAGUAGAAUAUAGAUAAUAUUAGCCAUCAAAUAGAAAGAUAAAUAUGACAAUUAAUGUGUUUUCACAUCAAAUUUGUACUUAGACGGUUUUGCUUAUACGAAGUAAUUUAAUGCAACUAUGAAGAUUUAUAUGUAGUAAACUUUAUAUGAUUUUAGAUUUAAUAAUUGAUUAAUUUUUAUUUGAAGAUAUAAAAACAUAAAAUUAAAGUCUUGUUCGAAAACUAUUAUUGAAAACAACAUGAAAAAUGGGGUUUUUUCACUUAGAAAUAUACAUUUGACAAACUUCUAAUAUAAAACAAUUUUUUUUUAGAAUUUAUUCUUAAAAUAAGUUAUUUUUUAGAACAAAAUUGAAAUGUUUUUAUUUUUUUACAACAAUUUAAAUAAAAAUUGAAGAUAUAGAUAAUAUAUAUUUUGGAAAAUUUUGUAUCAUAUUUAAGUGUACAAUUCCUUUGUAAAGAAUAAAUCGAAACGAAUAAUAGCUAUUUUCAAGAAUUUUUUUUGAAGAAUUAUUUUCACAAAUGUUGUCAAAUAAGCUCAAAACUUUCUACAACAUUAUAUUAAUCUUGAAUUCAAUCAAAAUCUCGCCCCAAUUGAAAAGAGAAAAAAAAAUGUUAAUUAGUUGGUUAAUUUUUACAAUCCUAAAAAAAUAAAUAAUAAUAAAAUAAUAAUUCAAAAGUUUUAAAAUAAAAAUCUCACCAGCUAAAAUAAAUAUUCACUAUCAAAAUAAAAGAUUAUAUAAUAUUUUUCUAUUUUUGACUCUAUAAUCAAGAAUGUUCUUAUAAUUUCUUUUACAAUAACAAUAACAUACUAAAGUAGAAAGAGAUUAAAAUGGGAAAAGAAAAUGAUUAACAAUAAAAUUCAUAAAAAGAAAUGAAAAUUAAGAAGAUUUCAAUCCACUUCAAAUGUAUUUCAAUGAAAUAGUAUUACAUUUAAAUUAUUGAUGAAGGUCAUACCAAUUUAUUUUCUUCCUUUUUUAAUACUUAAUUUUGUUAUCAAUCAGUGAAAAUUUUAUUAAUCAAGGAAAAUGAGAAAAUAAAAUAUUUUUCUUGAAAGUUGAUGAAUUUGUUAAGAAAGGAAAACAAAAGGUCUUUUAUGGGAUACUUUAUUAAAUUAAAUUAAUAACUUAAUUUAAAUUAUUAAAUAAAUUAAGUAUGUUUAGUAAAAUAACAUAAUUGAUUUAAAUCAUUAAGAAUGUUUAUAUGAAAGCUUCUGGUAGCACAACUUAAAGUAUGAAAGAAAUAUUUAAGUUAUGCUUACUUCCUUGAAAAUAUCAAGGAAAGAAAAAUAUUUUAAAAAAUAUUUUUUUUUUAUAUUUGGGUUUACCAUAAAAAGUAAGAAAGAAAAUUGGAUAUAGUUAAACUUAAUUAGAGAUUAAUUUAUGCUUUUUAAAAUUAUUUAAUCUUUACAUAAAAAUAUUAAAGUGUAAUGAAUUUGAAGUAACACAAAAUAAUUUAUUAACUUGAAAUCUAUUUUUUAUUUUUCUUUAUUUUUUCUUUCUUUCUAAUUUUCUCUUUGUUUUCUUUUUCUCUAACUCCCUCAAAUUUUCUAGUAACCAAAUAUAAUCUUAACAUGUGUUGGACGAUGAACUUAUUAUUUUAUGAACUUCAAAUAUUCAAAUUUCACAAAGAAGGAAUCUCGUAUCUAUCUCAAGUUAUAUGCAUCCCAAUUUUACCACUAACAAACCUUAAUCACAACUUUGUUUAAUAAUGAAAGAACUUGUACAAGUAAAAGUAGAAUUUCUAUAAGAUGAAAUUUUUUUUUGGCUUCCACAUCUACUCAAAUAAGCAUAGAACUUUUUCUUUAACUUUUAAGUUUUUGACUUCUCAAAAAUCAAUUUAAAUUCAAUUGAUAAAUUAUAAAAGGUUACAAUAUAAUAUUACAAUGUAUAAAUAUUAUUUUCACUUCUAUAUUUUCCAUGAAAUUAUUUAUUUAUUUAAAUUGAAAUGUCCUUUGGUAUUUUUUUUGUACCUAUAAAAAAUAAAAAAAAUAUUUUAAAUCUUAGGUAUGGUGAUGCUUAAGUAUUUAAUAAUUUUAAUUAGAUAAUUACAUUUUAUUUUACAUUUUACAUAUAAAAUAAUUAAUUACAUUUUAUAUUAUAAUAUUUAAUUAGUGAUAUUUAAAUUUUAAUUAGUUUUUAAUAAUUUAAUUAAUAGUUAAAUAAUUAGAUUUAUUUAUGUUUAAAUCUAAUUAACAAUAAGUUCAAUGCAACAAGAAAAAAAAUAGCUUAUCGUUCUUAUUUUGAAGUGGAUUUUGAUUUCAAAUUUUACUAGUAGAUUUGCUUGACUAACCUUAUAAAUUAGUAGAAUUUAACAAGUUACAAAUAGUUCCCCCACCUAAUCUUUUAAAUUAAUCUUGAUGUUGACAAGCAAUUUGCCAACUAUAAUUAUAAAAAGACAAAUAAAUCGAGUUGAUUUACUAGAUUGCAAGUGGGUGCCCUUACCUAAUCUUUUAAAUUAAUCUUGAUGUUCACAAGCACUUUGACAACCAUAAUUAUAAAAAGAAAAUUUUGUGUCUGAAGACUCAAAGAAUAUGGUUUGUAAAUUAACUAAAUCCAUUUAUGGGCUCAAGCAAGCUUCUCGUCAGUGGUACUUCAAGUUUCAUCAAAUUAUUGUCUCAUAUGGUUUUGAGGCAAAUCUUAUGGAUGAAUGUGUGUAUCACAAAUUCAGUGGGAGUAAGUAUAUUUUCCUGGUUUUAUAUGUCGAUGACAUAUUACUAGCCACAAAUGAUAUUAGCAUAUUGCACGACACCAAGAGAUUUUUAUCAGUGACAAAAUUUCGUAGCCAUAUUCCUUGAUUGGAUGCCUCAUAACAUGCUACAAACUCUGCUUCCAUGGUGGAUGAAGUUACGAGUGUCUGUUUGGCAGACCUCCAUGAAAUUGCUCCACCAGCCAACAGAUAAAUAUAGCCUGAUGUGGAUCUUCUGCUGUCUUGGCAUUCAGCAAAGUCGGAGUCGGAGAAUGGGGACCAUAACCCUAUUUAUAAACUGCUAGGGCAGUUUUANNNNNNNNNNNNNNNNNNNNNNNNNNNNNNNNNNNNNNNNNNNNNNNNNNNNNNNNNNNNNNNNNNNNNNNNNNNNNNNNNNNNNNNNNNNNNNNNNNNNACAAUAUUGUCUGUUGGUUGAGGAUCCAAAUUUACUUCUUGAUCAAUGAUAGGUAGUGAAACCUGUACAUUAUCAAAAGCAAUAGUAGAUCCCUCUUCCUCCUCAAAGACAAUAUUCCUAGCCUGAUUUCUCCCCCCAAACUCAACAUCCUCAAAUAAAUGUGCUUAACCUUAUGAGCUCAAAAUUUGCUAUCAUGUCCUUAGGGUAUAUCCGAACAAUCUCGUCCAUUAACUAUACUGACAUAGGAUCAAGGUGGCCUUUGUUACAUCAAUCGUUACUAGACCAAUCAAUGAUCACAUAUAUCUGCACAGCUAAAUGACAUAGAUCAAUCAUGAGUGCAUAGCAUGGAAAUUACAUGCAAUGUGAUCUAUUCAUGCCUAUUUCCAACUGGUCCAACUUAACUUUAUUGAGAUCAAAUCUUUAGCAUAAUUUAACAGAGUGCAAUAAAAUGAAUACUUUAUUUAUGCAGAACACAAUCCAAAUGUAUAGAUAAAGUCUAAACAUAACAUAGAGCAAUAUACAAUGAAUAAUACAAACUCCCACUAAAUUUGGAUAUCCUCAAAUGAGACAACACCCAUAUGAGCAGUGUGCUCAUGAAAGACCUUGGGUGGUAAUCCCUUUGUAAGCGGAUCCGCUAUCAUGGAGUUUGUUCCAAUAUGCUCUAUGGAUAUCUGUCCACUCUGUACUUUUUCUUUUACAACUAGGAACUUGAUAUCAAUGUAUUUUGAUACCACUUGUUAUAACUCAACCAAGAUCCUUGUUAUAACUCAACCAAGAUGAAUACCCUAAUUUCAUAUAUACUGGAAUAUUUAACAAGGUGAAUACCCUAACUUCAUAUAUACUGGAAUAUUUAACAAGGUGAAUAUAAGUCAAGCUGAUUUUACUAAAUUGAGAUUAAUAAAUUGCAAGUGGGUGCCCUUUACCUAAUCUUUUAAUUUAAUCUUCAUAUUGAUAAGAACCAAAUCGGCCAUAAUUAUAAAAAUAAGAAGACGACAAACUAUGAUUACUUUUAUUAACUAAAAUUUAAUAAAUCACAAUUUCUCUUACCUAACCUUUAGAUUAAUCUUGAUAACUUUGCAAUAUAAUUAUAAAAAGAGAAAGACGACAAACUAAUUUAAUUGGCUAAUUUUAUUAACUUAGGUUUAAUAAAUUAAAAGUAGGUUGAUCUCUUACCUAUCCUUUUUAAUUUAAUCUUAAGAUCAAUAAGAAUCAUACAGACCAUAAUCAUAAGAAGAGCCAAAACAAAAGUCGAUUUGAUAUUUAAUUAGUUAAUUUUAUUAACUAUAAGAUAUAAAAAAUUGUUAAGAGGUGUCUUAAAUUCCAAAUUAGAAUAUACCAUUUUUUUGUGAAACAAAUAUUACAUAGAAUAUUUCCAAAGUUUAUAUGUGAUUGUAAUUAAAUUCAAGCUAGUACAAAUAUAUUUAUAAAUAUUUUAGGACCUGAAGAGAAAAAAUUAUGGAAUAUAUGAAAAAGAGAUGUGAUCAAGAGCAAGAGAUAUUGGUAGAACAAGAGGGUUCACUAGGGAAGGGUGUAGAUGUGAAAAAGAAUGAGAAACACUUAGUGGAGCAAAAUGAUUCUUGGUUUAUGAUAGAGAUACAAAGAGCAGGAAAAGUGAGAUGUUUGGGCCUUAGUAGUUGUCUAACCUUUAUAUGUGGUUUUCUUUAUUCAUGUGUUCUUCCUUUAAUCUUUUUGAAUUGAGGUUUCCAUUUUUCUUUUGUUCCUAAGAUGGAUUUUGUCAUGUAAUCAAUUAUGCCCAUUUCCAAUUUCAUUAGAAACUUGUGUUCUACAAUUUGGGAAAUGAAAAUAAUUAUUUUUCUAUAAUUUUUGUAUAAUUUUGUUAGUUAAUAAAAAGUAGAAUAUAGAUAAUAUUAGCCAUCAAAUAGAAAGAUAAAUAUGACAAUUAAUGUGUUUUCACAUCAUAUUUGUACUUAGAUGGUUUUUCUUGUAUGAAGUAAUUUAAUGCAACUAUGAAGAUUUAUAUGAAAUAAACUUUAUAUAAUUUUAGAUUUAAUAAUCAAUUAAUUUUUAUUUGAAGAUACAAAAACAUAAAAUAAAAGUCUUGUUCGAAAACCAUUAUUGAAAACAACAUGAAAAAUGGGGUUUCUUCACUUAGAAAUAUACAUUUGACAAACUUUUGAUAUAAAACAAUUUAUUUUUAGAAUUUAUUCUUCAAAUAAGUUAUUUUUCAGAAAAAAAAAAUUGACUUUUUUUUUUAUAAUUUUUUCACAAUAAUUUAAAUAAAAAUUGAAGAGAUAGAUAAUGUAUAUUUUGGAAAAUUUUGUAUCGUAUUUAAGUGUACAAUUCCUUUGGAAAGAAUAAAUCGAAACGGGUAAUAGCUAUUUUCAAAAAUUGUUUUGAAGAAUUAUUUUCACAAAUGUUAUCAAAUGAGCUCAAAACUUUCUACAUCAUUUAUAUUAAUCUUGAGUUCAAUCAAAAUCUUUCCACAAUUGAAAAGAGAAAAAAAAAAAGUUAAUUAGUUGGUUAAUUUUUACAAUCCUAAAAAAAAAAAUUAUAAAAAAAUAAAUAAUUAAAAAAAUUUAAAUAAAAAGCCCACUAUCUAAAAUAAAAAUUCACUAUCAAAAUAAAAGAUUAUCUAUUAUUUUUCUAUUUUUGACUUAUAAUCAAGAAUGUUCAUAUAAAAUGAAAACAAAAGGUCUUUUAUGGGAUACUUUAUUAAAUUAAAUUAAUAACUUCAUUUAAAUCAUUAAAUAAAUUAAGUAUGUUUAGUAAAAUAACAUAAUGGUAUGAUUUAAAAUAAAUAAAAAUAAUUAACUUAUUCUUAAAUUCAUAUUUUUAUUUUACCUUUUUAUCCCAAUUUUCCAUAAUUACCUUCACAAUCUCCUUUACUAUUCCACGACCUUUACUUUUACACGACCUCUUUUACUCUAGUUAUAAUUUAUGAGGAUAAAUAUGUCAAUUUGAUCAUUUAGAAUUAAUCAUAAGUUAGUUUUGUAAAACAAUCUUCAUACUUAAAAUAAAAAUUAAGUAAUAAGUUUUAAGUCAAUAAUUUAAAUAUAAUUUAACUAAAAGUCAACUUAAAUAAUUAAGUAAUUAGUAUUAAGUUUUAUCAAACACCUCCAUAUAAUUAGUUAAUUUUGAUUAAUCUAAUAAUAUAGAAAGUGAAAUAUACACAUUUUUUUAUUGGUUAGGCUGGUCUUGAACUUCUUUCACCAAAUAAUUUUUAUUAAUCUUAACAUCAUCAUUAGUUAAUUAUAAUUAAAGAAAAGAAAACCAAAAAAAAAAAGAGUCAAUUUGGGUGACCAAUUUUUAUUGAAAAUUAAAAACCAAAAAAAAGUUGAUCAAUACAAAAGAAAAAAAAAUGAAUGGUAUGAAGUAGACAUUUUGUCUUUAUGAGAUUAUUGAUGGAAGUGUAAUAGACUAUAAGCAAGUCUAUGAGAAUCAAUUCCAAUGAGUCCUAAAACAUAUCUAUGAGAAAUAAAAUAAAACCAUGACAUAAAGAAAUGAUAUUUAAGUGUUAAUAAAUAGGAAUCGGAUACAUAUAAAUAAAAUUUAGAUUAAUUAUAAAUGAAAUUAUUUUUAUUAUGUGGUUGUUUUUAAUGGAUCACCAAUUUUUAUUUUUAUUUUUUUUUAUUUUUUUUAUAUUCCAUAGAAAAAUUACUUUCCAAUACCAUAGAAUCACCCUAAUUUCAAAUUGAGAUUUACUAUCUUAAAUUUUAAAUUUUUUAAAAAUAAUUUUUAAGGGCAUGAACUAAAUCUAUAUUUUUUGUUAAGAAUUUCUAUUUUUUAUAUGGAAGUUUUUAUCAAUUUUUAUUUUUAAAAACAAAAAAUAAGUACUUAGAGUGCAUUUGACAAUAAUUUUAAGAAGUGUUUCUAAUAUUUUAAAUACUUGAAGAAUAAAAAAUUUUAUUUAUUGAAACAAUUGAAUAAUGCACUUUUAGUAUGUAAUGAUAUUAAUUUCUUCGAAGAGAGAGAUUUACAUUUAAGAUAAAAAUAAAUAAAUAAAACAACACAAGGAUAAAAAAUUAUUUUUUAAAAAAACUUUUAACUUCUUGUACUUUAUCAUUACACACUUUUUUCAUUAGAUGCUUUAAAUAAUUUUUAUGAAAUAAAAUUAUAAUUAUAUUGAUGGAGGGCUAAUUAACUUUGCUUUAGGUGAGAAAGAUAGAGAUAACAUUGAAGUGGGUCCACAUCUAAAACAAAAAUGAAAUAAAAAGUAAAGAUGAAGAUCAGGUUGAGGUGGGUUCACAACUAAAAAAAGUAUGAGAUGAAUUGACCAAAGCUUAUGCCUUCUUCCAAAUAGUAAAAGCAAAGCCCAAUAGUAUAAAGUGAUGACACUAGUCCUAUUCAAGGCCCCACUUGCAUAAUUGCUACAUCUUUUGACUUGAUUUUAAUUCAAUUUCACUAAAAUGAAAUCAUUUAUUUGAGCCCAAAAAUUCAAAUCCAAAUCCAACCCACUUAUUUAUAUACAUUAUUGGCAUGGAAUGAGAAAAGUUAUAAAGUGAGAAAAUUUGAUCAUAUGAUAAAUAGUAAUUUUUCAAAGUUGGAGCCAAUCCAAUGCCCAAUGGGUAUAAAAGAAAAAUGAAAGAUGUGGAAAUUAUAGUGGAAUCUUGAAACAAAUUUUUGAGGUUUGAAGUGAUGUGACAACCGUUUCCAAGUAAUUGCCUAAGAAUGUGGGAUGUUAUUGCAUUGAAAAUUGAUAUUAAAUCUCAUUGGGUAACUAUAAGAAUUGUUUUACAUAAAGACAAGUAAUAAAUAUAUCCUGCUUUUUCAAAAAGUUUAUAGCCCUAAGUGAAUAAAAUGGUGAAUAAAACUUUUAGAGUAGGAUGAAUGCAUUUCACGUGAGUCAUGUCCUAGAUAUAUUUUUAGAAUUUUCUAGUAGGAUGUCGAGGAAAACUCUAUGAUGAGUGCUUUCUUUCUAGUUAAGGUAGGUCCAAUUUGGUGCAAUUCGCCAACAUAAUUCAAACCCAACUUAUGUUUUAGGGAUUUGAAUCAAGUAAAAUCAUAUUUAAAUUAAAUUAAUCUUAUGAAUCUAUAUAACCCGUUUAAUAAAUAGAUUAUUUUUAGGUCAAUCUGGAUAACUCACAUUUGACUCAAAUUAACUUAUUUAAUAAUGGUAUUGAUUUACCUAAUAAUAACUUUAACUUAUUGAACUCAUAUUUGACUCAUGUAAAUUUUUUUUCUUCAAUAAGUAUGUCAUAAUUGGGUCAUAAACAUGUCAUAUUAGAAUAUUAACCAUAUUAUUUCAUUCAACAUUUAACUUGACUUGAUUAUGAAAUAACAUCUUAUUAUUAAAUCGGUUAAACCGAUUAUAAUGUAUCACCUAGAUAAUAAUUAUAUUGUGUUUGAGUUUAUGUUUUAAAUUUUGAUUAUUAUUCAUGUCAUGUUUGGGUUGAGUUAUUUAGUGGAGGAUCUAACCUUUGAUAUAACACAAACACAACCCACUAACAUAAAUUGUCAUCCUCAUUUCUACUAAUAAGUGAUUUGUUUCUUACAAUUAAGAAAAUUGAGAAGAUAUUUAAAAAAAAAAAAACUUAAAUGCAUGAUUAAAGUUAAUUAUAACUUUUAAAAGUUUUAUAAUUCAUAUUCCAUCCAAACUAACAAAAUAUUAGAAAUCUUCAAUGGUUUUGUCUACAAUAAAUGUGUUGUGCUAAAUUAUCCCCUUCUCUACUAACCAAAACAUGUUCUUUCACAAUCAAAUAUCAACAUGUUUAAGCAGCCGGUGAGGCAUCUCUUGACAAUGAGGUGAGUGAUAAAUAAACUGAGCAAAAGUAAAACCAGAAUAGCGAAACAAUUCCACUCUUUAUUUGUACUGAGACAACCAAUAAAUAGGCAAUACAAUCAAUUGGCUUGACAAAGCCAUAACAACAAAGGCAUAAAAAUAGGACCAUGAAACCAUGUUUCAAUAAAUCUGCUGCCACCAUCACCAAAAAUCAGGAGAUAAUAAAGAGACUCAAUAAACAAUUUCCUAUAGACCAGGACAACAUAACAGAUAUAAGACUCAACAUAAAACAAUUUAUUAAAGACUUGGUCAAAUGACCCAUUGCACGAAGAUAUUUUAUCACCCUCCCUUAAACUGAUAUCUGCAGAAAUCAGUUUAGGAAUCAAUUUGCAAAGCCUUUCCUGAAGCAGCCACAACCUCCUUUGAAGAACAAAAUCCAAGCAUACUUCGAAGUUUCAUAAAAACAGCAGGCUUGAGGGGCUUAGUCAAGAUAUCUGCAAUUUGAUCUUCACUUUUGCAAAACACCAAAUCAAUAACUCCAUCUUUACAUAAAUCACGCAAGAAGUGGUACCUCACAUCAAUGUGUUUGCUUCUCCCACGUAAGACUAGAUUCUUUGAGAGUUUUAUUGCAGAGAGGUUAUCACAGUAAAUCACUGUUGGACCUUGCUGUUGGUUGUACAAAACUUCAAGUAACCUUCUCAGCCAAAUAGCUUGACAUGAGCUUGAUGCUGCAGCAACAAACUCACCUUCCAUAGUUGACAAAGUCACAAUCUGUUGCUUCUUUGAUGACCAAGUAAUAGCUCCAGAAUUCAACAUAAACACUGCUCCAGAAGUGCUCUUUCUAUCAUCAAGAUCUCCAGCAUAAUCACUAUCUGAAAAACCAAUCAAACUUGAUCUUUCACCCUUUUUGUAUAGAAUCCCAAAGUCUACAGUACCUUUCAAAUAGCGAAAAAUUCUUUUUGCAGCCAAAAGAUGAACUUCAGUUGGAUUCUCCAUGUAUCUACUGAUUAAAUUGACUGCGUGCAUAAUGUCUGGUCUUGUAGAUGUCAGAUACAUAAGACUUCCAACGAUCUGCUUGUAAAGAGUACUAUCCACCCUCUUUCCUGCUCCACUCUUUGAGAGUUUCAGACCAACUUCACUUGGGGUGAUGACUGAAUUACAAUCCUUCAACAUAAACUUGUCCAAAAUCUCUAGAGCAUAUUUCUUUUGAGAAAUGAAAACACUAGCAGAUGAUUGCACUACCUCAAUGCCAAGAAAAUAGUGCAUUAAUCCCAUAUCAGUCAUAUCAAAUUCUUUCAUCAUAGACUUCUUAAAAUCAGCAAGCAUGGUUUUAUUAUUACUAGUAUAAAUGAGAUCAUCAACAUAUAAACACACAAUUAAAAUCUUCUUAUCAACACCAUAUUUAGUGUAAAGAGUGUGCUCAUAUGGACAUUUAAUAAAACCUUCCUCAGUAAAAUAAGCAUCUAUACGACUGUACCAAGCUCUUGGUGCUUGUUUCAGUCCGUAUAGUGCUUUCUUUAACUUAUAUACCUGAUUCUCAUAACCUUGCUUCACAUACCCAGGGGGUUGAUCAAUAUAGACUUCUUCUUCCAACUCUCCAUGCAAAAAUGCUGACUUCACAUCUAACUGAUGGAUAGACCAUGAGUUUUGGGCAGCCAUGGAUAACACCAAGCGAAUAGUGUCAAGCUUUGCUACUAGAGCAAACACCUCUUUGUAAUCCACUCCGAAUUCUUGCUUGUACCCCUUUGCAACAAGCUGAGCUUUGUACUUAUCAACUCCACCAUCUUUGUUCAACUUCGUUUUAUAAACCCAUUUAACACCAAUGGAUUUCUGCCCUUUUGGAAGUUCAACUAGCUCCCAACUAUUAUUUUCCUCUAUAGACCCGAUCUCCUCAUUCAUAGCCUUAUGCCACUUUAAAUCCUUGAUAGCUUCUUGGAAUGUAAUGGGAUCACAAUCUGAUAACAAAGCAUAAUGGGCAAUUGUAUCAUAAUUAUCAGAUUGAACUUCAGUUACCUCAAAAUCUUGCAUCCAUGCGGGCCUUUUUCGAACACGGCGAAGUCGUGAUUCAGCAACUACAUUACUCUCUGCUGCUGUUGAUAAAGUUUCAGCGGCUAUUGGAGCAUCAUUUGGUGGACUUUCAGGUAUAGAAACCGUAGGAAUUUGUUGUUGUAGAAGCUACUGCCUUUCUUCUUCAACAUCAUUGUCAAAAAUGACUUGAGUAGGCUGCUGCCCAUUCCAAUUCUAGGUGCUCUCCUCAUCAAAAAUAACAUCUCUACUGGUCACAAUCUUCUUCGUGAGUGGAUUGAACAAUUUAUAUGCUUUGGAUGCUUCACUUACGCCAAGAAAAACACAGUUUUCACCUUUGUCAUCAAGUUUCUUCCUUUUCUCGUCUGGGACAUGUGCAUAGGCGAUGCAACCGAAAAUUUUGAAGUGAUCUACAGCUGGUUUCCGUCCACUCCAAGCCUCCUCCGGUGUCAUGUUUUGAACAGAAAAUGUAGGACUUCUGUUCAACACAUGGAUACUUCAAUUCACUGCCUUCGGCCAAAAACUCUUUGGAAUUUUUCCCCUUGCAAGCAAGCUCCUCACCAUGUUGAGGAUGGUUCUAUUUUUUCUCUCUGAUACACCAUUCUGUUGCGGUGUAUAAGCAGCUGUGAGUUCUCUUCGUAUGCCUUGAUCAUCACAAAAAUGUUCAAAUUCAUUUGAACAAUAUUCUCCACCACGAUCAGUACGGAGAAUUUUGAUGGAUCUCUCUGUUUCUUUUUCAACGCGUGCCUUGAAGCUUUUAAAUGCACUAAAAGCUUCUAAUUUUUCCUGCAAAAAAGAAACCCACGUUUUUCGACUAUAAUCAUCAAUAAAGAUAAUUAGAUAUUUUUUACCUCCAUUAGAAUUUGGAUUAAUUGGACCGCAAAUGUCAGAGUGAACCAGUUCCAAGACAUUCUUUGCUCUUCGCGACUUUCCUUGAGGGAAUUGAGAACGAUGUUGUUUGCCAACAACACAUUCUUCACAAACUUGAGAAGGAAUGGAAAUUUGAGGAAGACCUGUCACCAUAUGUUUCUGUUGGAGAGUUUUUAAUCCACCAAAAUUCAAAUGGCCAUAGCGUAAAUGCCAAAGCCAUGAAAGAUAUUUCACUUUAGCCAUUAAGAAAGACUGGACACUAUCAAUCUUCAAUGGAAACAACCUGUUUGAAGCCCUUUGAACAACAGCAAUAGCACCUCUCGAAGGAUCAUAUAUCUCGCAAGCACCCUUCUGAAUUGUUAUUAUGUAACCCUUUUCUUGCAAUUGACCAGCACUUAACAAAUUACUUUUCAAGUCUGGUACAUAAAAAACAUUGGAAAUUGUUUCUACAAAACCAUUCUUGGUUCUAAUAUUAAUAUCACCCUUUCCCAUUACAUUCACAGUAGAACAAUCACCAAAGCUCAUUGUAGAACGAAAACCUUCAUUUAGAAAACAAAAAGAAGACUUACUACCACACAUGUGGUUGCUACAGCCUAUGUCCACAUACCACACUUCUGCCUGAGGUUGUUCAUUGACUUGAGCAGCCAUCAACAAGGUUUCAACUUCUUUCUUUUCUGCAUAAUUAGAUUUCUCUCCUUUUUCUUUGUCGUUAGGUAAUUUAGUAUAACAUUCAGAACGGUAAUGGCCAAAUUUAUGACAUCUAAAACACUCUACCUUGGAUUUGUCAAAUUGUUGAUUUCGACCUCUGCCUCUAUUUUGGAAAUCUGGUUGAUCUUCAUCAACUCUAAAAUUGUCUCGUCCACCUCUUCCUCUACCUCCAUCUUUAACUCCUCGAACUCCUCUUCCUUUGCCUCUACCUCGAUCUACUAAUCUAUUCAUUGUCAAAGCAUUGUUGUUAGUUGAAGCUUUUAAAGCUUGCUCCUCUUUGUCCUCCUGGAUGAUUUUCUGCUCAUGAACUAACAAAGAUCCUUGCAACUCGUCAAUUGAUAGUUCAUCAAGGUCUUUCGAUUCCUCAAUAGAACAAACAACAUAGUUAAAUUUUGGCGUCAUUGACCGAAGAAUUUUCUCAAUAACAGUCACGUCCUCCAUCUUCUCGCCAUGAAUUUGCAUUUUGUUGAUGAUUGCCAUUGUUAUUGAGAAGUAAUCAGAAAUUGACUCUCCCGGCUUCAUUCGAAGCGUUUCGAACUCAGAUCGAAGUGCUUGAAGCUGCUGCCUCUUGGUCCUCGUUGAUCCCUGGUACUUCUUCUUCAUGGAGUCCCAAAUCUGCUGGGAGGUGUCCUUGCACAGAAUAGUUUCCAAGAUUGAGCGAUCAAUAGCUUGGAACAAAUAAUUCUUUGUCUUUAGAUCUUUUAAUCUCUGUCCUUCAAUCUCUGUUUUCUGUGCAUCCGUCAUUGGUGAGUUCGUUGCUGGUUCUGCUAUCCCUCCAGAGACUACUUGCCAGUACUCUUUAGAUCGUAAGAAAUUCUCCAUCAACAUGCUCCAAUAGUCAUAGUGACCAUCAAAACGUGGAAUUGCAGGUUGCACAAAAUUUUCAGAGGCCAUUGUUUUUUUUCUGCUGCUGAAAGAAAAUAAACAAAGUUGCUGCUGAUUCAUGCCCAAUUGGUGUCUCAGCUGAUUCGUGUCCAGCUGGUGCUCCUUGAUUGAGGGAGUAAUCAACAAAAUUUAUAACCUAUUACACCAUAUACUAGGAUAGCAAAGACAAAGCUACUAUAGCAUAGUGGCUCUAGGAUCGUUCACUGGGAUGGGUUUUCACUUCACAAAUGAUAUUAAUUCAAAGUUGAAUUGGUGCCUUUUCAUUUCAAGGUUAGCUUUAAAAGAAAACAUAAAGAUGUUUGAAUGAAAAAAAGGUUUGGUUUUAAACUAACCAAAAAUAGUAACUGAUUUUACUUACAAAGAAAAAUGUUUCUUGGAGUUCAGACCACUAGGCUCAGGUUCCUCAUACAAAAAGAAGAGUUCCGGUCACUUGUUUCUUUUUCUCGCAUUAGAGAAUUAACAUAUAGUUAAUUCUCUAACCGGUGCUGUACAGAUGCUUCCCAUUAAUGGGUUCAAACACUAAAUCCCUCUCACUGAUGCACCUUGCAAUGGCUCAUACCUCUCACCUAGCACUUGCCAUUCAAGGUGAUCUUUAACCUUGGAUUACCCGUCAAAAGCUUGCAAGAGAUAACUAAUGGAUGUCUCCUUGGAGUCCAAAAGCUUACCAAGUGUUGGCUAUUCUAGAAAAUCCUACCUUCAAACCACCUCCCAAAGGCUCGCAAGAGAUAAACUAGUGAAUCUCCAUGGACGGAGAUCACUUGCCUUACCAAGUGUUGGCCUAGGUGAUUUAAAGGUGUUUUAAGUUAACUAAAAAGAUAAAAACCAUUAACGGGUCACACUUUCUCUUCAUUAAAAACUAAAACAACAAAACUUCCAAAUUAUGCAUGUGGAAACUUACCCGGAUUUCCUCACUCCAAGAGACGAAAAGCCUAGCCUCUCAUCCUCUGAGGAAAAAUCCUCAGAGUUUGGUUAGCAAGAAAAUGAAAAUGAAAAAGAAGGAAAAAACAGAGCAAGGCUCUGUAUAUUCUAUAUAUUUAUAUAUCUAUAUUACAUACUUCUAUAUCUCGUUGGAUUACAUGAUUCUCUGAGAACAAGCUCCCGAGAGCUAUAUAUAAAGAAAAUUACAAAACAAAAUAUCUGAGGUUAUUCACCCCUUUUCCAAACUUAAUAACUAAGGAAUCCUAUAAUUGGUGGGUUACAAGGAGAAAAUGGGGAUUUAGACAUCAAAAAUCUGAAGCAAAAUAUCCAAAAGUGUCGGUCACAAAUAUCGGGAAGCACUAAGGACCAUUUCGCAAGUGAAAAUGAGGUCUGCGAGAUUUCGCAGAUGCACAAAAAAGACUGCGAAAUCACUUCGCAGCAAACGGCUGAUUUCGCAUCGCUGCGAAGUGGUCUUUGAGCUUGCGGUGUUCGGCUUCCAACAUGAUGGGAAACUUCAGGGGGAAAUCCACAGCACUGUAUAAAAAGGCUACGAAAUCAUUUCGCAACAAAAGGGUGAUUUCGCAGCGCUGUGCAAAAUUCUUCCUUCAGCUUGGAGUGAUCGGCUUGCAAUGGCUGUAACUCCUUCAUUUCAACUCCGAAUUGCGCACCGUUUGAAGCAUUGGAUUUUUGACUUCCUGAGCUUCGAAACGAAAUAUAGCAUGCAUAAUUUGGACUCCAGAAAGUGCUCCAAAAGUGGCUGACAUGACUGUCAUCAAAAAUUGCUUCAUGGCAGAUUUCUCUUUGCUUCCUCUCCUUGCAUUCCGGAUUUGCUUAUGGCAAAGGACUUCAAAGAUUUGGUUCUUCAUGUUUCUGAGCUUUCCAUUGCUUUGCCAUGGAUUCCAAAUAACUCUCCUCAAUCUCGGAUUGCUUUGGUGAUAAAAAAGCUAUCAAAACACCAAAACUUAAUACAAUUUGAUUAGAAUUGAUUGCAAGGGUCCUUAACAUGUUAAUUCGGUUAAAAGGCAAUAACUACUACUCAAAAGUGUUUAAAAGAGUUAAUUACAAGCUACAAAAUAGCACUUUUUGAGUAGUAAUCAGUUGCUAUAUGACUCUCUGUCUCACAAACUCUCUCUCUCUGUUUUGGCACUCUCAAUUCUCACUUUCUGGUUUUAACCCACUUUUCUAAUGUUAACCAGGCUCUGAUACCACUGAUAAAUAAACUGAGCAAAAGUAAAAACAGAAUAGAGAAACAAUUCCACUCUUUAUUUGUGUUGAGACAACCAAUAAAUAGGCAAUACAAUCAACUGGCUUGACAAAGCCAUAACAAUAAAGGCAUAAAAAUAGGACCAUGAAACCAUGUUUCAAUAAAUCUGCUGCCACCAUCACCAAAAAUCAGGAGAUAUUAAAGAGACUCAAUAAACAAUUUCCUAUAGACCAGGACAACAUAACAGAUAUAAGACUCAACAUAAAACAAUUUAUUAAAGACUUGGUCAAAUGACCUAUUGCAUGAAGAUAUUUUAUCAGUAAGAGGUAGAAACAAGAAACAUACUUGUCUUCAAGAGAAGUGUUGUUUCUUCAUUUGCAUUAGACAACAUUCAUUUAGUCUAAACUUGAAGGUGGAUUGCUAGAAUCUGAGCUCUUGGAAAGACAUAAGAGAAGUACAUUUAGAAAUAUGAAAGAAGCCUAGAGACUUGUUGCAACUUGUGAAUCACUGUAAUUAGAAACAAUUCCAAAUAAUCCUACAAUUUUGGACCUUUGAUUUGCUCUGUUGCAUUUUGCCAAGAACAGUUCUAAAAUGUUUUUCUUUAUUAAGCUAUAAUGAUUUUAUUAUUAGGAUUUAAUUGUAUUCAUUAGGUUUGCAAAUCACAAAAAUGGUGUCGUGCCUAUGAAUAUUUUUCUCUUUGAUCAUGUAAAGUUGGGAAACAAUUAUAAAAUACUAUGAUAGCACAAUAUAUUGAUCCACACAGUUUGUGGCAUGACAGUUUAAUGAAAUUACAGAAGUGUAGCACUCAUGGGUAUGUCAUGUGAACCGUUUUCAAUGGAGCUACUUGUUUAAAUUUACAUGGGUGAAUUGUCACACCAAUAUCCUUUGAUGAACCUUGGGUUCUUUUUUCUGUUUCUUCCUCUCUUGGUUAAGACAAACAAUUUGUCUUCAUAAGGACUUCAUGUUACCAAUAAGCAGCAUCUUGUGUUCUCCUUCUCUUCAUCCCCUUGUCAAGACAUAACAAUCUAAUGCAUCUUUGCAUUGGGUUGCUUCCUCUUCUCUCCCUUUCCUUCCUCCUUGAGGCAAAAUCGCAUCAUUACUUAGUUUUGACUAUGUUUCUUUCGAUCAUUGUGAGAGAGCAUCAUUGUAAGAUGAACAAGAAACGUGUCGUGGUGCAUUAUCCCCUCCUCUACCACCUAAAAUCUAUUUUACACGAUCAUAAGGACCAAGGUGUUUUAAACAUCAGGUAAGGCAUUUGUUGACAAUGAUGUGAGAGAUAGAGACAAGCAACAUACCAGUAUUCAAAAGACGUGAUGUUCUUCUUUUGCAUUUGACAACAUUCAUUUAGUCUAAACUCCACAUUUGGGCAACUCAGAAUCUCCACCUUCAUUAGGAUUGCAGGAAGCUGGCUUCUUGGAAAGACAUGGAAAUGGGGCAUCUAGAAAUCCGAAAGAAUUCCAGAGGCUUGUUACUAUUUUUGAAUCAUUCCAAUUAAUAACAACUCUAAAAGAUAUAUACAAAUUUGUCCUUGGGAAAGAGAUGUGUCAUGUGCAUAUGCAACCAUCUCUCUAAUAGACUCAGGGUUGUGCACCCUCAUGGUAGUUUCUUAUAUAUUGCACCAUAUGAGUUAAAGAUAUUCAACUACCAAUAUCACUACACCUGAAUGAACUAGGAGUUAUGCUGAAAGUGAAGUUGACAACCCAUCAUCGAAAGAAUCUUGUAGGAAUAUACCAAAAUGAAAAUCUUAUUAACAUAAAUGAAUUCAUCUAGUUAAAGGAUAAAGUUGCCUGAAAAAUUGAAUUGGGAGAGAUAGAAAUAUUGAUGCUUUCAUAGGACUGUGGAAGAGAUCAACAAGCGGAACAAACAUUGAAUAGUAAAUGUAAAGCCAUAAAGCUUGUAACUAUUGUCAAAAGUUGCUCCCUAGUGAAGUUUUUUCACAAUAAAAGUAAGUGCAAAAUUCACCUAAUAGCUCCACUUGUAGAAAAUUUCAAUGGUGUGAAACUAGGGGAUAUGGUGAACUUGCUUCUGCUAUUGCAGUGAACCAUUAUGGAUCAAAAAUGAAUCUCACCAUCAGUUUUCACAUAGGAGAUGUGGGCUAUCUUUGGCGCAUAUCUCAAUAUUGGAUUUAGGAGUUCUAUUUCUCAUAUAUGGUUUCGCUUGCAAAAUACAAAUGGAGCUUAGCUGAUGAUAACACAUUUAGAAAAAUGCAAGAAUUCCAUAGACAUGUUUUGUGCUAUCAUGAAUCAUUCCAAAUUCAAUCAUUCCAUAGACAGUAAGGAAUCGAAGUGCUAUAAUUUUGAAUUGUCUUAGGGAACAAACCCAAAUUCCAUCUUGUGGAAGUAAACUAUCUUGAGCACCAACUCAAUUCUGAGUUCUUUAGGAGACUUGAGACACCAAUUCAAUCAAAGAUGCUAGUUGUUUCUGAGGUAGAUUGUCUUCUUCCACUGAUACUAGGGGAAAUGCUUUUGAAAACCAUUCAUUUGCUAAUUACAAAGGGAAAUGAGAUUAUGUGAUUUGGGAAGAGAAUUAAGCUUUGAAAGAGAAUUAAGCUUCGAAAUAUUGCCAAUAUGCAACCAACAAUUUCUAAUUCUAUCACUUCUAUUCUAGCAUGUGAUUUGGGAUGAGAAUUAAGCUUUGAAAUAUUUCCAAUAUGCAACGAAUUGAGAGAGGCCAAGUAGGCAACCACCAUAGCUAGUUCACAAACAAAUGACAGCAUUGGAAGUGGAACAUGACACAUAAACUUCAAAAACAAAACAUGUUUCCCACAAUCAUAAAUACCAAGGUGUUUAAGCAUGAGGUAAGACAUCUUUUGACAAUGAUGUGAGAGAGAGACAAACAACAUACCAGUAUUCAAGAGAAGUAGUAUUCUUUUUUUUCAUUCGACAACAUUCAUAUAUUCUACAUCCCAAAUUUUAGCAACUUAAGAUCUCCACCUUCAUUAGGAUUGCAUGAAGCUAGCCUCUUGAAAACACAUGAGAGGACAUUUAGAAAUCUGAAAGAAUUCCAGAGACUUUCUAUUGCUUGAAUUGUGAAUCAUUCCAAUCAUAAAUACCAAAGUGUUCUAAGAUCAGGUAAGACAUCUCUUGAUAAUGAUGUGAGAGAUAAAGACAAGAAACAUACCAAUAUUCAAGAGAAGUAGUAUUCUUCUUUUGCAUUUGACAACAAUCAUCUACUCUACACCCCAAAUUUUAGCAACUUAGGAUCUCCACUUUCAUUAGGAUUGUAGGAAGCUGACUUUUUGGAAACACAUGAGAGGAUAUUUAGAAAUCUAAAAGAAUUCCAGAGACUUGCUAUUGCUUGAAUUGUGAAUCAUUCCAAUCAUAAAUACCAAGGUGUUUCAAGAUCAAGUAAGACAUUUCUUAGCAAUAUGUGAGAGAUAGAGACAAGCAACAUACCAACAUUCAAGAGAAGUAGUAUUCUUCUUUUGCAUUCAACAACAUUCAUCUACUUUACACCCCAAAUUUUAGCAACUCAAAAUCUCCAUCUUCAUUAGGAUUGCAUGAUGCUGGCCUUUUGAAAACACAUGAGAGGACAUUUAGAAAUCUGAAAGAAUUCCAGAGACUUGUUGUUGCUUGAAUUGUGAAUCAUUCCAAUCAUAAAUACCAAGGUGUUUCAGGAUCAGGUAAGGCAUCUAUUGGCAAUGAUGUGAAAGAUAGAGACAAGCGACAUACCAGUAUUCAAGAGAAGUAGUAUUCUUCUUUUGCAUUCGACAACAUUCAUCUACUCUACACCCCAAAUUUUAGCAACUCAGGAUCUCCACCUUCAUUAGGAUUGCAGGAAGCUAGCCUCUUGGAAACACGUGAGAGGACAUUUAGAAAUUUGAAAGAAUUCCAGAGACUUGUUGUUGCUUGAAUUGUGAAUCAUUCCAAUCAAUAACAACCCUAAAGGCCUAUAUACAAUUUUGAACUGUCAACCUUCUUACAUUGAAUGAAAAACCUAUCCCUAGGAAAAAAGUGUCUUAGGCAUACAACCAUCAAUUAUUAGCUCUUGAAGAGGCUUAAAGUUGUGCACCCUUUUGGUAGCUUCUAAUUCAUUACAUCAUAUAACUUCCAGAUAUCCAAUUGACACGUCACUACACCUGAAUGAAGUAGAAAACAUGGUGAAUAGGAAGUUAGACAACUUUCACAAAAAGAAUCCUACAACAAGAAUACACCAAGCAGAACUUCUUGUUAACAUAAAUAAAUUCACUCAACUAAAUUAUUGUGUUAAAAUUUAAAUUGGGAGAAAUAAAAAUACUAAUGCUUACAUGGGACUAUGGGAUGACCAACAAGAGGAACAUAAUUUGAAUAGAAAAUGUGAAGCCAUAAAGCUUGUAAUUGUUGUUAAAUGCUACUCCCUAGUCAAGUUUUCAACAAAAAGGUUUAGUGUAGGGAUUCUCUAGUAGUUGAACUUGUAGAAAAUUUUAACAGUAUGAUAAUUUAUACUUGUAACAAGAAGGUAAAAUGUAAGAAUUAUGUGUUGGGAAUAGAUGAAACUUACUAAAUAUAUGGAUAGGAUAGGGCGAACCCUCUUUGCUUUCAUUUUUUGAAUCCAAACUAUUAUGGAUCAAAGUUGGAUUUAUCCAUCUAUUAAAUACAAUUGGAGCUUAGGUGAGGUCUUGGUAAUGUAGGAAAUUCAUGGAUUCUGGAAUCUUUACAUGGAAAUAUACAUGAGUGAUACAUUGGAAGAAAGAGCAAGCCUUAGUCAUCUGAGAAGAAACAAAUCUUAAAUAUACUAUCAAUCUUGAGUUGUUUGAGAGUGGUGAGUCUGUGAAGGCCUCUCUCUGAUAAGGGAUGUCUUUGACAUUUCUCCUUCUUCAAUCUCAAGAAGGUAUACCAUCAACUAGAACAUUAGGAAUGUGAGUCAUCAUGGACAACUUGUUUAUGUUCUUUAUUCUUUUCUCAUUGAAGGGGAUUAAAAGAUAUGUAGUUGCAAGGACAAGAGAUGUAGCCAGUAGUGAGAGCAUCAAACAAUCCUUCUCUAAUGCAGACCAUAAAUUUUAGCAACUCAUGAUCUCCAUAAUUGAGAGCAUUGAAGGAAGUUACCUUGUUGGAAAGAUGUGACAUGACAUUUAGAAAUAUGCAAAAAUUUCGGAGUUCAUUCUAAUCAUUAAGGAAUCCAAAGCCCUAUAAUUUAAUAGGGCAUCCCCUUGGCAUGGAUAACACACCUAUCUUGGAAAAAAGAUUGGGCACCAAUUCAAUGAUCAACUCUCUAUGAAACUUGAGAUACAAGGUACUAAUGUUAGCUGUUUCCGUGGCAGUUCUUUUACUGGUAUUGGAGUAAAACCUUUUGAAAACCCUCAAUCUACAAAUUACCAAGGACAUGAGAUCAUGUUGUAAUGUCAUCUCCAAUCUCUAGCUAAAAACAAAUUAUUUCUUUCAAUUAACAAUCUUUAAUGCAUUCACUUCUAUCAUACGAUAAGCAAUUUUGGAAAACAAGUAAGCUUUAUAAUAUUAGGAAUAUGCAAGGAAUUGAUAAAGGCCAUGAAUCUACUUUCAAAAAAUAAAUUAUAAAAACAAAGAUUUUUUCACCCAUGAAUAUUGUAAUCAGCUUCCAAAAAACAUUAGGUAUUGCAAUAACCAAAUGUUCAUCAAGUUACUAAGAGUGUUUUUUUUACCCAUGCAUAAAAUAAAAAGAAAAUAAGAAAGCAUACCAUACAACUCACAAUUUUGUCAAGUAUGAGUUCAAUUCAUGGUCAUGCACAAUUGCAUUAAGUAUUUGAAAGACAAAUAAGGUUAUUUGCAAUUCAAAUAAUACCAUACAACUCACAACAAAAUCCUCACAGCUCACCAUAGAAUGAGAAUUCAAUUGUCUUUCCUCUAGUUAUAAGAGUUUGUGCUCUUCGAGCCUUUGACUUGCACAACUCAAGACAGCAAGACAUGCCAAAAAGACUCCUUCACCUCAAACAUUAUUCAAAUCCAUAGUAUAAAUCUAGAUAAGAUAAUUUUCUACAAAUAUAACAUGUUGCAAACAAAUAAUAGUAUGUUGGUUUAAAAUUGAAGAGCAUUUCAAACCAAACAAAAUAGAAAAAAUUUCAGUGUACAUCACUCACCUAAAAGCUUAUAAGUUGGAUAAAAUUCCUACUAAUGAAUCCUAACAAUUAUUUGCAAUCAAAAUUUAGUAAUGAUUUAUAAACAAAAAAAAUUACAAAUUUUUUUUAGCAAUGUUCCAUGAAAAACACAUUGCAUAUUGAUUGAGAAAUUAAUAUGAAAUCCACUAAUUUGAAAGGCACUAAAAACCAGAUGUUGUCUUGAGUUCUCCACGUAUCAAAACAGAUGCAAGUUUCUAUUCAAGCCACCACAAUCACGAAAUACGAGACUUCUUUGCAUGGAAGGCACACCAUAUUUUAAACAAGGUUCUUAACUUUCCAAGACACAUAAGAACAUGGUGUGUUGUAGAAACUGUACAAUAAAUAAAUGGAAGUUAUGCACUUGCUACUUAGUUUUUUUAAUCAUGUGUGAAAUAAAUAAAGAGGUGUUACAUUUAGGCCAAACUUGUUGUCUCCAAUAUGAAAUCCAAAUCUCAUUUUGUCAACAGAAUAAGAGCAUUAAACAUAUAGCAAAUUGAAUCCUUCAUUUUGACAAUUUGAAAACCUUAAAGGAAUGACUUGAGAUCAUAAAUAACUAUAUGGUAAAGAAAAUUUUCAUCAUUCAUUCUAAAAGGAAAAUUUAUCAUUUCCUUGAUUACAAAAGAUUGAUAUUUUAACAUAAAGUGCACUUAUUAAGGUAAAAUUUGUGUAUUAUAUAUUGAAUUAGAAAAUUGUAUUUAAAUCUGGUUAGAAGGGUAUCAUAAAAGAUGCUUAAUUGAAAUGAAGGCAUCCAUGCCAAUUUGUAACUAUUGUCAAAUAACACCCUCCCUUGUCAUUUUAUGUCCCAUGCUUGCAUGUCAAAUCUCUAACUAAGACUGCUCAAAGAGCACCUAAAAGAAAAUUACGAAGAUUUCAUUACAGGUAAAACUUAAGAUGCUUACAUUGACCAUGGGAGAGAUCGAUAAGAAACAAAUACUCACCCAUAAGUUUGUAACUAUUUUACUCAAAACUUGCUUCCUAGUCAAACUUUCAACAUAACUCCAUGGAGACUUCCACAAAUUGUUGAGCCACUGGUAAAACACAACAUCAAUAUGAGAAAUUUACAAGGUACUAUGCAGAUAAAAGAGUAAGAAAUGUGUUUUGAGAAUAAGAGUUACCUUAAUGAAUGUAAGGAUAGAAUAGGGUUGAAUUGGCUCUGCACCCAUUUUUGCAAUUUGAAUUUAUUAUGGUUCAAAAAUGAGUUUAUGAUGUAUCCUCAUUUUAGAGGAAGCGGGCAAUCUGGGGUCAAUCUCUAUCAUUCUCCCUGAAACAUCUUUGAUUUCAAAGUUUGAUAAAACUUAGAAGACAACCUUUCACUUGGCAAAGAGGACUAGAACAAGGCAUACCUCAAUCUCUACAAGUUAAAGAAAUGAAGUUUUGAAGACCAAUGGAAGGGGCUAGGAUUCCAGAUUUGACAUUAUUUUCAUUGAAAGAUCAAUGAGAGUUGUAGCAAGAAAUCCUGUCAAAAGGAAAUUGCAUUUAACAAUGUGCAAUAUAAAAUGAAUGAACUGAGUUUUUAAAGAGGUGAAUAUUUGGAGGCUCCACAAAGAUAAGGGUUUUUAAUACCCUUGCAAGUGUAUUCUUGAAAUUGUUUCCUCAAAGGAAACCUGAACCUGGACAAUGUGCAACACAAAGCUAUUAAAGAGAUGUGAGACUCUAAAUCUGAUGAGGUAGGACUUGAGAUCCGCAUUUUCUGAAGUGAGGAAUUAUGAGGUUGUAGACACACUAGUACUUUCUAGAUUUAGAUACUUCUCUUCAAAUAUUUGUAUAACGUACAUCUUCUUUGACAUUGCUGCUCCAACAGGAUGUCCAACAGGAUGUGCAACCUAUUUGGGCAUACUACACGUACAACAAAAAAUUUCAUUAAAACAAAAAACUUUUACUAAAACAAAAAUAUGAAGUUAAUGUCUAAGAAGAUAAGAUUUAUAUAUAGUGAAUGAGCAUGAUUGAUUUUAGCAUAAAGGGAAUGACGCCAAAAGUUUUAAGAAUAUCAUCACCACAAGUACCUAAUUUGCAUCAUUAAAAAUUCCACAAGGAUUUGAUGGUUAGACAAUAAAAUAAUUCUAGUAAAUGAGUUAAAAUCAGCUGAGCUAAGAAAUAUUAAAUCCAAAUAAGCAUCAAUCAUUAAAGAAUUAACCAACUACGAAAGACUUCAAAUGACUUUUUUUUUUCCAGUAAUUUAUGUUCCUAAUUGGCCCCAUUUGCUUGUACCAAAAUAUUAUUAAUUUGCUUUAAAGGAAGUGGGUGGCUCAUAUCUCUGAAAGAAUGUGAGAGGUGGAAAUCCCUCGAUCUCUAGUGAUUCAAGAGGAUAAUUCCUAUGGCUAUUGUUGCCAUCAUACAUCAUUCAACUAGCUAUAGACCACAAAAUUGAACAAUCAUGAAUACGUAGAUGCUUAAAUAUGGUAUGUACUUUAUCUAGUGGAAAAGCUUAUGAGACUUGGACAUCUAGAGAUUUUCAGGAAUUAAGACAGAUACAAGUUGUUGUUUCCUGUUAUAAUUUAUUUGGAUUGCAAUCAUCAAGCACUAACUCCAUUCAUUGCAUGUUUUGAGCCUUCAACAUAAAACCCAAAUUCCAUUCUAUCGGCCAAAAAAAAAAUCACUACUAACUCCUUUGGAAACCAUUUUAUGUUGCUCAAAUUAUAAAAUGUAGGAUUUAACUGACUUCCAUUAUUGAAAAUGAAUUGAUAUAACUUUAUAAUACUAGUAUAUUCAGCUUUUGACAUGGCUGAAACUGAUCUUGGAAUCAAAAAUCACAUACACAAGUAGAUAUUUAACAGAAGAGGAUCCAAAAUCUCUUCAAUUGAUUAAUGUAUAAAUGAAUUAUUCAAAAAAAUUUGAGAUAAUUAUGGGGAGAUGAACCUUGUAUCUCUGAGUUUCUUAUUCUUCUUAAACAGAGCAAUGAGCAUCAAGUGUUGAGCACCCAGGAAUCUCCCUUCCUCCACAGGCAAAGUCUGAACAAUCUAUCCUUUCUUCAUAUUCCACUUCCUUGCAAAAGUCAAAACAUGAAGAAAAUAUCAUCAAAAUUGAGACAAAAAUAAGUGCAUCAACUAUCUCAAGAAGAGAUUUAUGCCUACUGCUUACCUUUUGAAGAAGUCCACUUGGUUAGAGCACAUUUUACAUGGACGCCCAAUCACUGCAAGCUGCUGAACCAAAGGAGAGUUCAAACAUCUAAAAAAUUUGACGAACUCAAGUAUCAUAAAAUACUUCAUAUGAAUUCUAAAUGAUCUCAUAUCUAAAAAACAUUGGCAUAAAAUUAUUGUUGUUUACCUUACAUGUUUCUUCCAUGGUCAUAAUCGAAACUUUGUUUAUCAUAAGAAAUCUUCUAUGCUCAUCUUGAUUACUUAUAAUGAACACUGAAAUGAAAAGGAAAAAAAUACAAAAAAUGAUGAUUAGUUUGGUUUGAUAAAUUUAGCACACAUAAUUUCCUUUUUCUUGCAUGAGAAAGGAAAGAGUAAAUAUAUAUAUAUGAAUUUAAUAAUUUUUUAAAAUUAGUAAUUACAAAACUAUUUUGGUUCUCAAAAAAUUUAUGGGAAAGUAGGGAAAAAAUUAUAAACUUUUUCUCUUGUUUGAUUAUUUAUCGGAAAAUUGAGGGAAAAACAAAAAUCUAUGAGAAAUUUAUUUAACACUUUUGAGGAACCAAAAAUGUUUUAGAUGUUGUUAAAUCGAUAAUUUAAACGUGUUUAAUUCCAAUUAAAUGAGUUUAAUCAAACACAUGAAAUUGUGAAUAAAAUUAUUUAAAAGCAUUGAAAUUCAAGUCAUUAAAGUUGUCCAUAAAAUUUGGUAUAUUGAAGCAAGAAAAAAACAAAGCAAUUUGAAUGACUUGCUAAUAAACAUGACUAGCGAAUAAAUUGGAACUUGAAAGAAAAGUUUAAGCGCAAAGGAAUUACCUGACUGUGUAUUGGCGGAGUGGCACUUUGAUUAAAAUAGCACUUCAUUGAUCACUAUUUUAGGAAUGAGAUCUAUAUAACGUCAUUCUUCCCCUUUCUCAAAUUGACACCGUUUUUCCAGUAAAUGACCUCAUUAGAACUACAAUAAGUGAAGUGAUAAUGUCAUCUAAUUAGUAAACCAAACCAAGUCAAUAAACUAGAACUUCCUCUAGUAUAGCCUCUGUGUAAAAGAAAUUUAAAGGUCAUUUAUUGCACCUGGCAAGGCAGAAGUAGUAAUACUCAUUUUUUAUUGUGACAGAUUAUAGAGAAAAUUAGACACUGGGAAAAUACCAAGCCAGGAGCCAUGUCAAGAGCUGUUUUCUUGUUAAAAGUUUUAGCAAAAAUGGUGUUGAGAAGAGAAAGAGGAGGAAUGAUGUGUUGAGAAUGAAAUGUAAUACCUUAUUUAUUACUCAGAGAUGGAUUAGUCAUUUAUCACCACACGGGGGAUGUGGGCAAUCUUGGGCCAAUCAUCUCCUUCCCACUUCGAGUACCGUUGUUUUAGAUGUGGGCAACACCACACAUACAGUCGUGAAAGGGUGUCAGGCAAUAGUCCUUCCCUUGGCAAAAUCGACCGGAGCUUAGGGCAACUGUAGAUUGCUAGAAUUUCAAGAGAGGUGAGGGUUUGGAGAGACAGGGAGGCUAGGGAUUCCAGAUUCUGGAAAUCUGAAAGGUAAAGGGAGGUGAGAGUUGUAGGAAAAAGAAUCGAGUGGGGGUCAUCCGAAAAGGAAGUUGCAUCUGGAAACAUGCCACCAAUCCAGAGGUCUUUAAGAGAGGUGAGUCUGGAAAGGCCCCAUUGGGAUAGGGGGGUCUUGAUAUUCUCACAAUUACGAAUGACAAGCGCUGUAAGACGGGUGAGCUUUUUUAUCUGAGGAAGCAACAAUUCCAGAUUUUCAAAAUCUACAAUACCAGCUUUUUUAUCUGGUAGGGUUUUGAGAUUAGGAUACCUCCUGAGGGUUAAAAAUUGAAGUGAAUUAUUAGUAGAGUGAAACAUCUCCUCUGAAAUUGACUCGAGGUGUUCACAAUUCUCAAUGUGAAGUCGCUCAAGGGUGGAUGGAAACUUGCCUCUUGGGAAGGAUGUGAGAGAUGGACAAACACUUAUUUCAAGCUCCUUGAGAGCAGCAGCAUUGGUGGAAUGGUGGUGCAUUAUUCCCUCUGGUAGAGACUCUAGCCUUCUACAAUCACUUAUUGUGAGUCUCUUGAGAGUGGCGGGUAACCCACCUUUCGGUAAUCCAAUAAGAGAAUGACACCGAACUAUCAAAAAGUCUUCAAGGGCACACAUGCCCAUCAUUUCUUCUGGAAGUGACUUGAGAUUUUCACAAGCCAAUAUGCGUAGACUCUUAAGGGUGGUGGGUAAUUGCCCUUUUGGAAAGCAAAUGAGAGAUGGACACUGCUCUAUUUCCAAGGAUUCAAGGACGCAUGAGUUGUUGCUGUCAGUAGUGUCGUUCCUCAUCUUCAACAUCAUGCCAUCAGGUAGACUCUUUAUACCUUUACAAUUUCCAACAGUAAGACUUCUCAGCUUUGGUGGGAAACCUACAUCUGGAAAUGACGCUAGCUUUGGACAAUCCCUGAUUGUCAAUUCUUCAAGGCAUGUUAGACUCUGCCAUCCAUUUGGAAGCCUCUCUAGUUUAGCACAUCCACUUAUUGCCAAAGACUGAAGAUUGCAUCCCAAGGAUACAAGUUGAUCACAAUCUCUAAUCUCAAGAGAAAGAGAGUUUUCCGAUCCAAAACCAUCCUCCCACAAAUAUUCGAGUUCUUCACAUUCCCAUACUUCCAAAACCCGAAGCCCUUGCAAAAAUUGCAUAAAUCCUUCAUGCAAUUUGAUAAGCCCUGAAAUCCUAGAAAUUGUUAACUUGGUGAGUGAGGUGAGGUCAUUUCCACUGCUCAAGACCGCCUCAUUAAAUUCUCCUACAUGUAAUUCCUUCAGCAGUGGAAGUCUUGAAAGUGGAGACUCCAAUUUUGGACAAAAGUGAACAGAGAGCUCUGUAAGAGAAGGUAGGUAAGUGGGUAGUUUCAUAAUCAAUUUGGGGCAAUCCUCAAUUGUAAGCUCAUGGAGACAAGGGAAUAAUGACUCUGUUGAGGAAGACCAAUCCUCCCAGUGCUCCCAUUCUGACAUGCUAUUAAAAUGUAGAGACUCUAGUGAUGGGAAAAACUUACCUGCAGAAACACGAGUCUCUCCAUAAAACUCUGCACCCACUUUUUUUACUCCAACCAUUCCUUGGAUCCUCAACUGUUUGAGCGAUGGCAACUGCCCCAAGCAUGGUAAAGACGUGCACUUUCUGCAAUCUAUGAGACUUAGAUCCACCAUCUUAGAGAACAAGGCAUCCCCUAUCCAACGUGGGAAUUCUGGACCACCAUACAACUGAAUGCAGAGUUUGUUCAGAUUCAAACAAGGUUGUAGAGAGUCAAGGACAUCCAUUUGAUUCCUUUCAUUCCCUGAACCAUCCAGCUCAGAACUCCACUGCAUUAUCAAGCUUUCAAGGUUACGCUUCAAUUUUAAAUCGGCAUCCCUUGCAUCUUGAAUAUUCACCACAUUUUCCAAUUUCGAAAUGCAAAGUUGUCUUCGCAGAUGUGACAUGCCCGUCAACUCCUUGAUUGUCAAACCGUUGUUUUUGUCCACAAUGAAAUUAGACAAUAUCCGCAAAUCUUUUAGUUUGCCAAUUUGUACAGGCAUUUCUUGUAAUCUUAUUGCACCAGCAACAUCAAGAUGUCGAAGAUUGAUUAGGUUACCGAUGCUAAUAGGCAACCUGAUAAGCUCUUCACAGCAUGAUAAUUUCAAUGUCUGAAGGUAAAAAAGAUUACCAAUUGAAUCGGGUAACCAUUUUAUACUGGUGUAGGACAAAUCAAGGUAUCUCAAAUGUUUCAACUUACCAAAUGAAUCCGGUAUCUCACUUAUCAUGUAAUGAGCCAAUGAGAGCACCCUUAAGUGCCCUAACCUUGGUAUCAAUUCUUCAAGCACCUUAUUACUUAUGAAGGAAUGAGGUUCAUCAAUCGGCAAAGCUAUGAACGUGUGCAAGCACUCUUUCUUAUCAAACCUUUCAAAUUUUUUAAAGAUAUCAUAGUCAUGACGGAUGAAUGAUGAAUGACGAGUACUUUCAGGAACGGAGCGUUGCAAAUCAUUCCACAACCCAUCAUCCAAAUGCAAGCAUGUGUCUCCAGCAAUAGAUUUAGCUAGAUCAUUGAUAAGGUCAUGCAUAACGAAUCGUGAUUUAUUGCUAUUGGACGAUUGGAAAAAUGACCUUGACAAUAGUUCACAAAAAUAAUCAUCACCAAGAUCUUCCAUUUUCUCAUCCUCAUUUGAUUGUUGAAUUAACCCCUCCGCCAUCCACAAGAGGAUUAGCUCUUCCUUCUUAAACUCAUAAUCUUGGGGAAAUAGUGCGCAAUAAGCGAAACACCUUUUUAAAUGUGAAGGGAGAUGAUUGUAGCUCAAUCUCAACGCUGGAAGAAUACCACACUUAUCACCAGGUAAAUUCCAUAUUUUGCUAGCUAGUAUAAUAUUCCACUUAUCUUCUCUGUGUUCAUGGCGCAGAAGACCACCAAGUGCUUUUGCUGCCAAGGGCAGGCCUCCACACUUCUUUACAAUUUCCCUUCCUAUCAAUGCCAAGUCCGGAUGCUCAUUGGUAUUUCUGUUUUCAAAAGCAUGUUUUUUAAACAACUCCCAACAAUCAUUGUCAGACAAAUGUUUUAGCUCAUAAAAGUUUUUAUCUCCUCCCAUCAUAGUUGCAACAUUUUUAUUACGAGUGGUGACGAGGAUCUUGCUUCCCGGUGCUCCCUCCAAGAGAGGGGAGCGUAGGCUGUCCCAUUGAUCAUAUUUCUCAUUCCACAAAUCGUCAAGAACAAUCAAAAAUCUUUUUCCCUUGGUUUCGUCCCUCAGUUUGCGUUGAAUUUGAUGAAAGUCCAGCGAAUCAUUGUUGCCUGCAGCAAUGUCCCGUAAAACUGCCCUGGUUAUGGUCUCCACAUGAAAUUGAUCAGACACACAAACCCAAACUUUUAAAGCAAAAUGUUUGGAUGUCUCCUCAUCAUCGUACACUAGACCUGCCAGCGUAGUUUUUCCCAUCCCACCCAUGGCCACGAUCGAGACUACAGACAGAUUGCCACCGAGGGAUUCAUCAUUAAGCAUGGCUAGUAUCUUGGUUUUAUCUUCAUCCCUGCCGUAUACCCCAGGUUUGAAUACCAAAGGUGGUGGAGGGGUUGGGCUUUGAGUAGCUGCUCUGGCGCCUUCGAUCUGCACUUUGAGCUUUUCCAAACCGAGCUCAGCCUUCUGAGCUGAAAUUUCUUCUAAUCGGCGAGUGAUGUCCUCUAUCUUGGACCCCAGCUUAACAUUCCGCAUAGCCUGAAUUGGAGUGAAAGUAGUACAACAAGUAGGGAUGAAUUUGCGUACCUUGCUUGUGCUGGCCGCAUCACCCUCCGCCACCAACUUUCUUCUCAUCACUUGGUAGCCAAACUCGUCCAAGACGUCCUCCACAUCAUAAGCCAAAUCCCUGAGAUGUGCGAGCCAUUCUUUCACGUGCUGCUUAGUGAUCUGCUUGUCCUCAGCAUCGUCGAGCACUUCCCGAAUCUCCAACAGUCUUGUCUUCCAUUUCUUGAGCUCGGUGUGGACUUGCUCUUGGCGUGCGUACUUCCACAAAUCAGAGGAGGCCAGUUUGCUGAACAAGAGUUCAAGGGACACAGAAAGAACAACCUCUCCAACAACUUCCAUGGUGAUCAGUUUGCAGAGAGAGAGAGAAAGGGGAAGAGGAAGAUGAAAAUGGAAGCCUGAGAGCAGGAUUAGUAAGCCAUGUGCACCACACAAAAUAAACAAAUCAAAAUCUCCACUAUAUUAUUUUGCAGACAGCUGUCACAUAUUUUAAUAGAUUUAGUCUAACUGAGAGAAGGCAAUUUAUUAAAUUAUUGGAAGGUGCACGCACGUGAAACAUGAGUCAUGACCAUUGUUAUAAUUAUAUUUUUUAAAAGGAAAAAAAAAUCAUUAGAAAUUUUCAAUAAUUUUAAUUAUUUUAUAACAAAAACCUCUAAAAUUAUUUUAAAGAAUUUAAUAAUUUCUAUUAUAAAUUUUGACAUUUUUGAAAUAGAAAAGGUAUACACCUUUAAAUUUAAAUUCGGUUGUCUUGUAACUUAAUUUCAUUUAUUUAUGUCUUAGUCUCAUUUUUUUUUUAAUAUAUAAUUUUGUUAUAAAAAUGAAAAUUUUACUAAAAAAGCAAAAGUUGUGAAGGAAGAAAAAAAGAAUGGUCUUUUAAGAAAUAUUUUUAAAAUUUUCUAGGGUGAAAUCUUUAAAUAUCAUUAAUAUUUUUAGUAGUAUAAAACCAUGACACAAAUAAAUGAUAUUUAAGUAUAAAUAAAUACAUAUAAAUUAAAUUUAGAUUAAUAUUAUGUGGUUGUUUUUAGUGGACCACCAAUUAUUUUCAUAUUCCAUAGAAAAAUUACUUUCAACACCAUAGAAUCACCCUAAUUUCAAAUUGAGAUAUACUAUCUUAAAUUUUAAAAUUUUUUAAAAAUAAUUUUUACGGGCAUGAACUAAAUCUAUAUUUUUUGUUAAGAAUUUCUAUUUUGUUACAUGGAAGUUUUUACCAAUUUUUGUUUUUAAAAACAGAAAAUAAGAAGUACUUUAGAGUGUUUUUUUAGUGAUUUAAAAAAAAAAUUCUAGUCGUUUUAAUAUUUGAAAAAUAAAAAUUUUAUAUAUUGAAAAAAUUAAAAACACUUCUAAAAAUCAUUGUAAAGUCACUCUUAAUAUAAUCAUAUUAAUUUCUUCUCAUUAAAAUGGAAUGAAGAGAGAUUUACAUUUAAGAUAGAAAUAAAUGAAUAAAACAAAUACAAGGAUAAAAAAAUUAACUUCUUGUACUUUAUUAUUACAUCCUUUCAUUAGAUGCUUUAAAUAGUUUUUAAUAAAUAAAAUUAUAAUUAUAUUGAUGGAGAGCUAAUUAGCUUUGCUUUAGGUGAGAAAGGUAGAGAUAAGAUUGAAAUAUGAUCAUAUGAUAAAUAAAUAGUGAUCGUCCAAAGUUGGAGCCAAUGUGUAGUGGGUCUAAAAGAAAAAGAAAAGAAGUGGAAGUCAAAGUGGAGUAUGGAAACAAAAUUUUGAGGUUUGAAGCAAUUACCUUGGAUGGGAGAUGACAUUGCAUUGAAAAUUGAUAUUAAAUCUCAUUAGGUGACCAUAGGAAUUCCUUUACAUAAAGAUAAGUAUUAAAUAUAUCUUACUUUUUCAAAAAGUUUAUGGUCCUUAGUGAAUACAAUCUUUAGAGUGGGAUGAAUGCAUUUUCAAUUGAAAGAUAUUGUACACAUAUUAUUAGAAUUUUCUAAUAUGAUGCCAAGGACACUUAUGAUAAAUGUUUUUUUAUUGGAUUUAGGCAAAUACAACUUGAUAUGAUUUUUCAAUAUGACUUGAAUUCAACUUUUUUUUUUAGGGAUUUGAAUUAAUUAUAAUCAUUUUUAAAUCAAAUUUGCAUCAAUCUACUACAUAUCUAGUUUUAAGUCAAUGUAUAUAACACACAUUUAAUUCAAACUGACUUAUUUAAUAAUGGUACCGAUAAACCUAAUGAUAACUUUAACUUUUUUAACUCAUAUUUUACAUAUUUAAUUUUUUUUUCAAUAAAUAUAUCAUAAUUGAGUCAUAAACAUAUUCAAUUAGAAUAGUAACCACAUAUUAUGUCAUUCAACAUUUAACCCGAUUUGAUUAUUAAACAACAUCUGAUUAUUAAAUAGGUUAAAUAGGUUAUAAUGUAUUACCUGGUUGAUAAUUACAUUGUGUUUGAGUUUAUGUUUUUAAUCUUGAUUGUUAUUCAUGUCAUGUUUGGGUUGAGAUAUUUAAUUGAGUAUUUAACCUUUGAUACGACACAAACACAAUCCACCAAUAUGUUGAGAUAUUAGAAGAGUAAUUUUGAUAAAAGUUAAUAUUUAAUAACUUAAGUUAAUUUUAAAUUAAAUUAUAUUUAAGUGAUUAAGUCAUAUCAAAUUAUUAACUUGAUUUAUCAAAAUUAUUAUUGAUUUUAUAUUAUAAUAUUAAGUUAUUUUAUCAAAGAUAUUGAAUAUACUUAAGAACUUAAAUUUAGUCAUUAAGUUUGAUUUAUCAACCUCCCCUAAGGUCUUCUCAAUUUUUAAUAUUUUAUCAUUAUUACUUACUUUUGUUCUUGUAAUUCUUAUACCGAGAUUAAGAAAUAAUCAAAUAUAAUUUUAAUAAAUCCAUGUUUAAAAAUUUUGGGUUAUCUACCCUUAAUUUGUUAACUGUCCAAGGUAUAUAAUUUAUACAAUUAGCCUUCUAUUCAUUUUUGUUUUAUUCAACUUUUUUUUGCAUAAAGAGAGAUAAGAUAAGUCAUAAGAGGUGAGUUCACAAAGAAAGGAUGAUGAGAUAAUAGUAGAAGAUCUCAAUCAACUUGUUCAAUGCGUACUUUGAUAGUUUGAUGUGAAAUACUUUUUAGUCUUUUUUUUUCUAAAUUAUUUUUUAAUUUUAUUUUAAAGGACCCUUUUACAAAACAUGACAAAUUUUGAAAAUUAUUACUUUUAAAUAAAUAUUAGUAAAAAAAAAGUUGUUAUAAUUUGGAUCAUAUAAAAGUCAUGUCUUCUUUGUAUCUAUAUGAAUGUCAUGUCAUUGAUUUUAAUUAAAUUUCUUAUCAUAGCAUUUCAAGCUUAAAAGUCCAAAUCCAAAUUUCAUAUCUAUGUUCUAUUGGCAUGGAUUAUACAACAUCAAAAAACAAUUUUAGAGAUAAAAAUUUGCUAUUAUAAAUAGUAAAUACCACUUUAAUUUUAAUAAUCUUUUUCUAUCAAUACAAUUUUUUUAGAAUUGAUGAAUGAAAAGGAAUUUGUUUUAUCAAUGUGACUUGGAUUCUAAAUUUUGAACCAAUUUCAAUGCCCUGAUGGUGGGUCCAAAGAACAUAAAAAAUGUGGACACUAUUUUUGACCUAUGAGGUGAUGUUACAAUACCAUAAUAUUAAAUCUAACCACCUAUUUGUAGGAAUUGUUUUCAAAAGAGAUAUAAGUAAUAAAUAUCUCUUUUUUUUUAUAUAUAUUAAUAUUUUCUUGUAAAAAUAAAUUUCCUUAAGAAAAAAAAAUGCAAGCAAGAAAUAUUUUAGAUCAUUGAAAGAAUAAAAUUAAGAUAACUAUGUAAAGCUUAUAUCUAAAAUAUAGUGAUGUGGGAAAGAGUUUGAAACAUCUCUUGGAAUAAGAACCUAUGAUUUAUAGUAUAGAUAAAAAGAACGAAAAAAUACGAGGUGUCUUAACUUAAAUAGUUGUAUCUCUUUUCUUUUUAAUCUUUGUAAUAUUGUUUAUGGUACAGUACCAAUGAUUAUUUAUAUCCAUGGAUGUAAACAUGGUUAAACAAAUCACAUUGAAAACCUUAUAUGCCUUAUAUUGAUGAUUUUUUUUUUAAAAAAAAAAAAUCUUUGUAUUAAUGCAUCAAUAAAUAAUAUUGAAGAAAUUACAGUAUAAUAAAUGGUACAAGAUUAUAAGUGGGUUCACAUUGAUAGAACAAUAAGAUUAAAAAAUAAAAAAAUAAAAGAUAGGGUUAUUGAAUAGGAACCUCCAUGCAUAAAUGAUGCAAUUAACUUGUUCAAUAUAUUUAUACCUUGGAUGUAAAAUCUCAUUUUUGUUUUCCAAAAGUCUUUAUGACUAUUGGCUUUCUCUUGGAUAAGGAAAAAAAAGCCUCCUUGCUUCAAUUUUCCUCCUAAAACAAAUUUAAAAAGUUAAUUUUAACUAUUCAAAAAUUAAAAGUUAUUUAAAACAUCUGUCCAUAACCUAUAAGUAAAAGUUCUUCAACUAACCUAUCACUUUUUUGAAAGUUCAUCUGAAACCCUAUUUGAAGGAAAAAAUUUUAUUAAUCCAAACCUUAAUGAAUUAUGUAAGGUCUACAGGUGGACAAUGAAGAGUUUUACAAUAAUUUAAAAUAUAACAAGAAAAAAUGAUAUGAUAAAUAGCGAAAAUCACUUUGAUUCUAAUAAUAUUUUCCAUCAAUAUCCUUUUUCUAAUGAAUAUGAUUUUGGAUACCAAAUUUUGAAGUUUUUAAUACCUUACCUUAUUAGUGGGUCUCAUAGAAAAUAAAAGUUGUUGAAAAGUUUAUUGUGGACACAAUUUUUGACUUAUAAGGUGUUUUUCAACACCUUUAAAUAAUUAUCUUGAAAAUGAUAUGUCAUGAUAUUGAAAAUGAUAUUAAAUUUAAUUGAGAGGUAUCUAAUAAAAAUAUUACCAUUUUUUUAAAACAAUAUUAUGAUCUUACUAAUGUCACACUGGAAAAACAUUUUGGUUAUUUUGUGUUAACAUUUUUUUAAUAAAUUAUAUUUUUCUUUUAGUUUUGAAGCCUACAAUUGUAAAUUGUAAGGUUUCAAGUUCAUCCAAAAAUAUGAAUAGUUGGAGUUAAUGUCUUAGUGGUAGCUAGUAGGUUUCAUAAGAAAAGGAAUUAUUUUAUGAAUAUAUCUUUGGAUUCCAAUUUUUGAACUUAAUUUCUAAUACCUUAGCUCAUUAGUGGGCCUCAUAGAAAAUGAAAGUUGUGGAAAAGUAUAAUGUGGACUCAAAUUUUGGCUUAUGAGGUGAUGUUACAACACCUUCAAGUAAUUACCUUGAAAAUGAUAGGUCAUUGUAUUAAAAAUAAUAUUAAGUUUGAUGGAGAGAUAUCAAAUAAAAUUAUCACCAAUUUUUUAAAACAAGAUUAUGAUCUUACUACGGUGUCACAUUUGAAAGCAAUUUAAUUUGUGUUAGAUUUUUUUUUAAUUUAUUCUAUUUUUCUUUUAGUUUUGAAACUUGCAAUUAUACAUUGUAAGGUUUCAAGUUCAUCCGAAAAUAUGAGUAAUUGGCGUCAAUGUCUUAAUGGUAGCCAAUAGGUUUCAUAAGAAAAGGAAUUAUUAUAUGAAUAUACAUUUGAAUUCAAAAUUUUGAACUUUUUAAUGCCUUAGCUCAUUAGUGGGUCUCAUAGAAAAUGAAAGUUAUGGAAAAGUAUAAUGUUGACUCAAUUUUUUAUUUAUGAGAUUAUAUUACAACACCUUCAAGUAAUUAUCAUGAAAAUGAUAAGUCAUUGCAUUGAAAGUAAUAUUAAAUUUAAUGGAGAGAUAUAUAAAUAAAAAUAUCACCUAAUUUUUAAAAAAAUAUUAUGAUCUUACUAUUAUGUCACGUUAGAAAACAAUUUAGUUAUUUUGUGUUAGCAUUUUUUUAAUAGAUUAUAUUUUUCUUUAGAUUUGAAGUUUGUAAUUGCAAAUUGUAAGGUUUCAAGUUCCUAUGGAGAUAUGAAUAGUUCGAGCCAAUGUCCUAGUAGUAGUCGGUAGGUUUCAUAAGAAAAGGAAUUAUUCUAAGAAUAUACUUUUGGAUUCCAAUUUUUGAACUUUCUAAUGCCUUGGCUCAUUAGUGGGUCUCAUAGAAAAUGAAAGUUGUGGAAAAGUAUAAUGUGGACUCAAUUUUUAACUUAUGAGAAGAUGUUACAACACCUUUGAGUAAUUACCUUGAAAAUGAUAGGUCAUUGCAUUGAAAAUAAUAUUAAAUUUAAUGGAGAGAUAUAAAAUAAAAUUAUCACCCAUUUUUUAAAACAACAUUGUGAUCUUACUAUUGUGUCAAGUUUGAAAGAAAUUUAAUUUGUGUUGGAAGUUUUUUUUUUUAAAUUUAUUCCAUAUUUCUUUUAGUUUUGAAACCUGCAAUUAUACAUUAUAAGAUUUCAAGUUUAUCCAGAGAUAUGAAAAGUUGGAGUCGUUGUCUUAGUGGUAGGUUUCAUAAGAAAUGGAGUUAUUCUAUGAAUAUGACUUUGGAUUCCAAUUUUUUAACUUUCUAAUAUUGUAGCUCUUUAGUAGGUCUCAUGGAAAAUGAAAGUUGUGGAAAAGUAUGAUAUUGACUCAAUUUUUGAUUUAUGAGGUGAUGUUACAACACCAUUAAGUAAUUACCUUGAAAAUGAUCUCAUUGCAUUGAAAGUAAUAUUAAAUUUAAUAGAGAGAUAUCCAAAUAAAAAUAUCACCUAAUUUUUAAAACAAUAUUGUGAUCUUACUAUUGUGUCACCCUAGAAAACAAUUUAGUUAUUUUGUGUUAGCAUUUUUUUCAUAGAUUAUAUUUUUCUUUUAGUUUUGAAGCCUGCAAUUGCAAAUUGUAAGGUUUCAAGUUCAUUUGAAAAUAUGAAUAGUUGGAGUCAAUAUCUCAGUGGUAGCCAAUAGGUUUUAUAAGAAAUGGAGUUAUUCUAUGAAUAUAACUUUGGAUUCCAAUUUUUUAACUUUCUAAUAUUGUAGCUCUUUAGUAGGUCUCAUAGAAAAUGAAAGUUAUGGAAAAGUAUAAUAUUGACUCGUUUUUUUAUUUAUGAGGUGAUAUUACAAUACCAUUAAGUAAUUACCUUGAAAUGAUAGAUCAUUGCAUUGAAAAUAAUAUUAAAUUUAAUGGAGAGAUAUCAAAUAAAAUUAUCACCCAUUUUUUAAAACAACAUUACGAUCAUACUAUUGUGUCACGUUUGAAAGCAAUUUAACUUGUGUUAGAAGGUUUUUUUUUUAAAUUUAUUCCAUUUUUCUUUUAGUUUUGAAACUUGCAAUUAUACAUUGUAAGGUUUCAAGUUCAUUCGAAAAUAUAAAUAAUUGGAGUCUAUGUCUCAAUGGUAGCCAAUAGGCUUCAUAAGAAAAGGAAUUAUUCUAUGAAUAUACCUUUGAAUUCAAAUAUUUUAACUUUCUAAUGCCUUUGCUCAUUAGUGGGUCUCAUAGAAAAUGAAAGUUGUGGAAAAGUAUAAUGUGGACUCAAUUUUGACUUAUGAGGUAAUGUUACAACACCUUCAAGUAAUUACAUUGAAAAUAAUAUUAAAUUUAAUGGAGAGAUAUCAAAUAAAAUUAUCACCCAUUUUUUAAAACAACAUUAUGAUCUUGCUAUUGUGUCACAUUCGAAAGAAAUUUAAUUAUGUUGUGUUAGAAUUUCUUUUAAUUUAUUCUAUUUUUCUUUUAGUUUUGAAGCCUGCAAUUGUAUACUGUAAGGUUUCAAGUUUAUCUAGAGAUAUGAAUAGUUGGAGCUGAUGUCUCAGUGAUAUGUUUCCUAAUAAAUGGAGUUAUUCUAUGAAUAUAACUUUAGAUUUUAAUUGUUAAAUUUUCUAAUGUUGUAGCUCAUUAGUGGGCUUCAUAGAAAAUGAAAGUUGUGGAAAAGUAUAAUGUUGACUUAAUUUUUUAUUUAUGAGAUUAUAUUACAACACCUUCAAGUAAUUAUCUUGAAAAGGAUAGGUAAUUGCAUUGAAAGUAAUAUUAAAUUUAAUGGAGAGAUAUCUAAAUAAAAAUAUCACAUACUUUUUAAAACAAUGUUAUGAUCUUACUAUUGUGUCAUGCUGGAAAACAAUUUAGUUAUUUUGUGUUAACAUUUUUUUUAAUAGAUUAUAUUUUUCUUUUAGUUUUGAAGUCUGUAAUUGCAAAUUGUAAGGUUUCAAGUUCAUAUGAAGAUAUGAAGUUGGAGCCAAUGUCCUAGUAGCAAUCGAUAGGUUUCAUAAGAAAAGGAAUUAUUCUAUUAAUAUACUUUUGGAUUCCAAUUUUUGAACUUUCUAAUGCUUUAGCUCAUUAGUGGGUCUCAUAGAAAAUGAAAGAUGUGGAAAAGUAUAAUGUGGACUCAAUUUUUGACUUAUGAGACAAUGUUACAACACCUUCAAGUAAUUACCUUGAAAAUGAUAGGUCAUUGUAUUGAAAAUAAUAUUAAGUUUGAUGGAGAGAUAUCAAAUAAAAUUAUCACCCAUUUUUUAAAACAACAUUAUGAUCGUACUAUUGUGUUACGUUUGAAAGCAAUUUAAUGUGUUAGAAGUUUUUUUUAAAAAAAAUUAUUCCAUUUUUCUUUUAUAUUAGUUUUGAAACUUGCAAUUGUGCAUUGUAAGAUUUCAAGUUUCCAGAGAUAUGAAAAGUUGGAGUUGAUGUCUUAGUGGUAGUUUUAUAAGAAAUGGAGUUAUUCUAUAAAUAUAACUUUGGAUUCCAAUUUUUUAACUUUCUAAUAUUGUAGCUCUUUAGUAGGUAUAAUAGAAAAUGAAAGUUGUGGAAAAGUAUAAUAUUGACUCAAUUUUUUAUUUAUGAGGUGAUGUUACAAUACCAAUAAGUAAUUACCUUGAAAAUGAUAGGUCAUUACAUUGAAAGUAAUAUUAAAUUUAAUGAAAAGAUAUCCAAAUAAAAAUAUCACCUAAUUUUUAAAACAAUGUUAUGAUCUUACUGUUGUGUCACGUUGGAAAACAAUUUAAUUAUUUAGUGUUAACAUUUUUUUAAAUAGGUUAUAUUUUUCUUUUAGUUUUGAAGUCUAUAAUUGCAAAUUGUAAGGUUUCAAAUUCAUAUGAAGAUAUGAAAAGUUGGCGUCGAUGUCUUAGUGGUAGUCAGUAGGUUUCAUAAGAAAAGGAAUUAUUCUAUGAAUAUACUUUUGGAUUCUAAUUUUUGAACUUUCUAAUUCCGUAGCUCUUUAGUGGGUCUCAUAGAAAAUCAAAGUUGUGAAAAAGUAUAAUAUUGACUCAAUUUUUUAUUUAUGAGGUGUUGUUACAACACCAUUAAGUAAUUACCUUGAAAAUGAUAUGUCGUCGCAUUGAAAGUAAUAUUAAAUUUAAUGGAGAGAUAUCUAAAUAAAAAUAUCACCUAAUUUUUAAAACAAUAUUAUGAUCUUACUAUUAUGUCAUGCUAGAAAACAAUUUAGUUAUUUUGUGUUAGCAUUUUUUUUAUACAUUAUAUUUUUCUUUUUGUUUUGAAGCUUACAAUUGCAAAUUGUAAGGUUUCAAGUUCAUUCGAAAAUAUGAAUAGUCGAAGUCAAUGUCUCAGUGAUAGCCAGUAGGUUUCAUAAGAAAAGGAAUUAUUCUAUGAAUAUACCUAUGAAUUCCAAUUUUUGAACUUUCUAAUGUCUUAGUUCAUUAGUGGGUCCCAUAGAAAAUGAAAGUUGUGGAAAAGUAUAAUGUGGACUCAAUUUUGACUUAUAAGGUGAUGCUACAACACCUUCAAGUAAUUACAUUGAAAAUAAUAUUAAAUUUAAUGGAGAUAUAUUAAAUAAAAUUAUCACCCAUUUUUAAAACAAUAUUAUGAUCUUGCUAUUGUUUUACGUUCAAAAGCAAUUUAAUUAUGUUGUGUCAUAAGUUUUUUUUUAUUUAAUUUAUUCCAUUUUUCUUUUAGUUUUGAAGCCUGCAAUUGUAUAAUUUACGGUUUCAAGUUUAGUCGGAGAUAUGAAUGGUUUGAGCCGAUGUCUCAGUGAUAGGUUUCCUAAGAAAUAGAGUUAUUUGAUGAAUAUAGCUUUGGAUUCCAAUUUUUGAACUUUCUAAUACUAUAGCUCAUUGGUAGGUUUCAUAGAAAAUGAAAGUUAUGAAUAAGUAUAAUGUUGACUCAAGUUUUGAUUUAUGAGGUGAUGUUACAACAUUGUCAAGUAAUUACCUUGAAAAUAAUAGGUCAUUGCAUUGAAAGUAAUAUUAAAUUUAAUGGAGAGAUAUCUAAUAAAAAUGUCACCUAAUUUUUAAAAUAAUGUUAUGAUCUUAUUAUUGUGUCACGUCGGAAAGCAAUUUAAUUUAGCAUUUUUUAAUAUAUCCCCUUUUUCUUUUAGUGUUAAAGCUGGCAAUAUCUUAGUGGUAGUUAGUAGGUUUCAUAAGAAAAGAAAUUAUACUAUUAAUAUACCUUUGGAUUCCAAUUUUUGAACAUUUCUAAUGUCUUACUUCAUUAGUGCAUCUCAUAGAAAAUGAAAGUUACAGAGUAUAAUGUGGACUGAAUUUUUUACUUCCUUCAAGUAGUUACUUGAAAGUGAUAUAUUAUUGUAUUUUAAAAUAACAUUAAAUUUGAUGGAGAGAUAAUUAACAAAAUAUCACUCAUCUUUUAAAACAAUAUCAUUAUCAAGUUGGAAAGAAAUUUAUGUUGGUGUUAGAAUGUUUUUAUAAUUUAUUUAUUUAUUGUUUGCAGACGGUAAGGUUUCAAGUUCCUUUAAAAAUGUGAACAAUAAUUAAGAAUUAGAAAUUUUGAAACAUUAAAUGUAUGGUUAAAGCUAUGCUUAGAUGGUUGAAAUUGCUAUAAAAAAAAAAGUUCAAAUUUUAUUUGAUUAUCUUAAAAAAUAUGAAAAAUAAAUAAAUAUAAUGAAAAUUGAUUAGAGUUCUAUAUUCUUUUUAAUAUUCGUCCUUUACAGAAAAGAUUAAAAUUAAACAAAUAAAUUUUUAUGAGUUUGUGAAAUAUAUUGAAACUAGAGUUUAUUUUUUGUUUUUUCUUUCCUUUCGUAAUUUUUCUUCCCGAUCUUUCCCACUUCGUCAAAACUUUCCAAUAUCUAAACUUUGUACAUGUUCUCUUCUUUUCAAUUAAAAAUUUUUAAAUUUUCAAAUUCAAAUUCCAAGACAAGCUAAUAAAACCCUAAAAUUAAUAUUAAAUAUUAAGUGAAUUAAGUCAAGUUGGUAGCUAAAUUGAAUCUAAUCCGAAUUACUUAACCUAAACUCAAGUCAAACUCAUUUUUAUAAGCUGAAGUUAGGUUUAAAUUGACUAGGUUAUACUUUUGGUUCAAUUGAAUUGAUUAGACUCUAUGGAUCAGAAUUAGGGUUUGCAAGGUUGAGUUAGAUUGAACCUAUUCAUAAUUUUUUUUGUUUAACUUCUUUUAUAUCAUAAUUUGAAUAAUAAAUAUGAUAAAAUUAAUUAAAAAUAAUAACAAAAGAAAAGAAUCACCUUAGAAUCACUCUAAUUUCAAAUUGAGGUUUCCUACCUCAAAAUUUUAAAUUUAAAAAAAAAAAUAUUUUUAAGUGCAUAAACUAAAUCUAUAGUUUUUUUUGUAGGAGUUUUUAUAUUCCAUAUAAAAGUUUUUACAUAGAGACAAGUAAUAAAUAUAUCUUGUUUUUUCAAUAAGUUUAUGACCCUGAUUGGAUACAAACAUUAUAGUGGGAUGAAUGCAUCUUCACUAGAGUUAUGUCUUGACUCCUAACAUAAUUUUAGAAUUUUCAAGGAAAACGAUAAGGAAACCUUAUGAUAAGUGCCUUUUAUUUAGGUAUGGUGGGUAAAGUGAUACCAUUUGUUAGUUGUUUUAUUUAUUUAUUUAUUUAUUUUAUGGAUUUAAUUGAAUAUAAUUUGUGUUUGAUUCAAAUUUGAGAUGAUCUAUAUAAUUUAUUUAAUAAAUGAAUUGUCUUUUUGGUUAAUUUGCAUAAUACGACUCAAAUUGACUUAUUUAAUAAUUAUAUUGAUUGAUCAAAUUAUAUUUUUAACUUAUUUAACUCAUCUAAAAUUUGAUUUUUGAUAAGUCAUAAUUGAGUUAUAAACAUGUUAGGUUAGAAUGUUAAUUAUAUAAUAUCAUACAAUAUUUAAUUUGAUUUGAUUAUUAAAUAUAAUGAAAAUUAUGAAAAUUUUCAUGGAUGAACUUCUCGUAUGAGAAAACUAUGAAAAAGAUAAAAAGUACUAGAGGUGGAAAAUAAGACUUUAGAAAAAAUUAUUAGUGUGAGAUAACAUACACCAACUUUAAAGUGUAGCAAUUAUUGUAUUUUGGACAACCAUGCUAAUGGGGUCAUGUUAUCUUCAUGCCGACUACAACUUUAAAAUUUAGCAAUUAUUGUACUUUCGAUAGCUAUGUUAAUGGGACCAUGUCAACCCCAUCCAACCCAUCUUGAUUACUUAAGUCUUAAGUUAUACCCAUCCUAUACUAUUUAAAAUUUUCUAUUUCCUUUUUAUUAUUCUAAACCUUAAUUUUAUUAAAAUAAAUAUAAUUUAUGACUAAAUAAAUUGGUUUUCAUAAAUUUUACAUUUUUAUUUGAUAAAAAGUAAAUUUGUAAUUUUAUUUUAAACAUGUUCAAAAAGGGGAAAUGAAAAAAAAAAAAAGCUAAAGACUCUUUUUAUUAUGAUUUUUGAAAAUUAUUUUUAAAAAUUGUUUUUUAUUCUUUAAUUGAAAAAUAAAUUUUAAAAACAAGUUUCAGAAAAUAUGAUCAAAGAGCUCAUAUUUUCCUUUUGUUUUUAAAAACCGGUGAAAACAACACCUACUUGUUUUUCUAAAAAUUGUUAUUUAUUUAAUUUUAUUUUUAAAAAUUGUUUCAAGAGAACAACCAAAUGAGGUGUUAGAAAAUUUUUUAAACAGAUAUUUGUUUUAAAGAAACAGCUUUAUAUAAUUAUGUCUCAUCAUUAUACAUAAAUGAGGUGGAACAGGACAAUACUCAACCUCCUACCAAAACCAAGCUGAGUUUAAAAAAGAAUACUUCAAUCCUUCCCUCAUAUUUUUUAAACCUCUCAUAAGCCCAUCCCUAGUUGUCAACUCUAACUUUUACUAUAAAAAAAAAUAAAUAAAUAAAAAAUCUAUCGUAUACCAUAAAAAAAAAAAAAAAGGAAACUAUAGUAUUAAAUAAACAUUUUUCUUUCAAGAAUCAUCUUCUUUUUUUAAUUAUAUAUCUUAUAACUACAAAUAUUUUCAAAUUACAUUUUUGGUUUGUUUCUAAACAUUGACCACUAUCAAUGGAAGCAUUACACGCUAAAAAUACAUUUAUGAGAAUUAAUUCCAUAAAUUCUAUUUAUCAAGUUUUUAUUUGCUUUUUUUAUACUAUAAUCUUCAUAAUUGUGUGAUUCAUAUUUCUAAAGCAAACUAACAAACCUAUUACGUGUAAUCAAUAAGUUACAUUUCUACAUUUUUUCAUCAUUACACACUUAUGUUCUCGUGAUAUAAUCUCUCAUUGCUAGGUUUCAUAAGAAAAUGAAUUAUUCUAUGAAAAUGACUUUGGAUUCCAAAAUUUGAACUUUGUAAUGCCUUAUCUCAGUGGUGGGUCUCAUAGAAAAUGAAAGUUGUGGAAAAAUAAAAUGUGCACAUAAUUUCUAAUAAACUUGGACUUUUGGCUUCAAACACCCUUUAUAAUCUUUAAGAGAUACCCCACUCUUGAACAACCUCUCAAGUGAUACCCCACACUUGAGAAUCUUCCUCUCAAAGAUAUACAAAUAAUUGAUCUCACAAAAUCCUAGUACAAAAACUUUAAAGUCAAAUGAUACAAGAAAACUAGGAUUGAAAGGUGCACUAAUGAUAUGCAAGUUUUAGAACAAUGGUGCACUCAAAACACUCUUCCAAGGCUCAAAUAUAUUCAAGAAAGGUUUGGGAAGGUUUAGUUCCUGAACAAUGAAGAUUUGAAGCCUUUUUAUAGAGGAAAAAAGUCAAACUAGCCGUUGGGGGUUCGACCGGUUGAGCUGAGGGUCGACCGAUUGACUAGUCGUUAGCAUUUAAUGCUUGACACAUGACCGUUAGACCUCAACCAGACCUUGACCGGACCUCGACCGGUUGAGGUGUGGUUCGACUGGUUCCUCAUCCGAUUGAACAACCAUUCUAGAAGUGAGAGAAGGUUUUUUGCACCCGUCAAUUGGUUGAGCUAGCGGUCGACUGAUUAUUGUUCACACCCUUGACCAGUUGAACUGGGGGUCAACCUGCUCCUAGACCGGUUGAGCUGGCCGUCGACCGGUUCCUCAUCCGGUUCAACCGGUUGAGCCGUUUUUGGCUCAACAACCAACUUUUUCAACUUAAAACCUUUUAAACAAGUUUGAAAAACAUUUGACAUAAGGUUUUAGUUGAAAACAUGAAAUCAUCCAAUUUUAAAAUAUUUAAAGCAAAAUAACUCUUGGAUGAUUUUGAUGCAUAAAUAAAUAAUGUAAUGCAUGAAAAUCCUAGUGCACCAACAACCUUACAAAGAGAUACUAUGAAGCUUGGGUCUUGAAAAAUACUUCUCUUUGAGGUGGUCUUCUUCUUUAUGAUUUCUUUUUGACUUGAUUUAUCUUUGUGGUUGCCACUUUGGAAAUCGUUUUGCCUAAUCACACUUGAAAUGUAAUCAUUAAUUCUAAACCUUCUUUUGUUAUCAUCAAAAUCGAUAUUAACCAAAUAUUGGUUUCACAAAUAUGACAAACUAUAUAUAUAUAUCAAUUUUUUUAAAAAAAUAAAAAUAAAAUAUCUAUUUUUUACUUCUUAUAUAAUUUUUUAGAGUUUGUCUUAAUAUUUUAUUAUUUUUUGCUUGAUCGAUAUUUUGUGUCAAAAUAUCCAUUGAUAUAUCUCCUAUAUAUUUGAUAUAUCCGUAAAAUUGAAGUACCGAUAUAUUUGUAAUUAUUGAUAUUUUCAUCAAGUUCAUUGCAUGUGUUCUAUUAUCUACUAGAAAUGCUUCUCAUUAUUUGUUUUCAAAUGUAUUGGUUUCUACUAACUAUGAUAUAUGCAAAGACGUUAGCUGAGGAGGCUUCUUGGAAGUUUGCAAAAGUGAAUGGGAUUGACAUGGUUACAAUACAUCCAAGGUGGGUGAUUGGUCCUCUCUUACAGCCUACUCUUAAUCUAAGUGUGGAGGAAGUCUGAAGCUACUAAAAGGUACCCUUCAACAAUUGAUGAGAAUCUCUAUUUUAUGCUGAUCUUUCUACUUCAAUAUCAAUUUAUACUCAUAAUAAGUAGAUAAAAUGUAAUUAAAAAAUCAACAUUAUUUUCUAUUUUUAAAUUAUAAAUAAAAAAAUUAUAUUAAUAAUUCAAAAACUAUUUUGGAAAAUACUUUCUAAAAAAAUGUUCAUAAAUAAAAAUUAUUUUUUACAUUUUAGAAGUAAAUAAUUUAAUGAUUAAAACACUAUUUAAAAUAAAUAUAUUCACUAUUUUCUUUUCUUUUAUACUAAAAAGUAUUUUAAUAUUUUUUUUACUAUUAUAAAAUAAAAGGUUUAAUUUUUUUUGUUAAUUUUCUUCCGUCCUUAUUUUAAUAACUUUUUGAACAUGACUUUUAGUAAUAAGUUAUAUAAAAUGUUGCUAAGGAUUUUCUUUUAAUGAUUUGAAUUAAUUGAAAAUUUAUCAAAAUAAGAAAAAGAAAAAGAAAGAAAGAUGAUGGAUGAAGAGUUUUUAUUUUAAAUAUCCAAUUAAAUUUUUUUCCUAUGACCAAAUUUUAGAAAUGAAUUAUAUCAAUACAAAGUAGAAAUUGAAAUUUUCUUAUAUAAAAUGGUUGAAAGAUAUAUUUACUCAUUUUAUAUGAAAAUAAGUAGUUAAAAAUUAUAUAGUUAUGUUUGACUUUGGUUUAAAAAUAUUUUUCUAGCUAGUUUUUAUUUUUUAAACUAAUUUUUAUUUUCUAUAUUGUCUCUUUUUGAAAAUACGUUUGAUUACAAAAUGAAAACUAUUUUUAAAAAUAAAAAUUAAAAGCCUUAUUUAGUACUAUUGUUUUAUAUGAAAAUAAUAAAAAGAAUUAAAUUUCAUUUAUUGAUUCUUCUUUUUUAUUUUUUCUAUUAGUUGUUUUAAUAAUAAAAUAAAAAAUAUAUAAUAUGUUCAAAAUUAAACAAAGGAAUUGGCCAAUUGUGUAAUUUUUUCACAAAAAUAUAAUAUAUUCACAAAAAAAAAAUUCAGAUUUAAGUUUUUCACAAUUUUCUCAACCAAACUACUAGAAUCAUGUUUAAUACACCUAUAGACACACAUUCACUACAUGAUAUGGAAUUUGUGUAAUUAUACAAUGGUAUUCACUAACUGUACAAGGGGUAUACAAGACUACCUUUUGUGAAAGAUUUCAAUUGAUUUUGAACCACCUUUUUAUUUUCGUUGUCACCCAGAGAUUGCAUACUCAUGUCAUGCACUUUAUUUAAUUUCUACAUGAAAAUUUCAAUACUUUCCCCAAUAAUGAUGUUUGGGGAAAAAAAAUUUGAUCCUGAAUCAUCUGCCCUUUUCUCAAGUAAAUUAUUGAAAACAUGGUUGAUACACUUAUGUGGACACAUGAUUCAGGAGGGAUAUGAAAUUUGUGCCACUAUACAAGGGUAUUACAUUAAUUGCACAAGUGAAAUGCACUAAGUGUACAAGAGUGCACAAGGCUACCUUUUGUGAAAGAUUUCAAUCGAUUAUGAACUAUUUCUUUAUUUUCCUUAUCACCGACGGAUUGUACACCUUAUGUCAUGCACUUUAUUUAAUUCCCACAUGAAAAUUCCAAUACUUUCCCCAGUAAUGAUGUUUGGGGAAAAUUUUUUGACCCUAAGUCAUCCAUUAUUUUCUCAACUAAACCAUUGAAAAUAUGGUUAAACACAUCUACGUGGACAUAUAACUUAGUAGAGAUAUGAAAUUUGUGUCAUUGUAUAAGGGUAUUAUAUUAACUGUACAAAAGAAAUAUACUAAGUGAACAAGGGUGUACAAGAUUACCCUUUGUGAAAUAUUUCAAUUAAUUCUAAACAACUUUUUUAUUUUCCUUGUCACAUAAGGAUUGUACACCUAUGUCAGACAAUUUAUUUAACUCCCAUAUGAAAAUUCCAAUAUUUUCGCAAUAAUGAUGUUUAGGAAAAAAAAUUUGACCCUAAGUCAUCCACCAUUUUCUCAAUCAAACCAUUGAAAACAUGAUUAACAUACCUAUAUAGACACAUAACUUAAGAGAGAUAUGUACUUUAUUUACGUCACUAUACAAGGAUAUUAUACUAAUUGUACAAGGGAAAUGUGUCAAAUGUACAAGACUCUUAAUAGGUUUGUACGAUUUUUAAACAAUUUAGGCUUGACAUUAAGACGAUUAUCAAUAGUUUUUUUUUUUUUUUUACCAAACUAUGUCAUUAAUACUUUCCCUACAAAAAUUAACACAUAGGAAAUAAAAUUAAAAUCAAUCAUGUUUGAAUUGUUCAUUAUAAGUAAACUAAAUGAAAUAUAUAUUUUUACUAUUUUGCCCUAAUAAACAUAAUUUUAUUGUUAUUAGUACAGAUUAAAAAAUCCUAUUUAAAUGGAAUUCAAAAUAAACAAAAAUGAUUUUUGUAACAUUUUUAUUUUUUAAAACCAUUAAUUUAAAUUAUGAAAUUAGUUUUAAAAUAAAAUAAAGUUUAAGUGGUUAAGUCAUAUCAAAUCAUUAACUUGAUUUAUCAAAAUAAUUUUAUAUUUUAUAUUAUAAUAUUAAGUUAUUUUAUCAAAUAUACUUAAUAUACUUAACAACUUAAAUUUAUGUGGCAUUUGGUUUUUGGUUGAAUAAAAAACACCAGAAUAUGUGAUUUUUUUUAUUUAAUUAAAAAUAAUCUAUUGAUGACAACUGACAUAACUAAAUUGAUGAACAUAUUAAUUACAAGUUUACUUUAGUUAUGUUGAUUGACAUCAAUGUUACUUUUAGCUUAAUAAAACAAAGUCAAUUUGAUUUUUUCUAUUCAACUAAAAAACAAAUACUGCCUUAAACUUAUCAACAUCCUCUAAGUUCUUCUCAAUUUUUAAUAUUUAUUUGAUACAUAUUUAAUAAGAAACAAGUCAAAAUGUGUUAUCUCAAAAUUUCUAAUUCAAACUCCUACUAGAUUUAAAAUUCAUUAAUUAAUUUGAAACAAAUUUGUUUUGGAUAAUACAAUUGAUGGAGAUAGUACAUAUCUUAAAUUUCUAACUAAAAAAAGCCUCAUAACAAAAUAAUUUGAUGAAUAUUUUAAGUUUAAAAGAUUAGAACCAUUUCACAAUGAUUUUGGAAAGUUAGAAAUGUUUCCAAAUGCUUGAAAAUGUUUUUAUAACACAAACUAGACAUUUUAUAAAAACUAAAGUUCACAUUCUAUGUAAUUGAUAGUGCCUCACAUAAUUUUUUUUUCUUUUGGUUAUACAUAUAUAUAGGGUGAACGAUACUUUUUAAGUAGGUAUAAAAAAGGUUCUACCAAUUAGGUGGUGUCAUGUAUAUAUUUUUAAAUUUCAUAAUUUGUGCCUUUGUACCUUCACUCUAUUUGUUUAUACCUUUGUUCAACAAUGUAAAUCUCACCAUAUAUAUUCAAUGGUCAAAAUCUUAACUUCGGUUAAUAUCACUACACUAUCUUAGUAUUUUUUUUUUCUCUCUCUCUCUAUAUAUAUAACACUAACUACUUUUCUAUGAAAACAUUUACAAUAGAAAUGCUACAUAUUAGAAGUGUUUUUAUCAAAAUAAUUUCUAAACCAACCUUAAUAUUUGUAUUAGCUUUAGUUGAUAUAGCUACUUGAUAAAACCAACCAUUCAUGUGAUAAUUAUUCUAGAUCUUACUUUAAUUUGAUAAAAAUAUCCACCCAAGCAUCACACAAAUCAUGAAUAUACUCCAUGUCCAUUUGGAUAAACUUGUUGUUUUCUGUUGUUCUGUUUUUAAAAUAAGGAGGGAUAUAAGAAUUCUUAGAGAAUUAUAUUAAAAAUAAAAUAAUAGUUUUAAAAAUCAUUUAAAAAUUUAAGGUAUUAUACUAUUUUUUUAUUAUAUUUAAACUUAAAUUUUAUUCAAAUAAAUAUUAUUUCUGAGUCAAUAAAUUAGAUUUCGUAAAUUUAAUAUUUAGUAUUUAUAAAUAUAAAAUUUUCAAUUUUAUUUUAAACAUGUUCCAAAAUGGGGAAAACCAAAAAGGAAACUAAAUUAUUUUUAUUUAAUUUUAUAAAAUAAAAAAUCUCAAAUAUAUCUUUAAUUUGUUUAAACUUGUCCUAAAUCCAUCCAUAAUUGUCAUCUCUAAUUUUGACCAUAUAAAAAUUAAACCAAAAUAUAAAAAGGUUGAGGAACAUCAAAUAUAAAGAGAGGUUGAAAAAUUUUAUAAUGCUUGGAGGUAUUUUUCUUACAAACAGAGUCUGUUUGAUCGUAUGAUUUAAAAACAGUUUUUUGUUUUUAAAAAUAGAAAACUAUUUUUAAAAAUUUACAACACUGUUUGGCCAUUGUUAUCUGGAAGCAAUUUAUAAAAACAAAGUGAAAUAAAGAACAAUUUUUAGAGAACAAGUAUAAGUUGUUUUCAUCUGUUUUUAAAAACAAAAGGAAAAUAUGGAUCAAUUUGACCAUAUUUUCUUGAACUUGUUUUUUUUUAAAUAUUUUUUAGAUUAAAAACGUUUUUUAAAAUCACUACCAAAAAAAUUUUAAGUAUUAUCUCACUCCACCUCAUUUAUAUAUAAAAUUAAGUAAAAAUAAUUUACUUUCCUUUUCUAUUCCCCCUCUUUAAUCAUAUUUAAAAUAAAGUUACAAAUUUACUUUUUAUCAAGAUAGAAUAUAAAAUCUAUAAAAAUAAUUUAUUUAAUCAUAAAUUAUAUUUAUUUAAUAAAAAUUAAAUUUAAAAAUGAUAAAAAUAACAGAAAAUAUAUUUAAAUAAGAUAGGAUGACUAUAACUUCUAAAAAAAUUCCUUGACCCCAUCCUACUCUGGUACAGGUUUGGGUAGAAAUAAAAAUUUGUUGAAGUAAUCAAGAUGGGUUGGGAACUUGGGAUGAGGAUAUGACCCCUUUCACAUAAUUCGUCAAAAUUCAAUAAUUGCUAAACUUUAAAGUUGUUGCAUGCCAUCUCACAGCAAUAAUUAUGUAGGAGGUCUUUCCACCUCCACUUCUAUCUGCUUCAUUAAUUUGUUUACACACUGCUUUGCUUUCUACCCCUCUCUCUCUCUCUCUCUCUCUCAACAAACCCCUCCUUACUUGUUUAAUCUCUUCCAAAAACAAAUAAAAACAAUUAAUUCUAACUAUUCAAAAGUUAAAAGUUAAUAUUAUAAAUGUAAACUUAAAUGCAAUCAUAUAAAAUAUAUAUCAUAUCAAACUCUAAAUAAUCAUUAAUAUAUUUAAUCAAGUCCAAAUUAUUAAAUAAAAAUAAAAAUAUAUAAAAUGGGGUAUAAAAAAAUAAAACUAAAGCAUACAAAAAAAAAAUGAUAUUUAGGUACAAAUAAAUAAAAAUUGGAUAUAAAUAAAUAAAAUCUAAAUCAAAGUGUUAGAAAAUCAUGUACAUAGGAUUUCAUAAUUCUAGUUUAAUGAACCAAAAAUAGAUGUACAAAACUCAUCUUGUGGUAUUAUGAUAGAAAUCACCUUACAUAUAUUGUUUGCAACGCUGCAUCACUUUAGUAGCACCUUGUCACCUUGUAUAGGUAUUAACACCUUGUAUCUUCCCUCUCUUUACUCUCUCAUUCUUAAUCUUUGUAUAAAUGAUAGGAAAGGAGAAAGGGACCAAGAGCUAAGGCCAUUUUCUUUAUUUGUACCUUUGUUUCCUUAGUUUCUUCCUCUCUUGGUCAAGCCAAACUAUUCGGUUUCUCCAUUUCUUCUUCACCCCACUGCAUUUUGGGUUCUCCCUAUAACGGAAGCAUCCUCAAAUCAAGAAAAUCCCUCAAAUCAAGCAACAAAAAUGACUGCAAAUUUUUAGCCUUCAUUCAAGGAUGUAAUAGUCCUUAUUUUCCUUGUAAUCGAUAGCCUUAAUUCUAGGAAACUUACUUAGAAUUGCUCUUGUUAACGUGUAUUUAUUUUUUCUCAUACAAUCUCUUGUUAUGGUGUAAUAUUUUUCAAACAGAGCAGUAAUACAUUAUUGAGAAAUUCUCAAACUUCAUCAUGGUAUCAGAGCAGCCUUCCUCUCACGAGAACUCGAUCCCCAAUUCUGAAAACACCCACCACCCGAUUUCCACUCCACCAUCCCCAACUAAUAUUCCUAUCAUUGCUCUCAACAUCUCUGCUCAAAUAAAUGAAAAACUCACACCAUCAACCUUCCCUCAAUGGCGUGCCCAGUUUGAAUCCCUCCUAAUUGGCUACAAUCUACUUGAUUAUGUCAUAGGUGACAAUCCUCCUCCUCCUCCGAGUGAUUCCUCCGCUACCAAUCCAUAGAAAACCCACUGGAUAAGACAAGAUAAACUUAUCCCCAGUGCCAUUUUGGCAUCCACCACCUCCACAAUCACCCCAUUCAUUUCCGCUACACAAACAUCACAAUAGGCAUGGAAAAAAUUGCAUACCAUGUAUGUGAGCAAAUCUCGUACUCGGGCCAUGCAAUUGAAGGAGGAACUCACAAUGAUUAAGAAAGGGAAUCAGACAGUUCAAGAAUACCUGCACAUUGUCAAGGCUCUUGUUGACAAAAUCUCCCUCAUCGAUCAUCUCAUUGCAGAUGAUGAUCUCACCUUGUACAUUCUCAAUGGACUGGGCAGUGAUUUUCGAGAAAUCGCGACACCUAUACGAGAAAGGGAAAAACCACUCGCGUUUGAAGAAUUGCAUGAUCUGCUCGUAGGCCAUGAUGCCUACCUCCGACGCCUUGAAACCACCACACGACAAUUGGUUGCAUCAGCUAAAUACUCCAAUCGGCAUCCUGCUUCUUCAUCCGAUGGCCAACACUCUAAAGCUAACUUCAAUGGGCAACACAAAUACACUCCAAAGUGCCAAAUCUAUGAUGAACUGGGCCACAUUGCAAAACAUUGUCCACGUCUGCGCUUUGUUGAGCCCACUGCCAAUUAUGUUGCCACUUCACCUGCAACAAACCCAAAAUGGAUUCCUGGUGAUUUAGCCAAUUUAUCUAUUCACUCUGAGGACGAUGACACUGAUGAAGUUGUCAUAGGUGACGGUUCAGGUUGCAUGUCUCACACGUUGGCUCAUUGGUUCUCAAAUCACCCACACACACUUUUCAUUUAAAUGAUACUCUUUGUGUUCCUAAUAUUCGCAAAAAUCUCAUUUCUGUCCAUCACUUCACCUCACAAAACAAUGUUUUUGUUGAAUUUCAUCCCUUGUUUUUCCUUGUUAAGGACAAGAUCAUGGGGGCGAUUCUACUCAAAGGUGCAUGUGAAAAUGGCGUUUACACUCUCCCGGAUUUACUGGUGCAAGAUUCUCCAAAAAUGGUUGCCAAUGUGCAUGAACGGACCUUAAUCAAUGGGUGACACAAGCGUCUUGGACAUCCCUCUCAAAAAAUAGUUCAUCACCUUGUUAAGAAUUUUUCUCUUCCAAUAAUACAAAAAGAACAUAGUUCUCAUCUUUGUACCUCUUGUUCUAUUACUAAAGCACACAAACAACCAUUUCGGACCAAUAGCCUUCAAAGCCAUACACCUCUUGAUUUAAUUUAUACUGAUGUUUGGGGUCCCUCAAAUACAAUUGGUCUUGAUGGAUCACGGUAUUAUUUGAUUUUGGUUGAUUAUUUUACAAAGUAUAUUUGGUUUUAUCCAAUGGAAACCAAAUCUCAACUAAGCAUGAUAUUUCCUCAAUUUAAACAUCUCGUUGAAAAUCAAUUUCAAUCAAAAAUCAAAAGUAUCUACUUGGAUAAUGGUGGUGAAUUUGUUGCCUUAAAAUUUUUUUUUCUAUACAUGGCAUAAGUCAUUACACCACAGCUCCUCACACACCACAACAAAAUGGUGUAUCCGAGCGUCGUCAUCGUCAUUUGGUAGAAAUAGGUCUUACCCUUUUACAUGAUGCUUCUUUACCUCUCUCAUAUUGGCCUUAUGCCUUUUCAACGUCUACUUACCUCAUCAACAAACAGCCAACCCCUCUCCUACCUAACAAACCCCCUUUUGAAGCAUUAUUUCAUCAGCCCCCCAACUAUCUUAAACUAAAAAAAAUUGGGCAUCUAUGUUUUCCUCUCACCAAGCUCUAUAACACACAUAAGUUGCAGCCCAAGGCAACACCAUGUUUGUUUGUGGGCUAUUCCCCAACCCAGAAUGCGAAUAAAUGUCUUGAUCCACAAGCCCAUAAACUAUAUUUAUCUAGGCACGUUAUGUUUGACGAAAGUUAAACCCAUCAUCUCCUCCGUUCAGUCGAAACACAGGUACCAGCCAUGUCCAUUUUGCCUGCGCCACUUGUGUCGCUCACACUUUUGCCGCAACCACUGCCACUACCAACGAGAGGUAACGUCAUUUUCGCCUUAUCUCCAAGUAACUGCCUCGACUCAUCUUCUUCUCAUUUUCGAGAUAUGCAAUCCCUAAAUUCAUGCCCUAGUUCCUCUCAAUCACAUGAACACUUGCAUUCUAACUCAAAUUCACACACCAAUCCACUCUCAGAACUCAUGGUUGUCCAUGAUGACCAUCACAAUGACCCUCCACUGCCUCCUUCUCACCACAUCCACACCAUGACCACUCGGUCAAUGAUACGUUCCCAAUUGGUGUCUCAGUUGAUUCAUGUCCUCUCAAUGGUCCCUGACAGUGGUACCAUUUGAUUCGUGUCCAGUUGGUGUCCCUUGAUUGUGGUCCUCAGAAGGGAGUAAUCAACAAAAUUUAUAACCUAUUACACCAUGUACUAGGAUAGCCUCAGCUAGCAUAGCAUAGUGGCUUUAGGGUCGUUCACUGGGAUGGGUUUUCACUUCACAAUUGAUAUUAAUUCAAAGAUGAGUUGGUGCUUUUUCAUUUCAAGGUUAGUUUUAAAAGAAAACAUAAACUUUGGUUGAAAAAGGCUUGGUUUUAAGCUAAUCAAAAAUAGUAACUGAUUUUAAUUACAAAGAAAAGUAUUUCUUGGAGUUUCAGAUCACUAGACUCAUGUUCCUUAUACAAAAAGGAGAGUUCCGGUCACUUGUUUCUUUUCCUCGCAUUAGAAAAUUAACAUAUAGUUAAUUCUCUAACCGGUGUGGUACAUAUGCUUCCCAUUAAUGGGUUCAAACACUAAAUCCCUCUCACUGAUGCAUCUUGCAAUGGCUCGUGCCUCUCACCUAGCAUUUGCCAUUCAAGGUGAUCCUUAACCUUGGAUUACCCGUCAAAAGCUCACAAGAGAUAACUAAUGGAUGUCUCCUUGGAGUCUAAAAGCUUACCAAGUGUUGGCUAUUCUAGAAAAUCCUACCUUUAAACCACUUCCCAAAGGCUCGCAAGAGGUAAACUAGUGCAUCUCAAUGGACGGAGAUCACUUGUCUUACCAAGUGUUGGCCCAGGUGAUUUAAAGGCGUUUUAAGUUAACUAAAAAGAUAAAAACCAUUAAUGGGUCACACUUUCUCUUCAUUAAAAACUAAAAUAACAAAACUUCCAAUUUAUGCAUGAGAAAACUUACCCGACUUUCUUCACUCCAAGAGACGAAGAGCCUAGCCUCUCAUCCUCUGAGGAAAAAUCCUCAGAGUUUGAUUGGCUAGAAAGAAAACUAACGAGAAAACAAAAAUAUGAAGGAAAAACAGAGCAAGUGCUUUGUAAAAUACAUUUUUUCCUCUCGUCGGAUUACAUGAUGAUAUGUAAAGAAAAUUACAAACUAUAUAUAAGAGGUUAUUCACCCUUUGUUCUUACUUAAAGACUAAGGAAUCCUAUGAUAGGUGGGUUACAAGGAGAGUUUGGGGAUUUAGACAUCAAAUAUCUAAAGCAAAAUAUCUCAAAAUGUCGGUCGCAAAUAUCGGGAGGCUUCAGGAGAACACCGCAACUAUGCGUGCAAGAGGGCUGCUAAAUUUCGCAGCAAAAAGGACAACAUUUCGCAGCCCAAGGCUUAUUUCGCAGCCAUGCGAAAUUUUUCUUCAACUUGGAGUGAUCGGCUUCCAAUGGCUGUAACUCCUUCAUUUCAACUUCGAAUCACGCACCGUUUGAAGAAUUGGAUUAUUGACUUCCUGAGCUUCGAAACGACAUAUAGCAUGCAUAAAUUGAACUCCAGGAAGUGCUCCAAAAGUGGCUGACACGACUGUCAUCUAGAAUGCUUCAUGUUAGAUUUCUCUUUGCUUCCCCUCCUUUCAAUUCCGGAAAGCUUCAGUUCUUCAUGUUUCUGAGCUUUCCAUUGCUUUGCCAUCGAUUCCAAAGAACUCUCCUCAAUCUUGAAUUGCUUUGGUGAUCAAAUUACUAACAAAAACACCAAAACUUACACAAAGUGAUUAGAAAUUAUUGCAAAGGUCUUUAAUAUGUUAAUUGGGUUAAAAGGUAAUAACUACUACUCAAAAGUGUUUAAAAGAGUUAAUUACAAGCUAUCAAAUAGCACUUUUUGAGUAGUAAUCAGUCAAUGAAUAACAUUCAUAAGCCCAAAUAGUUCAACUCCGAGACCAAACACCCACUCCCACCAACCAUUGAACCAACAUAUGUGGACCAAGCACUUUGUGAACCUCACUGGAGACAUGCUAUGUCAGAUGAACUUACUGCUCUCAUGCGUCAUGGCACUUGGGAUCUUGCUUCCUCGCCCAAAGAUUGUAAUCCUGUUGGGUGCAAAUGGGUAUUCCGUGUGAAAUGAAACUCGGAUAUUUCAAUUGACCGCUUCAAAGCGAGGCUUGUUGCUAAAGGAUUUAAUCAACGAGAAGGGUUAGAUUACAAAGAAACCUUCAGCCAAGUUGUAAAACAUGCAACAUUAGGACUGUCUUGACAGUGGCUGUAAUGCAGGGGUGGUCAUUAAGACAGUUAGAUGUUAACAACGCUUUUUUGCAUGGUGACUUGACUGAGACUGUGUAUAUGACACAACCACUAGGAUUCAAAGAUGUUAACAAGCCAAAUCAUGUGUGCAGGUUAUGUAAGGCUAUCUAUGGCCUUAAACAUGCCCCAAGAGCUUGGUAUUUAGCUCUUAAACUGGCAAUUAUGGGUCUUGGUUUUCAAAAUUCCAAAGCUGACUCAUCUCUUUUUAUCUAUUGUUGAAACUCUGUCAUAUGCUAUAUUAUUAGUAUAUAUGGAUGAUUUGGUUAUCACUGGCAAUAAUUUGUGCUUUGUGUCUAAGAUUGUUGCACAACUUGGAAAUUUGUUUUCCUUAAAGGACAUGGGACAACUCAACUUUUUCUUGGGAAUGGAGGUUAUUUCUACAAAAUCUGGGCUUUUUUUUUUUCUCAACAUAAAUAUAUUCGAGACCUAUUGUCCAAAACCAAUAUGAUUGGUGCUAAAGAUGUCUCAACCCCAUUGUCCACCACCACGUCCCUCAAAUUGGUUGAUGGUACUUCAUCUACCAACAGUAUAGAGUUUUGAAGUGUCAUUGGUGCUCUUCAAUACCUGUCUCUCACUAGACCGAAUAUCUCAUUCUCUGUAAAUAAACUUUCUCAGUUUAUGCAUAAGCCUACGGUGACACAUUGGACAACUGAAAAACAACUUCUUCGCUAUUUAAAGCACAUUAUAUUUCAUGGACUUCACAUAAAAAAAAAAAAAAAAAAUCCAUCUUUGAACUCAUUACAUAUUUUGAUGCGGAUUGGGCGGGCAACUAUGAUGAUCGGACCUCCACCUCCACAUAUAUCUCAUUUCUUGGUGUCAAUCCUAUCUCCUGGAGUUCAAAGAAGCAAAGGGCAAUGGCACAUUCAUCCACUAAAGCAGAAUAUAGAGCCCUUACCAAUGCAGCCUCCGAGACAUCAUGGCUUCUCUCAUUAUUCCAGGAACUAGGUUUGCCUUUAUCUGGACAACCCAAGUUGCUCUGUGAUAAUUUGGGUGCAACUCACCUCAGUUUUAAUCCUGUCCAGCACUCUCGAAUGAAACACAUUCAGAUUAACCUUCAUUUUGUCCGAGAUAUGGUUCAAAGUGGCGUUCUAAAUGUUCAUCAUGUUAACACCUAGGACCAGCUGGCUGAUCUUCUCACAAAAGGCCUCUCACGCCAAAUGACAGAAAUUUCAAGGGACAAGAUUGGCUUAGCCAAUGGCAGCUCCAUCUUGCAGAGGCAUAUAAAGGAAGCAUCCUCAAAUCAAGCAACAAAAAUGACUGUAGAUUUUUAGCUUUCAUUCAAGGAUGUAACAGUCCUUAUUUUCCUUGUAACCGAUAACCUUAAUUCUAGGAAACUUACUUAGAAUAACCCUUGUUAACUUGUAUUUAUUUUUUUUCAUACAAUCUCUUGUUAUGGUGUAAUAUUUUUCAAACAGAGCAGUAAUACAUUAUUGAGAAAUUCUCAAACUCCAUCACUCCCAUCUCUUUAUCCUCAAACAAUCAAGACACAAACUUUGAUGCAUCUCUGUCUUGGAUUCUUCAUGUCAAAAGGAACAAUUGAAGUAUCUCCAUUGCUUCUCUGUUUCUUUGAGUCAAAGGACAGAGUCUGUCUUUCUCUGUUUCUUCCGAUCAUUUUCAAAAUGCAACAUUGUGAGAUCUACUAAUCCUAAACCUGUUUCUCAAAGAAUCAAAAUCAUAAAUACCAAGAUGUAUAAACAUGCAGGUAACACGUCCUCUUGACAAUGAUGUGACAGGUGUAGCAGACAAGGAACAUACAUACCUGUAUUCCAAGGAAGUACCAGUGCAUUUGAUGACAUUGUUCUAACCUAAAUUCUAAAUUUUAGCAAUCCGAAAUCUGUAACUUCUGCAAAAUUUACCUAGUUGUUGAGGGAACAACACAUCUUCUCUUACCAUUUUCAUCUUAUGCACUACAUAUCCCAUGUCAACUGCCACUUCCACUACACCUGAAUGAAGUAGGAACACAAAUGAACAUUUCAAGGCAUCGGAUUGUUUGAAAAUUAAAUUGGGAGAGGUAGAACUACCGAUGCUUACAUGGAACUGAGGAAAAGACAAACAAGAUAAAAAAAAAUGGAAGAGAAAAUGCAAAUCCAUAAGCCUGUAGUUGCUGUCCAAAGCAGCUUCCUUGUCAAUUGUCAACAAAAAGUCCAUUAUGAAAUUCACUGGUAGAGCCACAUAUAGAAAAUUGCAAUAAAUGGAAAAGUAAGAAAUCUGCGCUAGGAAUGGAUGAAGCUUAUUGAAUGUAAGGUUCUAAACAGUCUUUGACUAAACACAGUUGAAGAAUAGGGUUUCACGGGAAUAAUUUUCUUUCAUUGAGAUUAUUCUUUUAUAGAGUUUACAACAUAUACAAAUCCUUCAAAUUAGGAAACUAAAUCACUGAUUAAAAGGAAAGAAUAACUCCUAACAAUUACUUUCCUAAAAAUACAAAGAUUGACAACUAAUAAAUAAUUUACAGCUUUACAUAGUUAUUUAUUUCCAUAUCAGUUUCGGUUUUCCAACAAACACCAUUAGAGUAUAGAUAGUAGCUCUUUGAGGGAAGUGAGGUCUUGGUGACCCUGGAAGGUUAAGGCUUCUAGAUACUGGAAUCUUUGUGUGCAGACAUACAUGAGAGAGAUGUAGGAAGGAAGAGGCAAGCCUGUGUCAUCUGAGCAGAGGCAUCUGGAAUCUUUGUGUGCCAUUAUUCAAUCCAAAGAGAUGUUGGGAGAGAUUUGUUCAGGAUUUAUGUGAUGUACAGUCUUUUCACAAUCAUAAAUAUGAAGGUAUUUAAGUAUGGCAUUUGGGAAUAAGGUGAUAUACCAGUAACAUGGAAAAUAAGGUGAUCACAAAGGACUACACAGUUAGCUUGUUUGGAAUAGUUGUGGUUGGUUAAUUUCAAGCCCAAGUUUUAGCACUUAAAAACAUGCCCAUUUUUUGCAGACCCUUUAGCAAGCCUGCACGGAAGCAUUCUCUGGUUGUUACAUACAUGGUGUCUGCAUAUCAAUCAACACAUUUUGAUGUUUUUUCUCAAAUUCCAUAUUAAAGUUAUACUGGACACUUGAAUGCGAACAUGUCUGAUUAUAUCUUUUCUUUCCAGACAUGUUUCAUCUCUCCAGUGCACUAGGUUUGGAUGAACCUUAAAGCUCAGCUACAGAAUGAAACUGGAAUAUUAGUCAUAUUUCCUGUUCAUUGAUUGAUAAAAAUGUUGAGUAAGAUCAAGAAAGUUGUUAAAUGGGAAGAUGAUGAUUUUCUUACUGUUAGUUUGCAUUGAAAAAAUGGUAAUAAAAAAAGAUUUUUUGGAUAGGAUUCAGAAAGAAAAUAUGUUGAUUCAAAAUUUAAAGAUAUAGUACCCAAGGGGCUAUGAUCCUGUAUAUGGAUGUUUCAUGUUUUAAGAUUGUGCACGAAGUGCUGAUGUUAUAAGGGAUCAAGGGUGGUUUGUGGAGCAGUCCCCUCUGCAGAGUAUUGCAAGUAUCUAGAUAAUCCUGCAAUUUUGGAGUAGGCUUCUUCUAAUUUGCUCUGCUCCCAAUCGUCCAGAAUAGUGGAAAGCUUCAUUCAGUUGUAAUAAUUUUAUUAUUUAGAUUGAAUCAUAUUCAUUGGGUUUGUAGAUCAGGAGAAAGUGUCAUGGCUUUGAAUGUUUGUUUCUUUGAUAAUAUCAUAGUGCAUUGGUCCACAGAGAUGGAAGCAUGACAGUUGAAGGAAAUGACUUAAAUGUAGCAGUCAAGGGUAUAUUAUAUGAAAAAUUUUAUAUAGAGCAACCUGUUUGACUUCACAUAGUGUGCUUGCAUCAGUUGUGGACGUCUGAUGUUUGGAAUAUCCUUGCACAUAUGUCAUCAUUUUCUUUUCUUCAGCUCUAUUUUCUUUGUUUCUCCAUUCCUCGGUCAAGCCAAGCAGCUUGGUGAUUCUUCAUUUCUUUUUCAUCCCAUCAAGAGAACAACAUCUCAUGCAUCUUUGUAUUGGGUUCCUCCCUCUUCUUCCACCUUAAGGAAAAACCGUAUCUUGCUUAGUUUGGACUUCUCUAUUUCUUUUGAUCAUCGUGAAAAGCAUCAUGAGAAGAGGUACAAUAAAUGUGUUGUGCUGAAUUAUUCAAAACAUUAUUUUCAUAAUCAUAAAUACCAAGGUGUUUAAGCAGCAGGUAAGGCAUCUCUUGACAAUGAGGUGAGAGGUAGAAACAAGCAACAUACCUGUAUUCAAGAGAAAUUCUGUUCUUCUUUUAAAAUUUGACAACAUUCAUUUAGUCUAAACUCAAUAUCUGGGCAACUCAGUAUCUCCACCUUCAUUAGGAUUGCAGGAAGCUGGCUUCUUGGAAAGACAUGAAACGGGGGCAUUUCAAAAUCUAAAAGAAUUUCAGAGACCUAUUGCAACUUUUGAAUUGCUCAAAUCAGUAACAACUCCAGAGAUAUAUACAUAUCUGCCCCUGGGAAAUAGAGGUGUCCUAGGCAUGCAACCAUGGAAUAUUAACUCCCUAAUAGGCUCAAGGUUGUGAUCAUAAAAAAUGCACUGAGUGGGUGACUUGCGAUCGGUUCUGUGAGUCCCUCUUGGUAGCUUCUCAUUUAUUGCACCAUAUGAAUUGCAGAUUCCAACUGCCAAUUUCACCACCCCUAAAUGAACUAGGAGACAUGCUGAAAGCAAAGUUAGACAACUCAUCAUAGAGUUAAUCCUGCAGGAAUACACCAAAAAAGAAAUCUUAUUAAUAUAAAUGAAUUCAUCCAAUUAAAGGAUAAGGUUGCCUGAAAAAUUAAAUUGAGAGAGAUGGAUAUAGUGAUGCUUACAUGGGACUGUGGGAAGGAUCAACAAGAGAAACAAACAUUGAAUAGCAAAUGCAAAGCCAUAGAGCUUGCAACUGCUAUCAAAAGCUGCUCCCUAGUGAAGUCUUUUAACAAUAAAUUUCAGUGCAAAAUUUGCCUAAUUGCUCCACUUGUAGGACAUUUCAAUAGUAUGAAAACAGGAUAUGGUGAACUCUCCCUGCUUCUUCCAUCAGUGAACUAAUAUGGAUCAAAGAUGAAUCUCGUCAUCUACAUCUAUUUUUACAUAGGAGAUGUGGGCAAUCUUGGGCCAAUCUCUCAUCAUUGGAUUUAGGAGUUGUCUCUAAUUUAUGGUUCUAAAAGCAUGGCAGGAAACUCUUUACUUGUCAAAUACUACUGGAGCUUAGGUGAUGUCUCAAUGAGGGCUUAAGUGAUGUGUUGGGGCUUGGGCAAUGUUGUAUCUUAAGAUAUUCAAGAGAUGUGUGAUCAUGCAUCAACCCUAAUUCUGCUAGCAUAAUCUGGUUUUCAAUCACAAAUAUGUAGUUAAAAUGUAUGGCAGGUCAUGCAUGCAUCUCUUAUAUUGUCAUGAGAAGUGGAGAUUGAGCAACAUACAUGAUUCAAGGGAUGUGCAACUGUUCUUGCCCAUCGAACAAUCUUCAUCUGAUACAGAGCCCAGAUUUUUAGCAACUUGUGAUCUCCACAUUUUAACACAUUGGAGGAAGUUGGCCUAUUCAACAAACAAGACAGGAUAUUUAGAAAAAUGCAAGAAUUCCAGACAUGUGUUGCUGUCAUGAAUUAUUCCAAUCAGUAAGGAAUCAAAGUGCUAUAAUUUUGAUUUGUGUAACUACUUAGCAUGGAUAACAUACCUAUCUUGGGGAAGUAACUCAAGUCCCACGCACCAACUCAAUCCUGAGCUCUCUGGGAUACUUGAGACACCAACUUAAUCAAAGCUACUACUUGUUUCUAUGGCAGCUCGUCUUCCUCCACUGAUACUGGGAAAAGAGCAAAACAAAGGGAAAUGAAGUCAUGUUGUGAUCCUGUCUCCAAUCUCCUUGACACAGAUAGAUGAUUUCCUUGCAACCGACAAUGUCUAAUGCUUUCACUUCAGUUCUAGCAUGUGUUUUGGGAAGAGAAUUAAGCUUUCAAAUAUUGCCAAUAUGCAAGGAAUUGAGAAAGGCCAGGUGGGCAGCUGCCACAGUUAGUUCACAAACCAAUGGCAACAUUGGAAGUGGAACACGACACAAAAACUUCAAAAGACAAAACCUAUUUUUCACAAUCAUAAAUACCGAGGUGUUUAAGCACAAGGUAAUGCAUCUAUUGACAAUGAUGUGUGACGUGGAGACAAGCAACAUAUCUGUAUUCAAGAUAAAUGGUAUUCUUCUUUUGCAUUGACAACAUGCAUCUAGUCUAGGCCCCAAAUUUGUAGCAACUCCAGAUCUCCACCUUCAUUAGGAUUACAGGAAGCUAACCACUUGGAAAGACAUGAGAGUAACAUUUAGAAAUCUGAAAGGAUUCUAGAGAGCUGCUGCAACUGGUGAAUCAUUCCAAUCAGUAACAACAAGGAGCCCUAUAUACAAUUUUGAACUGUCAGCCUUCAUAGCAUGAAUGAAAAACUUGUCCCUAGGAAUGAGAUGUGCCUUGGGCAUGCAACCUUCAAUUAUUAGUCAGAGUUACCCCUACCUAAUCCAUCUCGAUGUGUCUGGGAAAACGAGGUCCACUAGAUGUUAUGGCCAUUAUCUCAUGGUAGUGGAUCUUUUGAAGCAGAGUCUAAAACGAAGUCAUCACUGGAGGUUAUGGCCAUUAUCCCAUUGCAUCAGAUGUUUUGCACCAGAGUUUAAAACCAAGUCAUUGACAAAGCCAUAGUGAUGUCAUUGAUUUUAUUCUAAACCUAUCAAAACAAUAUGAGAUUCACUUUGAUUUCAAGUUAUGCAAGAUCUAUAUGAGCUCAAUUGUUUUGAAACUUGAUUGAUGUUUCGUUGGUCAGGUUUUCUUUAGACAUGAACCUAUUUUUUGUGCUUAACUUAAAGAAGCUGCCAAUAAGACUGAAUAGUCACAUAUCACUUAGAGAGUUGAGAAUCACACAACUCUUUCGUUUUUUUUUUUAGGACUGGUUUGUCAUCAAGUCUUUUGCUCAGUUGUUGUGAUGGUUUGAAAUUUCUAUCUGAUGACUAUAACCUAUAUAAACAACAACUUGUAUUCUCUUAUCUUGAGCAUUUUAGUAUUCAAUAAAAAUGACCUUUACUAAACCUGCAGAUUUUUUCAGGUGAUAUUUUUUUUUUACAACAAGGAAGGGAGGCAUUUUUAUUGGUAGCAUAUCCUGAUUCAUAGAGUAUAAACCCUUGCAAAUUGAAAGAAAGACAAUUUACAUAUCAUUAAAGGGUGAUCUGUAAGCACUCUUAUAGGCCUACAUCUUCCUCAUUUGGAUUUGGAAUUUAACCUUUGAUAAGCGUUUACUUGUUUUUAAUCUGUUUUUUAGGAAGAUAGUUAAUGAGAUUUUGCCAACCAAAAACAGAGGUUUGUUAGCCCUCCUACCCUCAAGCUGGUUCUCUUGCAUAUGCUUGAAGAACUAAAACAAAGUAAUGCACUAUAUCCUAUUUCUAACGAUUGCCAAUCCCCGGCAAUGACUCCGAUUUCUUGACCGAACUUCUCUACUGAAUCAAAAUACUUAGCCUUUUUACGUAGCAACUCCGGUCAAGAAAAAACUAGAGAAAUAGUCACUACGGCUUUUGUAGUAUUCCGGAUAUCGUCCUCAAGGAUUGGCUUAUGGAAAUUGUCAAUACAAGAAUAAAUGAAUUGCUUUUAUUUAAAUUCUAAAGUGAAAACCAAUAUGUGAAUAAUGUGAAACUAAGUAAAAGAAAUGAAAUUAAUAAAAAAAUGAAUAUUCAUUUUAAAUUCAAUUGAUUCAAGUUUGGGGUUUUCCACAAUCCAACAUAAGGUAUAGAAAUUAGAGAAAACAAGGGUCUUUUAAGUAAUAUGAUCUUAUGAUUUUGGGAUCCUUGGCCGCUCGGUAUCAAGUUGAAUUCUAUAACUCAAAAUUGCAUCUGAAACUUAAUUUUUUUCUUUUUAAAACAAAUUCCUAAAACCAUCAAAUGAAUGAGAUUGAUUACCAAUUUAAGAUUUGGCUUUUUAACCCUUCCAACUCCUUAUAGCUUUGUUUAGGGGCAAAUAACGGUAGGAAAGACGAGGAUAACUAAUGGUAAAAAAUUACCAAGAAUCACUAGUAUCAGGUAAUAACCUACUGUAUCAUUCCCUAAACAAACUCACAAAGAUAGGAUAAAAAAAAUGAUAAAUUGUCACCCAACCAAUAAUUAAUCUCAUUGUUAUAAUAAUUUACCCAUUGUCCCUAUAGGUUUCCUAGACCUUAGAUUUUCAUGUUUCAAGCCCCAAGUUGGCUCUUAGCCUCUCAUGGGGGUGAUGUCACAUUCACAAUCCAUAAUAGGGUAAAAAUCCAUAAUUUGAAUAAAAAGAAACCAAUUAAUUAGUCAUUGCAUUUUCAUAGUCUUACAAGAAAUCUUGUUAUGGUGGUAGGAGAAUAGACUGCAACAUAGUCUCAUUUCCCUUCAUGAUUUAGACAUUGUAAAGAUCAAAAACCUGUUCCUGGUAAUAUAAGAAGAAGAGUAGCCAAAGAAAAGGAACAAAAUGUAUUGGAACCUUGUGGAAUUGAAUAGUUGGUAUCCAGGUGGCAAAAAUACACAAAAAUGCACUUAACAAACUACUAAUCAACAGGCUAAGAUUCUACUUCCAAGAGACAGGUUUGUCAUCCAUGUCAAGAAGGCUUGCACUUCAUUUUUCUGGGACUUUGGCAUCAACAAAUUUCUAGAAUUCUUUCAGGUUUCUAAAUGGAAUGGUUCAAGUUAUCAACACAUUCCUAGAAUUCUUUCGUAAAUGUCAUCAUCCUGGCCAACUUUCUUCAGUGUUGAAAGAGGGGGUGAUACCAUGUUGCUAAAAAUUAUAGUCCAUAGGAACUAGUGGACAAGAACUACAACACUUGUAUUAGAAACAUCUCUGUUGCCUGGAUUUGCAUUACUUGCCAUAAUUAAGCACCUUUUUAUUAUUGUAGCAGAGUGUUUCAGAGUCACCCAUACCUAAUCCAUCUUCAUGUCUCUCAAACAACUAGGUCUAUUGGUAAUAGAAGAAGAGCAACUUGAAUAGCUGGUCAUUUCUUUUUAUAAUUUAGUGAUAAAGGUUAAAAACUACAGCACUUGAAUAACUGGUAUUCAGGUGGACAAGAACUACAACACUUCUUUGAGAAACAUGUAUGUUAUUUCUUCAACUCUUACUCUAUUCCCUGGAGUUGCAUUACCUGCCAUGAUUAAUCGCCUCCUAUUUAUUCUUGUGGAGAAACAGGUUUUGGUGUAUGUAGAGAGACUAUACAAUUAUUGCACCUCUUGAUUUUCAAGACCACCCAGCCUCUCCUCGAGAAUCUGGAAUUGUCAAGCUGAUUUAUGGCUAACCUUCCAAGGACCUUAGGGGCUUCAUACAAGGUAGAUCUAGUGUAAGAGAUUCAAAAUCAUCUCUACAUAAUCCAUCUCCAUUUCUUUAGAAUAACUAGAUGCUAUGGCCAAAAUCUCACAUAAGGUGUCAGGUUCAUGUUGGGGCUCAUUCACAAGAUUAAGAUGACUAUAGCAGGGGAUGUUCCUGAUCUACCACCAGCCAUGUUGUCAAGUUGUUCAAUUUCCUUGUGUUGACUAUGGCCACAGUCACAGUUGUGUGUCCUUUCCCGAAAGAAAUGUCAUUUUGAAACUUUUAAUGUCAACAACAGAACUUUCAUGUUUCUACAUUCAGGUACCCACAAAAAAUUGAGUCCCUGUUAGCAUCCAAUGAUAGAAAGUAAUAAUCUGAACAAGGGAACAAGUGAGGAGAAAACUAAUUCUAAACACGGAAGCCAAGUACUUGAUUUCUAUUUGACUGGUGGAAUAAUUGAAAUGUAUUUACAAAUUUAGCAUUAGAUAAGUUUUAACAAAAUCACUAAUUAACCCCCAAACCUCUCCCCUCCACCCACCACAAAGGAAAUAAACAACAUUUUGGGAUCCUAGUACCUUUAUGUUACAAGAUUCUGAUCAACAUAUGCUGCAAAGUAUUAUGUUGGUCCAAUUCCUCUACUUUGCAUUGCAACAAAGUAUAAAUGGGUUUUCUCUUUUCUUCAUCUUCAAAUGAAACAACCCUUCUCAAUAAAAGAAUACAAGAAAUUGAGAGCUAAGACCAUUUCCUUUCAUUGUGCUCUGUUUACUCUACUCCUUCUCUUGGUCAAGCCAAACAAUCUUUGGCUUGUCCAUUUCUUUUUCACCCCACAUAAAAAAGCAACUUGUUAAGUUAUCCCAUCUCUUUAUCCCCUUGUCAAGACACAGAAUUUAAUGCAUUGUUGUCUUGGAUUCCUCCUAGUUAAAAGGAAGCUUGAAAUAUCUCCAGUGCUUCUCUGUUUCUUUGAGUCAAAGGAUAAAAUAUUGUUUUUCUCUGUUUCUUUGAGAUGCAAGAGGUUUGUAUAGAACUUAGGUGAUGUAACUAUUGGUCGGUAGGUAUUUAAUUAGAGAACUUUGGAGGCUUGGGCAUUACUGUUUAUUUAGAUAUUCAAAAUGCAUUAUUGCACAUCUUCUUGACUUCCUGCAAAUGAACUUGUUUUUCACAAUCAUAAAUAUGGAGGUAUUUAAUUAUGGUAGGUAAUAUACCACCCAGAAAUUGAUGUGGAAGGUGGAGACUAACAACAACAUAGAUGUAUAUAAGGGAUUUACACUUAGUCUUGUGCAUCAAACAACCCUCAUUUAGUAUAAACCAUAAAUUUUGGCAACUUGUGAUCCACAAUUUAGAGCAUGGGAGGAAGCAGACCUGUUGGACAGAUAGGAGGAGACAGUUAAAAACAUGCAAGAAUUCCAUAGAUGAGUUGCUGUUAUGAAUUAUUCAGAAUCCAUGAGAAAAUUUAAAGCCCAUUAAUUUUGAAUGAAGCACCUACUUAGCAUGGAUCAGAAACCUAUUUUACGAAAAGAAACCAAGUCUUGAGGACCAAUUCAAUUACCAAAUCUUUGGGAAACACUGAGGCCUUUUUAGUAGCUUCCUAAUCAGUGCAUAAGGUGGCAAUGCUAAUUGCUUUUGUGGAAGCUCUUCUUUUUCUGGUAUCGAGGAAAGGACUAUAAUCCUAAAUCUCCAUUCUCCAUGUACAUAUGUUUUUUUCGAUGCAUACUCUCAGAGAAAAUGAGUAAGCUUCAGAAUGUUAGUUGACAAAUCAAUUAGAGCAAUGGAAUUGGAACAGGACAAUAACUUCAAAACAUUAAAAAUAUGUAAUGCAGAUAAGGGCAUUUAUAUGUACACAUAUUGAUCAUAAAUAAACUCCAUCCUUUAGCAACCUAAAAACUCAAAAGAAAGAAGUAUAAUUUCAGAUAUGCAAGAUUUUGAUCAAUUAAAGUCCAAAGCAUUUUAUGUUCAUACAAAUGAGAAGACAGAAUGGCAGCUGACUUUGAGGAUUGAUAGAAAAAUGAAUUGAUGCUACUUCCCAAUGCUAAUGCCAUCAAUUUGUUGCUGCUUUUUGUGGCCAUGUCGAGCCUGUCCAUCAGAUAAGGUUUGAAUUGCUUCUAUUAUUCUUGUUUAAGACAAUCCCCCAUUUUUUUUCUUUUUCAUAGUCAAUCAUCUUGUUUCAUGUUUGCCCUAUAGUUGGUCUGCUGAUGGUAGGCUUCUUUUGAGUGGAAGCAAAGACUCUAUGUUGAAGGUAAAUCAUGGGAACUAUGUCUUUUUGUGGUAUCGAUGGGGCUAUCAUAUAGUUGAAUGAUUCUAUUGCUUCCUUAUAGCUUUUCAAGGCACUAAAAAAGAAAAGAACAAAUGUGACAUGGCAACAUUUUUUUCUUCCAAGUUUAAACAGUAAUUCGGGAUAGUGUAUUAUGAAAAUAUACUAAAAUAAAAAAUCCUAUGAAUGCAUUCUACUUUGGAUAUUUCUUAUGAAUCUUUCCGUCCACUCCUGACCACCACAGACACUCCCAUUACACCAAGCCUUGUAGCUAUUCUAAAUUGUUGCAAAUCUAUUAGAAACCAAUUACUAAUAUUAAGGAAGGUCAUGUCUACUAAUUUGGGGCUAGAAUUUUUAGAGCAGGUGGGAAAUUCUGGUUGCAGUAGGGAAUGUGAGUGCUAUUAUUUUGCCAAGGUGGCUUUCCUUAUUCAUGCUAACAUCAACAACAUAGCAAUGAACUCAAUUUAAUAUUGUUUAUCGUAUAGGCUUGAGAUAUCCGGGCAUAAAAGUUAAAAAAAGACCUUCUAGGCUAUGAAGAUGAGGUAUUUUCCACCUCUUAAGUACUAGUUAAUAUUCUUCUUUUGACAUUGUACUUGGUUUAAUUAAUGUUUUCCAUCUUUUCGUAUUUUGGAAAGGUUUUUGCUGUUGAUUGGAGUCCAGGUGGUGAGAAGGUAUUCUCCGGUGGUAGGGAUAGAGUACUCAAUUUAUGGAUGGAUUGAUGGCUGAAGGAGGAAGAGAUGUAUGAAAUGAAGAUUGAUAUGAUUCUUCCACAACAUGAUGAACUUGGCAGCACUCGACUUUUGCCUACAGUUAAUAGUCCACCAUAUGUGUAACUUAAAAAGUUGUGCACUAAGUUAUGAUGUUAUGAAGGAUCGAGGGUGGUUUGUGCACUAUGCUUUUAUAAAAUGUUUUUCUUUAUUGAGUUGUAAUGAUUGUAUUAUUUGGAUUUAAUUGUAUUAAUUAGGUUUGCAGAUCAUGAUAUGAUUAUUUUCCUCUUUGAUCAUGUAAAGUUGGGAAACAGUUAUGGGUUACUGUAAUAGCAUGGUAUAUUGAUGCACACAGUUUGUGGCAUGACAGUUUGAUGAAAUAAUAGAAGUGUAGCACUCAUGGGCAUAUCUUGUGAACCUUAUUCAAUGUGGCAUUGACAGUUAGUUUAAAUUUACAUGGGUGUAAUGUCGCACCAGUAUCAUCUGAUGAACCUUGGAUUCUUUUUUCUCAAUUUAUUCCUCUCUUGGUCAAGCCAAACAAUUUAUCUUCAUCACUUCCUCAUGUUACCAAAAAGUAGCAUCUUGUGUUCUCCAUAUCUUCAUCCCCUUGUCAAGACACAACAAUUUGAUGCAUCUUUGCAUUGGGUUCCUUCCUCUCCUUUCCCUCUCCUUCCUCCUCGUAUCAUUGCUUAGUUUUGGCUACUCUAUUUCUUUUUAUCAUUAUGGUAGAGCAUCAUUGCAAGAUGUACAAGAAAUGUGUUGUGGUGCAUUAUCCCCUUCUCUACCACCCGAAAUAUGUUUUCCAUGAUCAUUAAUACCAAGAUGUUUAAGCAUCAAGUAAGGCAUCUCUUGACAAUUAUGUGAGAGAUAAGAGACAAGCAACAUACCAGUAUUCAAGAGAAGUGAUGUUCUACAUUUACAGUUGGCAACAUGCAUUUAGUCUGAACUCCAGAUUUGGGCAACGUAGAAUCUCCACCUUCAUUAGGAUUGCAGAAAGUUAGCUUCUUGGAAAGACGUGGAAAUGGGGCAUUUAGAAAUCAGAAAGAAUCCCAGUGACCUAUUGCUACUUUUGAAUCAUUCUAAUCACUAACAACUCUAAAGAUAUAUAUACAAAUUUGUCCCUGGGAAAGAGAUCGAUGUUUCUUGGGCAUGCAACCAUCUCUCUUAAUAGACUUAGGGUUCUACACCCUCUUGGUGGUUUCUUAUAUAUUGCACCAUAUGAUUUGUAGAUAUCCAAUUGUCAAUUUCACUACACUUGAUGAACUAGAAGCUAUGUUGAAAGUGAAGUUAAACAACCCAUCGUAGAAAGAAUCCUGUUGGAAUACACCAAAAAGAAAAUCUUAUUAACAUAAAUGAACUCAUCCGGUUAAAGGAUAAAGUUGCAUGAAAAAUUGAAUUGGGAAAGAUACAAAUACUGAUGCUUACGUGGGACUGUGGAAGGGAUCAACAUGAGGAACAAACAUUUAAUAGUAAAUGUAAAGUCAUAAAGCUUGUAACAACUAUCAAAAGCUACUCUAUAGUGAAGUUUUUUAACAAUAAGGUAACUGAAAAAUUCACCAAAUAACUCCACUUGAAGGAAAUUUCAAUGGUAUGAAACUAGAAUAUGGUGAACUCUCCUUGCUUCUGCUAUUGUUGUGAGCCAUUAUAGAUCAAAGAUGAAUCUCGCCAUCUGUUUUCACAUAGGAGAUGUGGGCUAUCUUUGGGUCAUCUCUCAUCAUUGGAUUUAGGAGUUCUAUCUCUCAUAUAUAGUUUCACUUGCCAACUACAAAUGGAGCUUAGCAAAUGUCUCCAUGAUAUCGAGACUGAGAAACAUAAAUGAUUCAAGGGAUGUGUAGUUGUUCUUGUGAAUCACCCAAUCUUCAUCUAAUAUAUAUAGAUCGACGCACAAAUUUUAGCAACAUGUAAUCUCCACAUUUUAGAGCACUGGAGGAAGCUAGCCUAUUCAACAAACAUAACACAAUUAGAAAAUGCUAGAAUUCCAGAGACACGCUGUGCUAUCAUGCAUUCCAAUCAGUAAGGAAUCAAAGUGUUAUAAUUUUAAAUUGUGCAAUAAUAGACCUAUCUUGGGGAAGUAAACUGUCUUGAGCACUAACUCAAUUGCGAGUUAUUUAGGAGACCUGGAUACCAACUCAAUCAAAGCUGUUAGUUGUUUCUGUGGCAGGUUGUCUUCCUCCACUGAUACUGGAGAAAAUGCUUUUGAAAACCCUUAAUCUUCAAAUCACAAAGGGAAAUUAGAUUAUGUUGUUAUUCAAUCUCCAAUCUCCUCGACACAAACGAAUGAUUUCCUUGCAACAAACAAUGUCUAAUUCUAUCACUUGUACUCUAGCAUGUGAUUUGGGAAGAGAAUUAAGUUUUGGAAUAUUGCCAAUAAACAAGGAAUUGAGAAAGACCAAGUAGGCAGCCACCACAACUAGUUCACAAACAAAUGGAAGCAUUGGGAGUGGAACAUGACACAACAACAAAACAUGUUUUCCAUAUUCAUAAAUACCAAGGUGUUUAAGCAUCAGGUAAGGCAUCUCUUGACAAUAAUAUGAGAGAUAGAGACAAGCAACAUACCAUUAUUCAAGAGAAGUGGUAUUCUUCUUUUGCAUUUGACAACAUUCAUCCACUUUACACCCCAAUUUUGGAAACUUAGGAUAUCUCCACCUUCAUUAGGAAUAUUGUAGGAAGCUGGCCUCUUGGAAAUACAUGAGAGGCCAUUUAGAAAUUUGAAAAAAUUCUAAAGACUUGUUAUUGCUGGAAUUGUGAAUCAUUCCAAUCAGUAACAACCGUAAAGCCCCUAUACACAAUUUUGAAUUAUUAGCCUCCUUACAUUGGAUGAAAAAUCUGUCCCUAGAAAAGAGACGUGUCUUGGGCCAUGCAACCAUCAAUUAUUAGCUCUUUAAAAGGCUUGAAGUUGUGCACCCUCUUGGUAGCUUCUCAUUCAUUACAACAUAUAAAUUCCAGAUAUCCAAUUGCAUGUCACUAUAAUUGAACAUAGUAGGAAACACGAUGAAUAGGAAGUUAGACAACCUGUCACAAAAAGAAUCCGGCAAUAAUACACCAAAUAAAACAUCUUGCUAAUUUAGUUAAACUAUUGUGUGAAAAUCUAAAUUGGGAGAGAGAAAACAUUGAUGCUUACAUGGGACUGUGAGAGGGACCAAUAAGAGAAACAAACUUUGAAUAGAAAAUGUGAAGCCUUAAAGCUUGUAACUGCUAUCAGAAGUUGUCCCCUAGUCAAUUUUUCAACAAAAAGGUUCAGUGUAGGGAUUCUUUAAUAGCUUAACUUGUAGAAAAUUUCAACAGUAUGACAAUUUAUAAUCAUAAAAAGAAGAUAAAAUGUAAGAAUAAUGUGUUGGGAAUAGAUGAAACUUAUUGAAUAUAUGGAUAGAAUAGGGUGAACUCCACCUGCUUCCAUUUUUGGAAUCCAAACUAUUAUGGAUCAAAGAUGAAUCUCUCCGUCUAUUUACAAAUAGAACCUGUGGGCAAUCUUGAACUGAUGUCUCAUCAUUGGAUUUAGAACUGAUGUAUAGCUCUGAAACCAUGGCAGGUUUCUCCUUCAGUUGCCAAAUACCACUAGAGCUUAGGUGAGGUCUUGGUGAUGUAGGGAAGUCAUGGAUUAUGGAAUCUUUACAUGAAAAUAUACAUCAGAUACAUUGGAAGAAAGGGUUGGCCAUCUGAGAAGAAAUACAUCUUAAAGUAUACCAUCAAUCAUGAGUUGUUUGAGAGUGAGGAGACUUUGAAGGCCUCACUCAAAUAAGGGAUGUCUUUGACAUUUCUCACUCUUCAAUCUCAGGAAGGUACAUCAUCAACUAGAACCUUAGGAAUGCGAGUCAUCAUGGGACAACUUGUUUAUGUUCUUUAUUCUUUUCUCACCAGAAGGGAUUGAAAGAUAUGUCGUUGCAAAGGCAAAAGAUGUAGCCAGUAGUGAGAGCAUCGAACAAUCCUUCUCUAAUGAAGACCACAAAUUUCAGUAACUUGUGAUCUCCACAAUUUAGAGCACAAGGAAGCUGGCCUGUUGGAAAGAUGUGACAUGACAUUUAGAAAUGGGCAAGAAUUCCAGAGAUCAUUCCAAUCAUUAAGGAUCCAAUGCCUUAUAAUUUGAAUAGGGCAUUUACUUGGCAUGGAUAACACACCUAUCUUGGGACAAAGACCACAUGUUGAGCACCAAUUCAAUUAUCAACUCUCUAUGAAACCAGAGAUACAAGGUACUAAUGUUAGUACAAAUUACCUGGCAACUCUUCUUCUUUUACUGGUAUUGGGGGCAAAGCCUUGCGAAAACCCUCAAUCUACAGAUUACCAAGGACAUGAGAUCAUGUUGUAAUCUUAUCUCCAAUCUCCAGCUGCAAAUAUAUUAUUUCUUUAAAUUAACAAUCUUUAAUGCUUUCACUUCUAUCAUAGGAUAUGCAAUUUGGGAAAACAAGUAAGCUUUAUAAUAUUAGGAGUAUGUAAGGAAUUGAUGAAGGUCAUGAAUCUACUUAAAAUCAAUAAAUAAAAAACAAAAACAAAGAUUUUUUCACCUAUGAAUACCGUAACCAGCUUCCAAAAAGCAUUAGGUAUUGCAAUAACCAAAUGUUCCUUAGGUAUUAAAGUUAAAGUUCAAAGUUACCAAGAGUGCAUUUUUUGACCCAUGCAUAAUGCAUACCAUAUAACUCACAAUUGUGUCAAGCAUGAGUUCAGUUUAUGUUCAUGCAAAUGAACCGGAUGCAUUUUUUUUUGCUACCGGUAGCCACUGCCCAUUUUGGGUACAGCAGCAAAAAAUGGCCAGUGUGUACCGGUAGAGUUAAAUGGUCAACUGGUCGACCGGUUACUCAUUACUUUUAUAAGUUGUCAUGUGCUUGCCUUCCUGAAUAAAUUAUCUUACUAAGUUUUGGCCUUUUUGCAGAUCAAAAUGGAAUCUAUCCACCACUGAAGUUAAGGUAAGUUUUAGAACCUAAUUUGCUGUUGAGCUAAGCUGAAUGUUUGUUACUUUCCUCUCUUAGCGGUGGGAUCUUUUUUGCUCCAUUUCUUCUCAUUGUGACUUUCCGUAUUUUAGUUUGAAUGUGAGAAGUCAUAAUACGCCUUGAUGUUUACCUGAGCUUGUUGCUGGUGGCCUUUUAAGCAGGGAUCUCCAAUGGAGUCAUUGCUGGCAUAUCUGUGGUAGGAAUUGUGGGCUCCUUGCUUUCUGCCUUUUUUCUGUUUGCCCGAAUUUGUAAAAGGAAGAAGGUGGAAAAAGUACCAUUUUUCCCUGCAGCAUCUGAACUACAAUAUAGGCAACAUGGACAAGGUAAUCAUUUUGGAUUUGAUGACAUAUCUCUCAUUAUGAGUGAAGUUGCUUUCUAGCUGAGAUGCUAUGAGGAUUUUUUGAAAUUCAUUAUGACAUUUCAAACACUAGUCAGUUGCUUUCACUAUGACAUUUUGUUUUACUAUUUUAAAUAGAUUUUUGAGACAAUUAGACCCUCGCAGAUUAAUUUUUCUGUAAGUUGUGGAUUUAGGUCAUGGAAGUUCCUUAAAAGAGACUUCAGAAUCAGCUGCUCUUGUUAGUGCUGCUUCUCUGGGGCUCAUGGGGCUCGUAGGUAUAACUGUGGACAAAUCUGUGGAGUUUUCAUAUGAAGAUCUGGCCACAGCUACAGAUAACUUCAGCUUGGCUAAUAAGAUCGGCCAAGGUGGCUUUGGAUCUGUCUACUAUGCAGAGCUGAGAGGCGAGGUGUACCCCUGUACAGCCUUUCAUCAUAGAAAGAGGAAAAUUAAAGAAAAAGGAAUAUAUAGGAAGGAAAAGUGUUCUUUCCAUAUUCUAGUUUGUUAUUGCAUAUUCACAUCUCACAUUCACUAAGAUCAGCUUUUUAAUGUUAGGUGGCAAUCUGAUCAAGAGCAAGACCUGUUGAAAUUUUUAGGACAAAUUUAAAACAAGAAAUGAUUUGGUGAUAAAUCAUAUUGAAGAAUUACAAUGGUUAGCUAUGUUGGGGGGCAAUAAGAAGUGCUAUACAUAUAACUAAUGGAGGAUUAUAUUACUUACCUGUACUAAUCAAUAAGCAUGUUGCUCUUCCUUGCAAAUCAACCUACUGAGAUUGGAUUUCAGUGGGAAUGAAUAAGACUGGUUUGAGUGGGACAGGAACAGAAAUAGUGGAGAAAGAAGGAGACUGGUUUUGUCAAAAAAAAUUGUUCAAAAAUGAAGACACUGCUCAGUUA
rnacentral:lncRNA from 1 species